rnacentral:lncRNA from 1 species
AAAGUUUUAUAGACUAAGUAAUAGAAAAUUAUGAAAAUUGAAGAUAAAGUAGCAUGGAAUUACAAUCUAUAAAUUAUUACAUGCCACAACCAAGUAAAACAUCAAAUUUGUUUACUGACGAAAUAACUAGACCAAAGUGUUAUGAAAUGAAAUUAUGGGACACGCUGACAAGAGAAGACUCGCAUAAGUGGAGCCCUUGUCGCCUUCCCUUUAUUAUCAUUAAUCAAUGCUACAGCAUUGUUAUACAAAGUAUCCUACACUAGAAAUUUGCUAUGGUGCCUGCAUCUUUCCCACUACAUCAACUCUUCAGAACUUGAUGCUGCAAUAUUGCACAAACCAAUAAAUAAAUGAAGUGAUUUAAUUACCAAAUUUUAUACCAAAAGUAAUCUAUGCUAGUGAGACGUACUUUAGGCUUAAUUCUAUUAAUUGGCUAAAUUUCAGUAACUAGCUAACAAAAGAGCAAGGAUGCAUAUACAGGAUAAUGAUUUAUCUCUCACAAACAUGUGAGAAUAGUAUGUAAAAGAGUAAUUUCAUGAAAACACUUUUAUGAAUUUUAAUGAAAUUUUUUAUGGGUUUUAUUAUUAACCAUUAUUUCCAAAAACUCAGGCAUUACGCUAAAUAUUUAAAUGAUGGUUGUUAAGAGAUAAGAAUAAUGUGGAGAGAAGCUUAGCUCCAUUCAUCCAUUUAUGGGUGUUAUCACUUUAUUAAUAUUUAGAUGAAAAACUUGACAAUUUCAUUAAAAAGGUAAGUAAAAAGAUAAGGAAAUUGUGAGGUAAACCAGAUAAGGAAAUUGUCAAAUCAUGAUGUAAGAAAUUGUUACAUAAAUUUCUAUUUUGUACUUAAAUUUAAUUUAUGCAAUUAUUAGGGAUUAUAAGUUCCAUCAUCAUGGAGAAUUUUAAUAGCAUAUUAUAAACAAAUUCACUAAAAUAUAAGUAAUGCAGGAUAGCUAUUCAAAUCUACUUUAUUAUUUUUGUUUCUUCUUCCAUAUUGUCAUCUAAUUGCACACAAAGAGUUGAUAGAUAGUAUGGUGUUUUGUAUAAAGAACAUUUUUCUAUUUUUAGAAAAUUAUACUUUUACUCCUUCUUUAUAAAAUCAUAUUGUGGAAAUUAAUGUGAAUUAAAAUAAAUUGAUUAACAUGGUUAUGAUAUAAAUUUACAAUGGAUAGAAAUACCAUACGUAUUACAGUUGGUGGAGGUGCUGAUCUUGUAAGGGAGAUUGACCCCACAUUUGCCCGGGAGUGAUGCUGCAUUCUCCGGAUUGAAUUGGGUCGAAGCAGCCACUGAUUUGAGGCAAUUGCAAGCUGUUUGUUUGUCAGCGGUGCUUUGAGCCAACGCCACGAGUCCCUUGACUCCGUUGCAGCAUGUUCCAGGAACAGCUCCACCGGACUGCAGGUAAGUGAGGCAUGGAGCUAGGCUACUAACAACCUGUCCACAUGUUAUGGUAGCCUGUGCAAUGGGUGCACCCACCACUACCAUGCACAUUAGAACCAUACAUGCUACCUUAAUGCUUGCCAUUACUUUACAAACUAAUUUACAGUGUAUUUGCUUUUAUAUAUUGCUUACUUUACUUGGUGAGUAUAUACCAUGCAGGGUUAGGGGUUUAUAUCUAGCAAGUUACCCGUGCAUUUGCACGGGACGAUAGUUUUUGCCGCAUGAUUAAGAACACAUAUUACGUGUGCAUUUAUGAUUAAGAAUAUGUAUGUUGCUCGUGCAUUCGCAUGAUUAAAACCAUAUAUGUUACCAGUGCAUUCAUAUAGCUAAAAAUUAUUAAUUAUAUAUAAAAUCAUACGGUUAGAUCAUACAGUUUAACUGUUUAAAUCGGAUAAACUUAAUAUGGGUCAUCUACUGGUUUAACAUCUUGCUCGACUUUCUCAACAUUGUUUUUUACACAUACAUAACAUGAUAUAGUUAGUAGUAUCCUAUUAAUCAAAAAAAUCAUCAAUAAAUUUAUAAUUUCAUUAUUAUUUGAUUCUAAAAUAAGAUUAGUAUAAAAAUAAAUAUUAUUUAACUCUAAAAUAGCUACAAACAAUAUGUUAUUAUUCAUAUUAUUAUUAUUAUUUUAAUAUUGUUAUAGUAACAUUAUAUUUUAAUAUUGCAUAGGUAAUCAUAUUCAUUGUAUUUUUAAAUAAAUCACAUGUAAUGAGGGCUUGAGAGAUUGACAGAUGUCAUGAGUGAGUUCUUGAGAGAUUGACACAUGUCAUUAAGAGAUUUACAUAUGUCAUGAGGGAUCUUUAGUUUUGAUGAGAGGUUGACACAUGUCAUGAGAGUUUGAGAGAUUGACACAUGUCAUGAGAGAGUUUUUUUAUUUAAAACGGUAUAUGUUACCAGUGCAUUCAUAUUGUUAAAAAUUAUUAAUUAUAUAUAAAAUCAUACGGUCAGACCAUACGGUUUAACUGUUUAAAUCGGAUAAACUUAAUAUGGGUUAUCUACUGGUUUAGCAUCUUGCUCGACUUUCUCAGCAUUGUUUUUUACACAUACAUAACACGAUAUAAUUAUUAGUAUCCUAUUAAUCAAAAAAAUCACCAUCAAUAAAUUUAUAAUUUCAUUAUUAUUUUAUUCUAAAAUAAAAUUAGUAUAAAAAUAAAUAUUAUUUAACUCUAAAAUAACUACAAACAAUAUGUUAUGAUUCAUAUUAUUAUUAUUAUUUUAAUAUUGCCAUAGUAAUAUUAUAUUUUAAUAUUGCAUAGGUAAUCAUAUUCAUUUUAUUUUUAAAUAAAUCACAUGUCAUGAGGGCUUGAGAGAUUGACACAUGUCAUGAGGGAGUUCUUGAGAGAUUGACACAUGUCAUGAAAGAUUUUUAGUUUUGAUGAGAGGUUGACACAUGUCAUGGGAGCUUGAGAGAUUGACACAUGUCAUGAGGGAGUUUUUUUUAUUAUAUAGGUAAUAGAUAGAUUGUGGAAAUUAAUGUGAAUUAAAAUAAAUUGAGUAACAUGGUUAUGAUAUAAAUUUACAAUGGAUAGAAAUACCAUACGUAUUACAGUUGGUGGAGGUGCUGAUCUUGUAAGGGAGAUUGACCCCACAUUUGCCCGGGAGUGAUGCUGCAUUCUCCGGAUUGAAUUGGGUCGAAGCAGCCACUGAUUUGAGGCAAUUGCAAGCUGUUUGUUUGUCAGCGGUGCUUUGAGCCAACGCCACGAGUCCCUUGACUCCGUUGCAGCAUGUUCCAGGAACAGCUCCACCGGACUGCAGGUAAGUGAGGCAUGGAGCUAGGCUACUAACAACCUGUCCACAUGUUAUGGUAGCCUGUGCAAUGGGUGCACCCACCACUACCAUGCACAUUAGAACCAUACAUGCUACCUUAAUGCUUGCCAUUACUUUACAAACUAAUUUACAGUGUAUUUGCUUUUAUAUAUUGCUUACUUUACUUGGUGAGUAUAUACCAUGCAGGGUUAGGGGUUUAUAUAGAAAACAGAAGAGGAGUUUUAUGAAUUGAGAGGUUAGAACAUAAUCAUGCACUAUAAAAUGGACGGUGGCCUAAGCCAAUCUAAAUUAUACACGUGGUUUAUGUUGAUAGUACCUCUACAUUAACCUAGAAUAAGAUGGGAAUCUAAUGUGAGCAGUCAUUCGAAAUAAAAAACAGAGAGACAUUACUACAACAAUUUGCUUCAUUCCAAUAAAAAAAGGUUAUGCAUACCAUCUUCAUUCCAAUAAAAAUUUAAGAUAUUACUCAGGUAUAAUUAUUAAUUAUAUAUAAGAUUUAUAUGAUAUAUAAUAUUCAAUAAGAUUAUAUAUUGGAUAUUUACUGCCAAAUAUAAUAUUUAUCUUUUAUUCAAUUGAUGAUCAACUAUACAUAAGAUUAAGGACCACAUAAACAGUUUUAAUUGGUAUCACAUAAUUUAUGAUUAUUGUUUACUAACAGGAUAAACUACAAAGGCUUUGAUUAUGAUUUAUUAAUUCUAUAAAAGUUAUCCUAUGGGAUCUAAGAUCUUAUUUGAUAUGAAGCUCCUAUUGUUACCAAAGAUGCAUGUGACAGCAAUGGAUUUGUUAGCAGUUGGGUCCCAAUAAAUGCUCUAUGGUGCAUCCCCUUGUCUUUGAGCACUUGGCCAAACAUUUACGUUAGAUUUAUUGCCCGGCACUAAGUUUAAUCUCAAUUUCUCAACUAUAUAUCUCUACCUUGAUUUUUACAAUUGUACAACUUCCUUAACGGAAGAAGAAAUAUUCCAACACGUUCUCUUUCGUGCCUUUUUUCUUCUCUUUCCUGCAAACAAAAAACUUAUAUAAUUGUACGUUCAAUAUUUUCCCACAAUUAUUGAAAUCAAACCGGCAGAGGUUCAAAGGAAUGGUGAAUUUAUUUCUAUUUACAUUCUUCUAGAUAUUGUAUUUACUUGUUUGAUUAUGUUAGCUUCUAUAAUGACAUGAAUUGCGUCUAAAACAAGUUAUUUUAAAAAAGUAUUUUCAGGACACAGUUAUUAUUAUUUGAGAUACAUAAUCAAAAGUUAUUUACAUUAUCAAUUAGGACUUGGUUAAAUAAUCUAUUUGUUUUCUUUUUAGCAAACCCGGGAUUUAAAGUCUUGUGAUUGGAAAAAAAAAUCUCAUGACAAAUGUGGAUUUAUUUGGAUCAAAUAAAGUUGUCUCUAAUGAAAGAUAUUUGUGGCUAGCCCAAUAAUUUUUUGUAUAAAAUUUAGCUUAAAAUAUAGUGUUUAAUUAGAAAUUUAAUAUUCUAAAAUAUUACAAUAAACGUUAAAAUGAAAGUCAUUUGAAGUUGAAAAUUUUAAAACCAGUUAUUGGAUAUUGAAUUAGUCAUCAAUUUGGAAUAUAAUCUAUUACAUUACUGUUCUCUUUUGUUGUUGAUCGGGUAGGUCGGACUGGAGGUCCGGCAAAGAAUUCUCCUGGGAUCUGGAUGGAGGUUGAUAUGGAUCCACUAGUGGAGGUACCUGAAAAGACUCUCCAACAAUCACGUGAAUAUAAGUAUAUUGGUGGUAGGAAGAAGAUAAUAUAUCUUAGAGAAUACGUAAUGAGGGAAUAAUAAUGAAUAGAGAUACUUCUUGUUAGGGGAGACUCAUAUUUAUUGUGGUUGAGAUGAAUGACGUAGAAGUGGAGGGUACUGUUGGCCUGACCGACCAUUUUGGCUUAUCGGGGGCUGCUUUUUCCGUGUCAAGCGGAUUUGGCAGGCCCGUACUUUGUGCAUAGUUGACUUGUUGCCCGUGGCAGGUCUGGUAGCCAAAUCUCAAGUCUGUCUUUAUCGUGUUGGCAUGAGGAUAUGUGGGACUGCAGGUGGUACGGUGGUGCGUUGUUGGCAGCAUGACAGGCAAAGUUGGUCCCAAACCUGGCCUUUUGAGUCCAGUCAAUGAGUCUGUGUAGUCCCUUAACUAGCCAUGCUCGUGCCUUGGCCGAUUGGGAGGGAGGACCAUCUAGGCAGAUUGAACAUUCGGUUGAUCGGGAUGGAAAAAUUGUCCUCAGUCUAGUAGGAUGCUUGGUAGUCGGGCAUGCUAUAGACUCUAGGUCAUCAUUAGGUCUCUGAAUUGGUUGACACGUGGUUGGUCGAUGUCAACCUUGUCAUUAAGGCGUUUACGGUGCGAGUACUCGAGUGUGGCUCGUCGAUUCAUUUCUCGUUGCUUUCGUCUUGGUUCUUGGGUCUCCGUUGAAUUGAACUCGGGUAUAUUUGGACGGGCAAGAUGGGUCUUUAUUUCGUCUUUUGGAACUCCUUCACGCGGAUCACCAUGGAUGAAUCUGGGUUUCCCGAUGACGUUGGUGCAUGAGGUCAGCCUCUGAGAGGACGCCGAGGGAUCACCAUGGAUGAAUCUGGGCUUCCCUUAUAAAUAAGGAGGGGCCUUCCUUUAGUCAUUCUACGUUUGCCUUUUUCUUUUAAACCUAUUUCUAAAGAAUUUGCUCUCGAGCCGACCAAUUGUUCAUCUUCUUCAGACUACAUUUGUCGGGUAACUUCUUUCUCCUCACUCUUAUGAUAAUGGUCUCCUCUAUCGAGCAUGAGCUUAGCUCAGAUAGCAUGGAGGUUUUGUCCGAGCCUCCACCUAUCUUCACUAUCCCUUCCUGAUGACGUUGGUGUGUGAGGAUGGCCUUUGAGAGGAGGUCGAGUGAUCUCUCAUUCAAAACCUCGUUGGCCAAGAGGAGAGAAAGAAUGGCGAGAUGGGGGGAACACUGAUCGACCGAGCAGUCGUACUCGGGAGGUGGUUGCUGGUAGUGAGUAGCGACUCUAGUUUAGGAUUUGAUGUUUUUUCUGGUUGUAGGUCCUCUAUGGCGAGAACAUACACUAUAAAGGUUGACCAACUGGUCAUUCUCGUUGGUUUGGACAAACCUGGUGGUUGGUAUGGGUGGAUGGACCGGGAAAUAUUAGGGUUGAGUAGUCAUUUCUCAACUGACGAUCGACCUAACAUGAAUAUCCUAGAGCGUCUAGCAAACACCAUUGCCCUGAAGUCUCCUUAGGCUGAUGAGAGGGUCUAUCAGGCUCUCCUUGUCGAGGCAGGGGUCAACUAUGCCUUAUAUAUGUAUGACAUCUACUCUAGAAGCUCAGUUUGUGUCUUCCUAUAGACGACUAGAGUGUGGACGUAUUGGGUCAUCUUCAAGUCUCCCCCUCUCAACUCCAUCCGAAUGCCCAGGGAUUUAUCCUUGCAUUCGCCAUCUGAUGUAGGGUUAAUGUGUAUCCCUGCUCAGUCAACCUUUUCUUUUAGAUGUUCCGGGUUACCCAUAGUACAAACUCGGAUGAAGAGAAGGAGGGUCGCCACAAAUGGGUAUGUCUUUAGUAGCGAAACAAGCGAGCCAUGUUCACCCCUUUUGACCAGUCGGUGAAAAUUUGGAAAAAAGGGAUUUUACCGGGUUGAAAUAAAGGGGGUAUCCAGUCAAUUGUGGACGUAUAGCCCAGACGGAAAGAGUAGGUUCUCCUUCACCUGGAACGGGGAGUUCCAUCAGAAAUCCAUCAAAAGGUUUUCGACCAAUGAUGGUAGUUUAACUAGUCGGGAGGCGGAGGCGUCCAAUGAGAUGUUGGGCUAGCUGGCGAAAGGUGCAACUAUGCCUUGCUCGUCCUUACAAAAGGGGACACGGUCUUGGAACAGCUCAUAGGUAGUUUGGUACACUUACAUUCAUCACUCAUUCAAUAUUAGAGUCACCAAUGGUUAGGGCGUGACAACCUAAUCUCUUAUAUGGUCGUAGUAUUGUUUAAGUGAUGAAUAUAAGUGUUUAUGAUUCUACCAUUUCAGACCUUGGUGUUUGGGGUUAACCAAAGUAAAACAUAAGAACUUGUCUAAGUAGUUCAAACUCAAAACAAGAUGAGAAAUAUAUUAUCCUUAUUCAAAAUGAUCUUAUCUCCUCAAGAAUUUGUUAAUAUUUAGUUUUAUAUUUAUUGUUACUUGUUUAUAUUCACUUUAAACAAAAACCAAUCAAAAUAUGUUUAAACCAUUAUUUGUGCUUUGACAUGUUUACAUGAUUUAUUUUACUAGACAAUUCCUUGUGGUUCGACAUAACCAUAUACUAUACUAUAGUUGAAUAUUGAAAGAGGUGUAAAUUGUAACAUAGUAAAGUGUUAUCAAUAAAUAUUAUUUGUUGAAAACACCUUUUAAUAUACAAAAGUGAUGAAUCUAACUUACUAACUUUUAUUUAUUGUUAUUUACCUUCCGCAUUUUAUUUAUUCUUUAAUACCAACCUUCCUUAAGGAAGAAGUUUGGUUUGUUAAUAAAAUGAACCCGAAAGGGAGUAAAUAAAUAAAAGGUCACUAAAUUUAUUAUUCUUUUGUUAUUUAUUUAUUUAUUUGUUAUCUAUCAACUAACUAAUCAUCACUUUUAUAUAUUAGAAUACCAUUAAACCGAUGUUGGAAUUUAUUCCACCAAAUCGAGAUGGUAUUCAAAGGUACUUAAUAAUUAUGUAAUAGGUAAUUGCUUCGAUACCAUUAUACCGGUGUUAGAAUUUAUUCUAACAAAGCCGAUAUGGGGCAAAAAAUGAAUGACUUAUUACAUGAUCAUUAAAGAAGUAAGUUGUAACUGGAAUAUUCUUGAAACCAUUAUACUGGCGUUGGAAUUUAUUUCAACAAAGUCGAGAUGGUGAACAAAGAGUAAAACUGAGUUCUCUUACUUAAUCAAAUAGAAAAGAACAUAACGAAAAUGAGAGUAAUAACCUCUCAAAAAAUUAGCAUUGUUGUCAGGAUGAUUUGUUGAGGGGGAUAAACUCCCAACAACACCGAAAAUAUCUUUCAACAAGUAGCUGUCAUGGAUGUCUCAUCGGCAAAAGUGUUCCUAUCGAGGGGCCAUGGAAAACCAUGAGAAUUUGACCGAGAUGACCACUCGGGUUGAAGAGGUCGAACUUGAAGUCCAACGUUCAAGGCCAAGCUAGAGCAGUCAGAAGAGAGGGGGUAGGCUGCCCAAGGUGAAGUUGACCACCUUGCUGGGGAGCUGACUGCUUUGUAGGCUCGAGUGGAGGUGCUCGAAGAGGACAAGACGGUUAUAGCCAAGGAGAAGGCCGACUAGGCUGUUGACUUGGAAGAGAUGGCUAGUUUGACAAGUGAAGCCGCCCAUCUGGCCUAGGACAAUGCUGUGAGCCAAGUCCGCCUACUCCACCUCAACGAGGAUUUCUCCUGCAUGGAUAUGCAUGCCCUCGUCAUUGAUGAGGAGCUGGUGCAAGAGGGACCGGAUGGCAUUGUUAAACUGGCGGUUCUAGAUAGGAGUGGGUAAUAUAGAAUAGGUUUGUUUUGUAAGUAUUUUUAAUCUAUUAUUCUUAAUGAUGCAUUUUAUUUAAUUGAUUGUCUUUUUCCUUGUACUAUUUGGUCGAAAUUGUUAAUAACUGAACCUGAAUCUGAACAAGGUAAUCUUGAGUGGGAAUAACCCAUAAAACUUGAAUAUAAACAAUAUAACCUUGAUCAGAAGUCUUAUAACCUAAUAAUUGAACUUCAAUUAGAACGUGGUAAUCUUGACCAGAAAUAAUCCAAAGAACCUUGAAUAUAAACAAGUUACUCAUAGUCGAAAGUACCAAUAAUUGUGAUAACUGAAUCCUGAACUUGAACAAUUUAAUCUUGGCCGGAAAUAAUUCAAAGAAUGUUGAAUAUAAAUAAGAUAACCAUGGUUGGAAGUAGCCAUAAGUCAAUAGCUGAACUUGGAUUUGAACAAGGUAAUCUUGGUUGAAAAUAAUCCAAGGAAUUUGAAUGUAAAUAAGACAACCUUGACCGAUAAUAGAAAUAACCAAAUAAUUGAACUUGGAUUUGAAUAAGGUAAUCUUAGCCAUAAAUAAUCCUAAGAAUAUUGAAUAUAAAUAAGAUAAUCUUGACCAGAAGCAUCAAUUGUUGGAAUAACUGAUCUUGGAUAUGAACAAGAUGAAUAUCUUGAACUCUGAUAUGACCAAAGCGGACUUGAAUAUCUUGGACAUGGAUCCGAAGAACGAAGACUUGGUUAAUUUGAAAAACCUGAACUUGAAUCUGAACAAGAUGAAUAGCUUGAACAUGGAUACGAUCAAAGGGGACUUUGUCUACGCCUUAGGCGAGUGAAAUAGACAAUUGUCAGAGGGGGACAUGAGCCUUGCCCUUGAGGGGUGGUGUUAGAUUUAUUGCCUGACACUGAAGUUCAAUCUCAACUAUCCAUAUACAUCUACCCUUAUUUGUACAAUUGUAUAGCUUCGUUAAUCAAAGAAGAAUUAUUCCAACACGUUAUCUUUUUCUCUAUCUUAUUUACCAAGAACAAAUUAUAAUUUAAUUGGAUGUCCAAUAUUUUCCAACAAUUCCGUUUAAAGGAAUGGUGGAUUUAUUUCUAGAGUUAAGUGCACUCACAUUCCCAAGUUGCAAUUAAAUUAUAUAAAUCAUUCAUAUUUUUUUCAUACAUACACAAACUAUCCUAAUAUAUAUAUAUAUAUAUACAUUAUUUACUCUUGUAGAAGAAAUAAGUAUAUUUUGUAAGAAUGUACUAUUUAUGCACCGCCUAUAUAAAGAUUUAUAUAUAGUCAUUAGAUCGUCCACCACUCUUUUAGAUUACUUUUUUGAAGAGUAUAUGAUGAUUAAAUAUGAAUGGUGGAUGAUACAGUGAUUGUGUAUAAAACUCGUACACUCUCAUUGAAUAUAUAUUUUCUCAUCUUUUAACAAAAGAUGGUAAGAAAUGUAAUUAAGUUAAACAAAACAUGGUAUAUUGUGGAGACAAGUCAAAAUAAUAUACGAGUCAAUACCUAUUGUGUAUUUUUUGUCCUUACAAUAUAGUAUAAGAGUGAUUUAAACAAUAUCCUCUUAGAAUUUUUAUGCAUUUGUAACGAACCAAAAAUAGUGAAGAGAUCUUGACUCUUAUGCUAUUUGCACUUUUUUAUAAGCAAAGAUUUGUAUUAAAGUGAUACAAGGGGUGCCAACCCGAAUACAGAAGGGACUACAAAACAAAAGAAGGUAGAAAGCACAUUAAAAAAUGCAACAUUUUGGAUUAGUGCACCACUGAGCAAAGAUGAGCGGAUUGUGAUUAAUGCUGGAAGCAAACCAAGACUACGAUCUAACCUGAAUCAAGACCAUAAUUUGCACAAAACUAACCACCUUAUCCGAAAAAAUGGAGUCGUUAACCAAAUGGACCAAAUCACGGUAAACCACAACUUUCUGCAUAAUUGCCUCCUUUUGAAUUCUUGCAUAACGAUUCAUGAUAACUAAGCAGCUCCACAACAGCACUAUGCUCCAAAACAAACGGAAUCUGCAACCAAGCAUAAAAACCUCGCCAAACAGAGGAAGUAAAAGAGCAAGACAAAAGCAGAUGAUCUAGAGAUUCAGAAUGAUUCAAACACAUAACACAAUUUAACUCAUCAGCAUUAUGAAUAAUUCUUCUCUUAAACAACUCCUCCUUAGUUGUAAUUCUACCACAUAGAGUUUUCCAAACAAAACAACACACCUUUGAAGGAGCACGAUUAAUCCAACUUUUAUUAAAAAGAAAACCAACCUCAUUUUGUUGGACAUUAAUCUGAGCUAAGCAAGUUUUUUUAACCAAUACCUUCCUGAGUUAUCUAAACUCCAUUUCCAAGUAUCUACACUAUCUCUUCUAUAAGAAUGAGAAGCAAGCAGGUGAUACAAAGAACUGAUUGAAUUUUCCUCCCAAUAAAAAACCUUCUCCUCCAAAGAACAUUCCAAUUCCAUUGGAUAUUGAUCCAAACUCCACAAUCUGAGACUAGUGUCUGUCUAUUCAAAGCAAGAGCAAACAACCUGGGAAAAGUCGCCUUCAAUCAACACUGGCCAAACCAAACAUCAUUCCAAAAUAGGGUUUGAGAACCAUCUCCAACUUCCUUCCAAAGUUUAUCCUCCAACCAACUGUUCCCUGCCGCAUCUGAGCAACUAAGUUUAGCCAAAUCCCUCUACCACUUUGAAGCCGAUAAAUGAGCACGCAUAACGGCCUCCAGGCCAAACUUGGAAUUCACCACUUGAACGUCUCAACAAUAUAUCUUAUUUUGUUUAACUUAAUUACAUUGAUCACUCACUUUAUGUUUAAAAGAUAAUACUAAUUUCUCGUGCAGAUGUAAUUAAUAUAAUAUACAUAUAAGGGUGGUCUGUGUAGUUACAAAAAUGAGAGGUAUCAGGUUAUAUAAUUUUAAUAAAACUUAAAGGAUAUCAAUAUAAUUUAUUUCACGAUCAAUGUUGGCCUCUAAGGUCAUAAAUUGGUUUAUUAUUUAUUUCCUGAUAUUCACAUUAAUAUCAAAUUGGUUUAUUAUUUUGAUAACACAAUUAUUAUUAUUUUGGAUACAUAAUGAAAAGCUAUAGUUACAUUACCAAUUAGUAGUUGGUUUAAAUAAUAUAUGUUUGUUUUCUUUUUUGUAAAGCCAGAGUUUAAGUCUUGGAGUUCUUUGCCCAUCUAUUGAAUCUGACUCUAUCAAUUCCUUUUCACUGGGAACAACUCCUGGUUCAUUAGUUCAAGCGGAAUAAAAAUUGGUUAUCUACCUUGCUGUUUUGAAAUUGGUAAAUUUGUUUUCUUUCACUAUUGUUGUUGAAGUCUACCACAGUCACGACACUAGCUUUCGAAUAAAAGAGUUAGGCACCUUCCCCCUUGGGCCCUCACCUUGCAUGUUACACUACAUCAUUUAAACAUUGGCAUAUUGACUUCCAUAGAUUGAUUGGUCCUCCAAUUCAUUAGUUGCUAUAUUCCUAUAGGUGAUUUUAAAAGUUUCCAUUCUACUCAUAUUAAGAACUAUUAUCUGAUGUAUAAUAGAUUGAACAAAUCUAUUUAGAUUAAGAGUAAAUACUUAUUUUAGUCAUUAAUAUUUUUCAUUCUCACUAGUUUGAUCCCUCAAAAAUUGAAAAAACCUAAAUUGAUUCCUAAAUUUUUUAAAUAUGGGUCAAAUUAAUUAUUUUUAGGAACAAAUUAAGUCCAUAUCAGGUUUAUAAAAUAUGCUAAAAUUAUCAUGUUGACCCGUAUUUAAAAGUUUUGGGACCAUUUUGAGUUUUUCAAUUUUUGAGAGACCAAACUAAUAAAAUCGAAAAAAUGAAAGACUAAAAUGAUUAUUUACUCUUAAUUUAAUAGGUAAGUCUCUAAGUCAUCAGAAAAACCUAUUUAAUUGUACUAUGUGUUAGUCUUACAUUGGUAGAAACAACUAAUUUAAAAGUUGAUGAUAAAAUAAUGUAUAUUGAUAAUGAUUGAGUUUGAAUUUCUAGAUCAUCAUUGAUUUCAAAAUAUAUAUUUGCUUAUGACAAUAAUCACAAAUAUGGUAUGUUAUUAAGACAAAUCUAAAUAGUCCACGUGUUGAUGCAUAUUCAUUAUUUUUAGAGUAAAUACUAAUUUCAGUCCCUCAUUUUUUUUACCUUACUAGUUUGUUCCUUCAAAAAUUGAAAACCCGAAAAUGAUCCACAAAAAUUUCAAAUGCGGGUAAAACUAGUUAUUUUUAGCGUAUUUUAUAACACCUGAUAGAGACUAAUUUGACCCACAUUGUGAAAUUUUUGGGCCCAUUAUGGGUUUUUCAAUUUUUGAGAAACCAAACUAGUAAAGUCAAAAAACAUGAGGGACUAAAAUGAGUAUUUACCCUAUUUUUAUUAGAGUAAAUUUGGUAGACACUUCACGCACUUUAGCUUAAUUACACCCACAAUUCAUUUUGUUUAAAAGAUUGCAUUCAUCUCUCUUAUAAUAUAUGUAUAUAAGUUAGUGAUAGUUUGUGUAGGUGCAAAAUGGGAGGGGUGUUUUGUUUUUGUGUAAUUUAUUCUAUAAAAAAUUAAAAACAAAAAUGUAAGUUAAUUGUUUAUUGUUAAAUAGACAUUUAAAAACAGAUUUGAUAGCUAUUUAAAAGGAGAUUUCUUAGCCAUUUAAAGGAAGACUCUUAGCUUAUUUAAAGAAAGACUUGUGAGCCUAUUUAAGGCCUAAUAGCACAAUCAACUUUUUAAUAAGCUCACAAGCUAAACCAGGCUUUUAGAUAGAUUAGGACUUAAAGCUUUUGUUUUUUAAAAAUAGUAAAUUGGACAACUUUAAUCUACUAUAUAUUAUAUAUAUAACACCCCAGUUAUGUCAUGCGACCUCCCAGGUUCAUACAUACAUUGAGCGUGUCACUAUAACACCUCAGUUAUAUCAUGCGACCUCCCAGGCCCAUACAUACACUGAGUGUGUCACCCAUUAGCUUAAAUAUCCCAUGCAGUAUUUUAUUCCUCACAAAGGGGAGCCUCCCGCGACUCGAACCCAUAACCUCAAGGAUAAAUAGUCAUUAUUCACAUGAGUCGCUACCAUUAAAUUUAUCUUCUUUGUUCUUCCAUUCUAUCUCCUUCUCUAAUUCAAAUUUCUUUUUCCCCACCUUCAAUUCUAAGAACAAAUAGGCAAACACACCUAUGCACCAAUUAACAUGGACUAUUAAAAUCCCAAUGUCGAUACCACAAAGAUUGGAGUAGCUAGAGGUCAUUUCUUUUAUGUUUGAAGAUCCAAUAGUAUGUAAAGUAAAAUUAGAAAUUAAAAAAAAUUGGAAAAUGAUAGAAAUUUCAAUUUUAAAUUGAAUUACCUUACUUUGGGGUGGGUUCGAGUUAGGGUCUUUGCUAUACCAAACCCGAACCCGGAAUUUAAACCCGGGUAAAAUCCGAACCCGAACCCAAUCAUAUCGGAUUUUCCCCAUUAAAUUCGGGUUCGGUUCGGGCGGGUACCCACGAGUUCGGUUUUUAUUGCCAUCCCUACUAAUAUGUAAGGAUAUGCCAUCUCUAACGCUUAUAAAUUGAGAGUUCUAGCAAUUUCGGUAAAAAAUACACUAUCAUAACUAUAAACGUCAAAGGGACUAGAAAUAUGAGUUAUAUGUAGUAGAGUAGUUUCAUCACAAUGAAGAGCUACAUUAGUACUAUUGUGAUUGUAGUUAAUGUGAUGUUUCAAGGUGAAACAAUGAUAUAACAAUGUCACAUUUCCAUAUUUUUAUAGACUUUUAUGUUAUUUUUUGAGUUGUUUCAUUAUGCCUAUUUGAUUUAUCACAUUGGAAAAUCUUUGGGUUUCUCUUAUGACCAUAAAUGGAUUUGGGAUUCAUAUAUCUUUGAAUUCUUUCAUAUCUUACUUUGAUUUGAAAAAUCCAUUUGGUUUCUUUGUUUCCUUCAAAAAGUAUCUAGUGGCACCAUAGCUUUUGGGUUUUUAGAUAUUUUUUUGCUCAGCAAAAUAAAUAAACUUGCAUUAAGAUAGUAUAAGGGGUGCUAACCCAAAAUAACAAUUCAAAAAUUACCAAUACAUGAAAACGGAUCCACACACCAAGAGAAAAAAUUUAUAUUAUUAUUUUCUAGUGCAUCAAAAAACGACAAUGAAGACCUAAGUUUAAUCAACUUCAUAAUUUUCAAAAACACUACUCUCCUUUCCAUUAAAAACCAAGUCAUUCCUCAUUAACCACACUAACCACAUCACUGCACACUAUAACAUACACUAGAAAUGAGACCCAUUCUUUGUUUUCCAAACACUAUUAUGGAGUUGAAAUAACUCACAUCAAUUGUUUGGAAGAUUAACUUUAAAUCCAACCCAAGAUUAAAACUCCCUCCAAACCACAGCAGAAAAAUCAAACAAUAAAAAUAGAUGGUCUAUUGAUUCCUCAUUCUUAUCACAAAAAAGGCAUCCAACAUCUACUUGAUUAGAGAGAAUAGAUCUUCUCAAAAACUUCGUCUUAGUUGCUACUGUCCCCCUCAAAAGCUUCUACAUGAAACAUGAUAUUUUAGAAGAUAAACAAGAAAGCCAAAUAUUACAAAACACUAAGUCCCAUGCAGAAGCAACCACCUGCAACUGAACCGUGUAAGCUGGCUUUGUCGUCUACAUCCCUAUAGAAGGUAAGAUCCAAGAAAAGUCAUCCACCCUCCCAUGUCUGUAAGAAAAUAGAUGAAUCACCGCAUAUAGUUGCUCCUCUAACUCUUCUUCCCAUAAAACAAUUUCCUCCUCCACUUUAACAACCAACACCACUUCCCAUCUCUCAAUUCCACAUAAUCACUAACAACACUAUUGACAUCUACAACCACCAAAGAUAACCUAUGGAAGGAAUCACAUAACCUACUCACACCACACCACACAUCCAACCAAAAUCUAGAAUGAGACCCAUCCCAUAGACAUAUAGAAAUAUUAGAAAAAACCAAUGAGCACCCACCCCCUCAGAGCCAUCCAACCUACUAAUAAUCUUCCACCAACUUGACCUUGCCCCACUACUCAAUUUAGAGAAAAAACUCUCAUAGUUUGAUUUAACAACUAAAACCCACAACAAAUUAGGUUUUGAAAGAAACCUCCACUUCCACUUUUGAACAAAGCAUUAUUAAACAAAACAAUAUCCUUAACACCCAAUCCCCAGCACAUUUAGGCUGACAAACCUUCCUCCAAGAAACCUAAUGAACCACCUGCCCCCUUUACUAUUACCCCACAUUAAUUUUCUUUGAUCCUAGCCAAUAAGAGAACAACAACCUUUGGAGCAUUGUACAAAGAUAAAAGAUUAAUCGAAAUGUUCAUAAAACAACAUUUAACAGCACUAGUCUUCCCCCAAAAGAAAUAAACUUAUGUUUCCAAGAACCAAGUCUUCUCAUGACAGCAUCAAUCACAAAAAACCAGGUGGAUAUCCUAUUCGGAUUAGCCCAAACUGGAAUACCCAAAUAGGUAAAUAGGAUAGAACCAAUAUUGCAAGAAAGGAAAAAAGCAACAUCUUCCGCAAAACUCUCCUCCACAAUAAUGGAAAACAAAAAACUCUUGUGAGAAUUCACUUUAAGGCCCGAAGCUAGUUCGAAGCACCGUAAAAUACUCUUUCGACUCCACAUAUUUGCAAGAGAAGGAUUACAAACCAUAAUGGUGUCAUCAACAAAUUGUAGAUCCAUCAUUUCUACAUUUUGAGAACUGGGCUUCACACCCUAAAAUAACCCACAGGACUUGGCACUUCGCGUCAAACCUAAGAAACCCUCGACAACCUGCAUGAAUAAAAAAAGGCGCCAACAAAUGACCUUGUCUAAUCCCUUUUGACACUGAAAAUUGCCUAGCCAAAGAACCAUUAAUAAGAACCAACAAUGUAGUAGAAGACAAAUAAACCUUCACCCAAGAUCGCCAAUGAUUAGGUAUCCGAACCUACCCAGCAUAUAAUCCAGGAAAUCUCAAUUCACUGAAUCAUAUGUCUUCCCAAAUUCUACCUUAAAAAGGAAACAAACAUCUGAAUUUUGCCUAGCAGAAUGAGUGACUUCAUUCACCACCACAACUGCAUCCAAAAUAAUCCUAUUCUAAAUACAAGUAGUAUGGGAUUGCGAAAUAAGUGACCCCAUCACCUCUUUCAAUCUCGAAGCAAGGAUUUUAGGCAAAUUCUUAUAUAAGGAACCAAAAAGGGAUAUAGGUCUAAAAUCCUAUAACCUACCCGAAUUAACAUUCUUAGGGAUAAGAGUAAUGAAAGAAGAAUUUAAUCCAGCAGGUAACUUCAAGAUUUUAUGAAUCUCUCUAAUAAAAUUACACACAUCCUAAUUGACCACAUCCUAGUGUUCCUGAAAGAAAGUGAAACUAAAUCCAUAUGAUCUUGGAUUCAUAUCCCCAGCAUAGUUCCACAUUGUGGUCCUAAUUUCCCUCGAAGAAAACUUGUAACACCCCGGGCUUGACAUGUGACCCUAAGGUCCAUGAAUUUACUGAGUGUGUCACCUAUGACGCUUAAAUACCCCUUGUAGUAUUUUAUUCCCCCUAAAGGGAGCCUCUGCGGCUCGAACCCAGAACCUCAGAGACUUAUAGUCAUUGAUUCCAUUGAGUCGCUACCACUAAGCUACAGAAGGCUAUAAGUCCCUGAGGUAAUAGAAUCAAUGACUAUAAGUCCCUAAGGUCCUAGGUUCGAGUCGCGGAGGCUCCCUUUAGGGGGAAUAAAAUACUACAGGGGGUAUUUAAGCUUAAUAGGUGGCACUCUUAGUAAAUUCAUGAACCUUAGGAUCACAUGUCAAGGCUGGAGUAUUACAGAACUCAUAAUACAACGAAGACUAUUGAUCUGCCGACAACACUUUAAACUCCACACCACCAAGUCUCAAUCUCCUCAUCAAUGACUCACCAAAUAGCUUCAUAAAGUAAUCCAUAACCCAAUCAGAUAUCAUAUUAACAUCCUCCCACCAUUGACCAUCAAUCGAUAAGCCAAUGUUUUGAUUCACUCUCCUCCUACUUCUAACGCAAGCAUGAAAAACAUACUAUUAGCAUCCCUUUGCUUAAUAAGCCAAUGACUCCUAGAUUUAUGGAAUAAUAUAUUGUCCUUCAAAUUUCCAACUUCCCACCACUCUACAAUAAGAGAUUGUCUCAAAAACACCUUCUCCAAAGAAAUCCCAACCUCCUCACCUUCUACAUCAAAACUUGAAACAUCCUUACUAAUACCAGUCAAUUGUUGAUCUAUAGAGUCGAAUACCUGUAUAUUCCAAAGCUUCAAUUCAAUCUUUAACCGACAUAAUUUCUCCUACACCAUAAAAGCUGAUCAACCCUACACCUCCAUAUUACUCCAAGCAUUACUAUUGAACUCAUGAAACUCCUUAUGUUGAUCCCAAAAGUUAUUGAAUUUAAAUGGAGAGAGACCAGUAGAAACAAUUUAAUAUUUCAGCACCAAUGGACAGUGACCCGAAAACGUUCUGGGAAUAGCCCAUUGAUCAAUCUCAAGCCAUUUAUCAACCCAUUCACCGGAUAAAAAAAUCUUGUUCAAGCGACUCAUACAUCUUCCCCCAGCUAGAUACCAUGCACAACUCCUCCCAAUCAAAGGUAGAUCAAUGACUUUCAUAUCACUAAUCCAUGAAUUAAAAGGAAACGAUUCUCUAUCAUUCUCACACACCAUAAUGCACAACCAACAUCACUUUUGAGUUGCAACAGAUCCUCCCACAACCUCUUAAUUUCUUAGCUGAAAGUUUAAUUUGAUGCCUUAAUUUAACUAGUUUGAGUCUUACCUUUGAUUCUUCUAUUCUUUGCCAUUGGUAGUAGUUGCAAUAAUUAGGAAAACAUAAGAUGUAUGUUUCAAUCCACACUUGGAAAUCAAUAAGUGUGUUGUCUUAAUUCAAAUGUUUUACAAAACCAUAAUAUACCAACAAUAUUGUAGAAAUUAAGUGAAGCAUCAAAAGUGAAAGUAGGCAACCAUAAUCACAGAUAUUACCUUGCAUAAAUGGAUAUUUUGAAAAGGCUAAGAGAAGUAUGGAAAAUACAUUAAAGUUGUAAAACCAUGUUGAACACUACUACUUUUUUCUAUUGCAUUUAAAAGGAGGGUCAAAUAAUUCAAAAUAUAUUUUUACAACAGGACAAUGAAAUAAUGAGUAAGAAAUGGUGUAUCCAGAAUCCCUAGUAUAUGCACAAUAUACGUUUAAUUCUAUAUUAUCUACACAUGUUCUCUUUCUUAGUUUUAUUUCAAGUAUAACCCGUUUAUGGAAAUCCAAUCAAUCGCCAACCAACCUCACUUAGAAGGGGAGGAUGACCUCUAGAUCCUCCAAUCUUUGUGGUAUAGACAUUGGGAUUUUAAUAGUCCAUGUUAAUUGGUGCAUAGGUGUGUUUGCCUAUCUAUUCUUAGAAUUUAAGGUGAGGAAAAAGAAAUUUGAAUUAGAGAAGGAGAUAGAAUGGAAGAACAAAGAAGAUGAAUUUGGAUAAUUUCUAUUUAUUUAUUAUGUCACUUUAGGCAAAGACAAAGUGCACAUGUAUACAAAACCAGAGAACCACUAAAAGAGAACAAGUAAAAUAACUAUUACUAGCUGCCUAAAACCAAAUAACUAUUACUAACCACCUAAAACCAAUUUCCCCGGUAAGUGAAGAGAACAAAGUCCCAACUUGGAAGUGAACACUUGAAAGGAAGCAAAUUGGAGACUUUGUAAAAGCAUUUGCAAGUUGAUUAGAUGAUGCAAUUGCCAUGAGAUGAAUGAGACCUUGCUGGAUCUUCUUUCAUACAAAAUGAUAAUUAAUCUCAAUAUGCUUGGUUCUUUUAUGAAAAACUGGAUUACGAGCAAGAUAGAUGGUAAAUCGACUAUCACAAUAAACUAAAGUUGGACCUGAUAAUGAAAUUCCCAAGCCUCUAAAGAGAUAAUUGAGUCAUUGAACUUCACAUGUCAAACUUACAAGAGCCCUAUAUUCUGCCUCAGAAGAAGGCUUACUUACUAUGUUUUGCUUCUUCAUUUUCCAAGAAAUGUGUGACGAACCAAGGAAUAUGCAAAACCCAGUGAUAGACUUCCUAGUGUCUAGGAAACAAGCCCGAUUUGAAUCAGCAAGACCAACAAGCUAAGUUCUGUUUUAUAGUGUGCAUCCAUAGGCUUGGAUAUGAACAAACUUAAUUAUUGUAUUGCAUAGGAUAAAUUUGGCCUUGAAAUGGUCAAGUAGAGAAGCCUCCCAACCAACCUUCUAUAACUUUGGACAUUAGAGAAAGGUUUGCCUUGAUCAAGUUGCAACUUUACUAAAGGAUCAAAGGGAACUUUGGAAGGCUCAACAAUAAGUGAACCUGAGUCUUCCAACAAGGAUAAGACAUAUUUUCCCUAAUUAAGUUGAAUUCCAGUCUAUGAUCUUUCAAUUUCAAGAUCUGAGAAGAACAAGAGAGGACCUAAAUCUUUGAUCUUGAAUGAAUCAUCCAAAAAUUGUUUCAUAAGCUUGAUCUCAUGCACAUCAUUGUGUGCUAGAACCAUGUCAUCUAUAAGUAUUAGAUGACAACUAAGAGGGGGUGGGGUGAAUUAGUUGUUGGGAGAAAUGGCCGAUUUUUCUGUUAUGGUAUCAAAGUGUUUUGUGCAGCGAAAUGUUGAUACAGAUUAUUUGUCACACAAGAGAUUUUUAAACUAGAUACUUUGAGUUGAAAUUACAAAUUCUCUCUCCGAGACACGUGUACCUUACAUACUCACAAAUAUCUACCCUUGGAAAAUAAUCUUUUCAAGUGAAGUUUUUCUCCUUCUCACCACACUAUAUGAUGAAAAGUUAACAACAAGAUGAAGAAUAUAUCAAUGACAAUAUUGCCUUUACAAGUUUGACAAUGCUAUAACUUGCAAUACUUUUUUCUCUCCAUACACUUAGUAAAACAAUGCUCUAAAAUGUUUGGAAAACUUUAGAACUUUUCACUUGAAGCAACUUCAGAUAAUAUGAAAGUUUGGAAACCAAGUUGUGAGACAAAGUGCGGAAAGUUUUUUGAAAGAGUUUUGAGAAGAAACUGGGUUAAUGAUAUGAAAGUUGUAUGUUGUGAGAAUGUUCCAAAGCCUUUAAAUACGCAUCCAAUCAGCCAUGGGACCCUUCCAGAAGUUGGGACACGAUUGGAGUUGAAACCCAUUCACUUAAGAUGGAAACUCCUGAUUUGAAUUUGAAAAACUAGUAGCAACAACUAUGUGUAAUCGAUUACCAAAACUUGCUGUCCAACCAUGCAGUCGAUUAAUACCAUGUAAUAAUCGGGUACAUGUGUUAGUUAUGCUUUUGGUAACUAUUUUCUUAGUCAGGUAAUCUAUUACGUAGUUCUAGUAAUUUGUUACUAUCUGUCACAUAGUUCAAGUAAUCUGUUACGUAGAUCUAGUAACAUGUUACUCAAGUCAAGUAACAUAUUACUUAGCAUUUUGAAAAUAAUUCAAGAGUUUUCCAAUUCUUUCAAAAAUAGUUUUAAGUUCCUUUGAAUUUCUUUGAGCUAUGCUACUAAAUAUAAAUUGAGCGUAACGAUAGAAGUACCUUUGAAGACUUAGACUGUAAUUUUCUUGAAGCUUGAACUUCUAUGUCUUCAUAGUCUUCUUCUUAUUUUUUUAUUUUUUUGAUCAUGGUGUCUUCAUCAAAAUCGUGCCAAUGAUAGAAGUACCAAUGCUAAAUUCUCACUAGAAUGGAGAAAAUAAGUAUGGGAAGGAUUAGAAUUGUAAUCAUCAUGACUCUGAUUUGCCAUAGUAGAAGAAUGAAAAAAUCUUAAGGUACCAAAUCAAGAAUGGAAGAAGGAGAAGAAGGUAAUAAUUGAGAAUAUUAAUAGGAGAACAAGAAAAAAAUGAAGAUCAAUCAGAGCCUAUAUUGCUCUGAUAUCAUCUUAGAAUUUAAGGUGAGGAAAAGAAAAUUGAAUUGGAGAAGGAGAUAGAACGGAAUAACAGAGAAAAUCAAUUUGGAUAAUUUCUAUUCAUUGAUUACAUUACUUUAGGCAAAGACAAAGUGCACAUAUAUACAAAACCAGAGAACUAGUAAAAUAACUAUUACUAACUGCCUAAAACCAAAUAACUAUUACUAACUACAUAAAACCAAUUUCCCUAUAGGCUAACUAGCAUAAAUAACUAAGACAUAUAUUUCUAUACUUUUACAUCUUUUCCUAAUAAUAGGAGUGGCAACAAUAACACCUUUUUCACCAUGGUACGUUAAAUUUAAGUGUUCCAAAAAAGAAAAAAAAUACUAUGAUAUUUCUUACUAAGGGCAAGCUUUUCGAGAAGUGUUUAACCUCCUUAAAGUAUCUAGUUUAAAUAUGGUCUACAAAAUUGUGGCAAUACACAUUUUUAUGACAUUCUGAAAACUUCUCAAUGAGUAAAUAAAUGAUAAUUUUAGAAUAAUGUUUGGAAGUUUGUAUUAAGUAAGGGUGUUCAAAUCCAGACCGAUCCAAAAAUAAAAUUGAAAACCGAUCCAAAAUAGAUUGAAACCACAAAAGUGGAAUGUCUAUGGACCGCGUUGGACUUACUUUUUAAAAACCAAUUUGUCUAGUCUGGAUUUUGAUUUCACUUAUUGAAAGAUGGAAACUCCUGAUUUGAAUUUGAAAAACUAGUAGCAACAACUAUGUGUAAUCGAUUACCAAAACUUGCUGUCCAACCAUGCAGUCGAUUAAUACCAUGUAAUAAUCGGGUACAUGUGUUAGUUAUGCUUUUGGUAACUAUUUUCUUAGUCAGGUAAUCUAUUACGUAGUUCUAGUAAUUUGUUACUAUCUGUCACAUAGUUCAAGUAAUCUGUUACGUAGAUCUAGUAACAUGUUACUCAAGUCAAGUAACAUAUUACUUAGCAUUUUGAAAAUAAUUCAAGAGUUUUCCAAUUCUUUCAAAAAUAGUUUUAAGUUCCUUUGAAUUUCUUUGAGCUAUGCUACUAAAUAUAAAUUGAGCGUAACGAUAGAAGUACCUUUGAAGACUUAGACUGUAAUUUUCUUGAAGCUUGAACUUCUAUGUCUUCAUAGUCUUCUUCUUAUUUUUUUAUUUUUUUGAUCAUGGUGUCUUCAUCAAAAUCGUGCCAAUGAUAGAAGUACCAAUGCUAAAUUCUCACUAGAAUGGAGAAAAUAAGUAUGGGAAGGAUUAGAAUUGUAAUCAUCAUGACUCUGAUUUGCCAUAGUAGAAGAAUGAAAAAAUCUUAAGGUACCAAAUCAAGAAUGGAAGAAGGAGAAGAAGGUAAUAAUUGAGAAUAUUAAUAGGAGAACAAGAAAAAAAUGAAGAUCAAUCAGAGCCUAUAUUGCUCUGAUAUCAUCUUAGAAUUUAAGGUGAGGAAAAGAAAAUUGAAUUGGAGAAGGAGAUAGAACGGAAUAACAGAGAAAAUCAAUUUGGAUAAUUUCUAUUCAUUGAUUACAUUACUUUAGGCAAAGACAAAGUGCACAUAUAUACAAAACCAGAGAACUAGUAAAAUAACUAUUACUAACUGCCUAAAACCAAAUAACUAUUACUAACUACAUAAAACCAAUUUCCCUAUAGGCUAACUAGCAUAAAUAACUAAGACAUAUAUUUCUAUACUUUUACAUCUUUUCCUAAUAAUAGGAGUGGCAACAAUAACACCUUUUUCACCAUGGUACGUUAAAUUUAAGUGUUCCAAAAAAGAAAAAAAAUACUAUGAUAUUUCUUACUAAGGGCAAGCUUUUCGAGAAGUGUUUAACCUCCUUAAAGUAUCUAGUUUAAAUAUGGUCUACAAAAUUGUGGCAAUACACAUUUUUAUGACAUUCUGAAAACUUCUCAAUGAGUAAAUAAAUGAUAAUUUUAGAAUAAUGUUUGGAAGUUUGUAUUAAGUAAGGGUGUUCAAAUCCAGACCGAUCCAAAAAUAAAAUUGAAAACCGAUCCAAAAUAGAUUGAAACCACAAAAGUGGAAUGUCUAUGGACCGCGUUGGACUUACUUUUUAAAAACCAAUUUGUCUAGUCUGGAUUUUGAUUUCACUUAUUGAAUCCAGACCGAUCUAGACCGGACUGAAAUAAUAUGUAAAGUUUAAGUGUGUAAUACUUUUAAGUGUCUUCCAAACUUAAUGUUAAGUCCCAACUCCAAAAUUGUACCUAUAUUUUAUUUGUUAUAUUCUAUAACACAUAAAUAUAUAUGUUGCUAUGUUUUAAAUCAUAUUGAUUACAUUUGAUAUAGUUUUUUAGAACUUAAACCAAUCUCAGAACCAAGUGUUGAUUCUAAUUAGGUGUUUUAUUACCAAUUUUAUUGUUGUGAAAGUAUUAUUAUUAUUAAUCAUCGGUGGAACACUAUAACUAUUAAAAUUACGUUGCGGGUGUUCAUAUUCUUAAUAUUGAUAUCUUGUUGUUUUGUUGUCUUGUUAUUAUUGAUGUCUUGUUGUUGUUGUUGCCAUUUUUUGCUUUUAUUAUUAUUGCCUUACUGUUUAUUACUAUUUUAUGAUGUUGUUUACUUAUAUUAUUGUUGCACACAUUUUAAUGUUUUUGAACACUAUUUUUAUUGUUGCUUUAUGUUUAAUAUUUAAUCAUUUUUAUGAUUUUUGAAUGUAACCUCAAUUUCAAUAUUUUAUAAAAAAAAACUCGAUCCAAACCGAGCUGAAACCACAUAUAAUAUUUGGAUUGGAUCGGACAUCAUAAUAUAAAUAGACCAGACCGAACAAGACCAUAUAUUAAUUAUGUGUUUGAAUCAGAUCAUUUUCUACCUAAAAAUCGAUCCAAAUGGACCGCAGAUACCCCUAAUAUUAAGCGAUAGAGUUAUUAAAAGUUUUCUCAAUAAAAAAUGCUUUAAAAUAAAGUAAUUUAGACCAAUAGAUUCAAAACCUUUUAUAACAUAUCAAAUAGAAUAAUUUUCUUUCAAGUCUUUUUGUAAAACCGAAGAUUGGCCUUUAGUAUAAAAUAUCAAAUCCAUUGUACAAAUUGAAACUUCAAAAAAAAAUUGGAGUUGGCAAGGUUGAUGCUAAAAAUAGUUAACAGCAAAUGAAAAAACAUCCAAUAUGAAAAUCAACAGUUUAAGUUGUAUUAUGUGAAAAAUACAAGAGUGGGGAAAAAUGGAAGAACACAAAUAUUUAUUUUGCUUCACGCUUAAUCCAUAUGAGAGUUCGUCCAAUCACAAAGUCAUUUGUAAUUGAGGGUUUUCUUCCACUAUAUUUAGAGGUUUCACAGUCUCUUUUUACCUUGAUGCUAUAGAGUACUCUCGUAACAUCUUUAAAAAAUAUCAUUAUAAGUACACUCCAUCCUUCAGAGUCCUGAUUAUGCAGGUAUCUAUUACUCAAAAUUUUACGUCAUAAAUGAACCUUGAUAGAAAAACUAUAAUCUUAGUGCUCCUUUUUCAUAAAUUACAUCUUUGGUGUAGAAUGUAGGGAAGUCAUGUCUAUCAUGUAUGAUUUCUAGUGUUUCCGUUGAAAUAGUGGCUCUCAGCCACAUUUAUUAGGGAAAUUGUGCCUCAGAAGCGUGUCUCCAUUUUUUAUCAGCAAAAUUGAGCCUCAUACACCUGAUUUGCAUUUUUCUCCCAACAUUUAAGAAUUCGUUUACCUAAAGCAUGAUCUUAUUUAUUUAGAUUUCAGUGAAAUUGUGCAUAUGAAGCACAUCUCCAAUUUUAUCAUUAAAAUCAAAUCUCCUACAUCCUGAUUUCCAUUUUAUAUUUACACAAACUCUCCCGCAAUAAUACACAUAAACCAAAACCCUCCUACAUAAACACCAUGAAUAAUUGAGUAAAACGAGGUUGAUGGAGAUUAAGACGAAAUAAAAAAGAAUUAAAUCAUGUAAUUGAUUUUAGAGGAGAGGAAUCUCAAAUUUCAUUUCUGCAUUUCAAAUUCAUCAAAUCAAUAUGUUAUACAUUCCUAUUUGCAAUUCAUUAUUAAAACAUUUGAGUUUCCCCUCCUUUUCAAUUUUAAAGAUCAAUAACUUUUCACCGUUUUUGUCUUAAUCAUUAAAAUUUAAGUUCAUUUUUUCCCUUAUUCAUUCACUUAUUUGAUAUAGAAUUAUUACAUUUCUCACGUAAUUGUUGAAAUAUCAUAUGUGAUUCUUCAAACUGCAUAUUACACACUAUUGGUUUACACUGUGAUGUGCUACUAAUGGACAUGAGCAAAAUUCUUUUGGUUUUUCUAUGUUAGCUUCUUGACCAUCCUCUACCACAUAUUAUAGAAUGAUGGCUAUUUCAGUCACUCCAAACCACAUGCUAGCAGAAAUAUUUGCAACUUCUUUCUAUACAUUAUUCAAUCUCUUCAACGGUUUUUUAUCCAAUAUCAAUGAGUACCGUUGCCUAGUUCUUUAAGAUACAACUCUAGUUUCUAGUUUAGUAAUUUCAUUUAUAUAUAUAUAUAUCAUUAUUGGUUCAGAAAAUCCCAAUGUGCUAUGUGGUAGUCUUGGUAUUAUUAUAUAUGCCUAGUAGCAUAGACAAUAACAUAUAUAAAAAACCCACUUGUUAUGAAGAAUUAAUAAGCUAAGUAUUAGAACUAGAUGAUUAAUUUUUGAGAUUGAAGCAUUUGUCAAUAGAAAGGAAAAACCCAGAUCUGUCAUAUAUUAGUCAGGCUUUAAUUGGACCCGUAUAUGAGCGGGUUUCAUCAUAUCUAAGUUCGUGUUCAACCAAUUAACUCGGUCAAUAGUUAGAGUCAGGUAAGGGACAAGUCUUAUCCAGCUCAACCUAUUCACUACUCAUCCCUAGUAUAUCAUAUUAAAAAAUCUGGUGUAUUUCCUUUUAGAACAUAUAUGUUGUUCCACAAUGUGUCACUCCGUGUAUCAUGAGUUGUAAUUGGUUGAGAAAAUAUAUUGAAGUUAAUAUUUUAAAUAUUAAGUAUUUUUUGACCAAUUGUAACUCAUGACACAUGAAAUAACACAUUGUGGGAUAAAAGAUGUACUCUCAUUUCAUUCUAGCUAACAUAAUAAGACCUUCACCAUUUCUUCUAAUCUUUACCUUUCUUUCUUCUUUUUCCACAUUAAAAAUAUGAAUAAUACCCUUUCUAAAUAAUUGUAAAAUAUAUUAAUUACAAUAACGUUAUUUCAAUAAUUCAAAUUUAACAACUUCUCCUAAAAAAUCAAAUUAUCUCUCAUUUACUUUUUAUCUUUUAUUUUUAUACACAUACCAAAAAAUCAUCUGAAAACCAAAGAAAAAGUUAUUAUCAUAAUUUUGUUAUCAAAAUAUGGAUUUUUUUAAUCACUGUCUGAUAAGUCACUAAAAAUGUAAAGUCGAUUUCAAAAAACUAAACAUUUAUAUUAUUAAAAAUUAAAUAUAAAACUUUAACAUUUACGUUAGGCUUUUUAGUUACUUAUUGAAGAAUAAUGGUUAAUAAAAGAAUUACAAAAGAUAGAGAAAGUUGAUUUCAUAGUGUAAUUUGUUAGCUGAUUCAUAUUCUUUUCUUCUGCCAUAACUCAUGUAUUGCAAAAGGAUGUUUUCCUUUUAUUUACACUCCAAAUUUGGUUGUUGAACUUUGUAUUUUGGUCCUUUUGAGAUUUGUUGAGUUGGAGCUUGUGGUUCAAUUUCCUAACUAGUUAUUAGUGUUAGUAAUGCAUGACUUUUUUUUUUGUUGUACAAUAUUGAAGCUAGUUUGAAUAGAACUAAAGUAAUGGAAUAUGAGGUGAGAGAUAUUUUUUUAAGUUAUUUAUUUGUUAAAUUUAAAACUAAUAUUAAAUCUGCACCUUUAAUUUUUUUGAGUGUCAUAUAUCAAGAUCUGGGCGAGUAUUAUUCUAAUCAGGAGCAAUUGAUGUUGCAAUUGUUAAGUUUAAUAAAUUGAGAAGAUUUCCAUUUAAUUUAGAUAUAAUUCAUUAGGAAAGUGAAACUUUUCCGUAAGAUGAUAAAAACAUAAAGGAAAGAUAAUGGGGACCGGCAAUAAUUUGUCAUUAUAUGUGAGAGAGGAUUUCCAUUUAGUUCAUAAUUUGCAUAGUGUGAUAGUAGAAUGAAGAUCAAGAUAGAAUAAAUCUCAUACUAGGUCUAAAAGUGAUUUAACCAAUUAAAUUAUUAAUAAAACUGGAUAUGACAUUAUAUAAAAUUAAUAGUUGUAUAUAAAAUUAUAUAAUCAAAUGUUAGAGAGCAACUUUAGUUUGUAAUUUUAAUAUUUUAUAUUUGUUGUCAGGAAAACUCCUUUAAUCAUGUAAUAAAAAAUUAAUUAUGGGAAAUAUAUUUCAAAAUAAAUUAUACAACCCAAUAAAUAUAACUUAUGUAACAUUCUUGAUUUAGUUACUUUUGAUUAAAAAAGUUCAAUUAAUGGUUUUAAACAUAACAAUAUCUCAAACACGAUGCAAUACUCAAACAAUUGGAAUGUAGAUUUUAACCUGUGUAAUUUUUAGCACUCAUAUAAUUCGAAAAUGCAUUAUAUUUUAGUUUAUAGUUUUUGGUCUGUUCAAACCGGUCAACAGUGUAGUAAAAUAGAGGGUCAAGAGAGAAAUGAUGUUUGUGUGCAUUCCCCAAAAAGUUUAUCUUCUGACACAACUUUGAUAGGGGUUGAUGGUGGACCUUAUUUGAGAAAGAAAAGGGGUGUGUCUCAGGCUAAGAAAAGUUCUUUGUUUUCUUUACCUAUUAAAGAGAAGAGACAAGAUGGCAUAGCAUUUGGUGGUAAAUGUGUGCAUAGCGUAGAGACGACUGGUUUUGAUGAAAGGGGUGGGAGGCAAAAGGAGUCAUUUAGGGUUGGGAAGGAGGUAAAAGGGGUUGAACCGCGGGUCCUUAUGGCCCAACACGAACCAAACAUUCUUAAUGACAUGUAGAAUCUUUUUGUUGAUGUGGAGGAUGUUAGACAAGAGAUGGUCUCAUCUCAUGCUUUUAAUUGUAUUUCGUUGGGCCCUUCUCCAAAAGCCCAACCGAUUUGCUGCCAAAAUAAUAAUAAAAGGCCGAUUAUGCUACUAAAAAAGAAGGCCAAGGCUAUCACUCCUUCUUUUACCGUGGAUGAUUCUUCCAUUUUGGAAGUGGACAAUUCCUUUAUUGUGAGGGAUUUAGCAAAAUCUAAUAAAAAGAAUUUGUCAACUUUUGAGGUUGGCUCGUCCUCCAAAGCGAAGUGUAACAAAAUGUAACUGAAGUCUUCAAUGAACAAGGGUAACUCAAAAAAGAAGAUGGCCAAACGGUACUCUCAACCCAUUCCAUCAUUACGGCCUAGGGGUUUGGGGUUAAGGAAUUGUUUGACUAAGGGGACAAAAGUUAGAAGGAGGACAAUGUAUAAAGGUAUGGAUUCCAAUCUAUCCUUGGUUGAUAAUGCUCUUCUUAAUAAUGACAUGUUGAUGUAUGAGUCUGAUGUAGAUAGAAAUGGUAGCUUAGACACAAUAAUUAGCAAUUCUAUCACCGACUCUCAUGUUAGUUGUGCAAAUCUACUUCAUUUUAAGGGUGAUGAUGUUGUUGUGAGUAAAAUUUGGGAGAUUGGAAAGAAGUUAGGGGUUUCUUCUCUUGGAACAGAGGAGGAAAUGUUGGACAAAAUUAGAGAAUUGGAACUAAGAGACAAGGUUGGGUUUUCUAAUACUAACCAAUGGGAAGAGGGAGGUGAACCAUGAAUUGUGCUUCUAUGAAUCUUAUGGGGUUGGGGAGUACAGUUAAGAGAAGGAAGUUGAGAAGUAUUGUUGUGAAUAAUGAUAUCCAUUUUUUGGGAACUCAAGAAACAAAAUGGGAAGUGUGUGAGCCAAAUUAUUGUUAUGGUAUUUGGGGGAACAUGGAGUGUGAGUGGGAGUUCAUCCCGUCGAUUGAUCGUGCAGGAGGUAUCUUGAGUAUUUGGGAUUCUUCCAAAUUCUCAAGAUUAAGUACUCACAACGGAUCUGGUUUUCUUGCUAUGAUUGGGAUGUGGCUGCCUAGUCAAUUAAAUUGUUGCAUUGUUAACAUAUAUGCCCCAUGUAUUACUAGUUUGAAAAGGCAGCUUUGAGAGGAUUUAUUAGUGCUGAAACGAGGAUUGACAAUUGGGGCUUGGUGCUUUCUUGGUGACUUCAAUUCUAUUCAAAGUGCUUCAGAAAGAAGAGGAGGUUGUGGUGUGAGUUGCUGGAGGGAAAUGGCCUAUUUUAAUGAUUGGAUUAGAGAGAUGAAGCUCAUUGAUCUUCCUCUAAUUGGGAGAAGCUUUACUUGGUAUCAACCUGGAAGGGGAUUUAUGAGUAGACUAGACAGGAUUCUUCUGAUCAUUGUUCUAUUGUUCUUAAACAUAGGAAGAAAUCUAAAGCUGCUAUUCCAUUCAAAUUUAAUAAUUGUUGGUUGAAGCAUCCUGUUUUGUGGACUUGGUGAGUUAAUCUUGGUUGGAGACUAACAUCAUGGGUUGGUCGGCGUUUGUUGUUAAAGAGAAAUUAAAGUGUCUUAAGUUGAAGUUGAUAGCUUGGAAUCGAGAUUCGUUUGGUUGUUUGGAUACUAAAUUAGCCAAUUUAUCUGAGGACAUUCAGAAAUUUGAUCUUCUUGGUGAAUCAGCUUGUUUGUCUGAUGAUCAAAUUAUCACAAGGAAGAAGCUCUUGGCCGAUUGGUGGAAUUCUACUAAUCAGAGGGACAGUCUGUUGCUUCAAAAAUCCAGAAAUAAGUAGUUAAAGGAAGGGGAUGCCAACACAAGUUAUUUCCAUGCUUGUUUAUAUAAUAGGUGGAGGAGGAAUCAUAUUUUAGGGAUUUAGAUCAAUGGUGUUUAGUGUGAUGAGGAGAAGACUAUUUCAGAAGGGGUCACUAAUUAUUUCAAAUUCUUAUUUCACCAUACCCACAGUAAUAAUCUCACUAUUGAUGGGGUGGAGUUUCCUAAGCUUUAUGAUGUGCAAGUGAGUACUAUUGAUGGGGUCUUUUCCGAUGAAGAAAUAAAAGCUGCUGUUUGGAGUUGUGAAAGUUAUAAGAGUCUGGGACCUGAUGGGUUUAAAUUCAAGUUCUUCCAGGAGUUCUGGGAGCUAAUCAAACAUGACAUUGGCCUUUUUUCGAGAGAAUUUCAUGCGAAUGGUAAGAUUCUGAAAGGUUUGAAUUCCUCAUUUCUUACUUUGAUUCCAAAGAUGAAGAAUCCCAACAAGAUUCACGAUUUUAGGCCUAUAUCUCUUGUGGGAUCGUUAUAUAAGAUUAUUGCAAAAAAAUUAGUAGGAAGGUUAAAACAAGUUGCGGGCUCUUUAAUUUCCCCUUCACAAUCGAGUUUCAUUGAAGGUUGAUAUAUCCUUGAUGCUACGGUUGUGAUAAAUGAGGUUAUUCAUUCUGCUAAGAAACAAAGUGGUGGUUGCUUGCUUCUAAAGGUGGAUUUUGAAAAAGCUUAUGACUAAGUCAGCUGGGAGUUCCUUGAAUACAUGCUUGGCAGAUUUGGGUUCUCAGAUAAAUUGAGAUUAUGGGUUAAUGCUUGUUUCGCUUCAACUUCUAUGUCUAUCCUUGUAACUGGAUCUCCUUCUAUGCAAUUCUCAGUAUUAAAAGGUAUUAGACAGGGUGACCCUAUGGCGCCUUUUCUUUUCCUUCUGGUGGCCGAAUGUUUUGCCGAAUUGGUUAGAAGAGCGAGAGAAGUUGGGUUAUUGGAAGGUUAUAAGGUGGGAAGACAAAAUGUGAAAGUUAUUGAUCUUCAAUUCACAGAUGAUACUAUUUUGGUUUGUAAACCGACAAAUACUAAUCUUUGGUGCAUGAAGAGCAUUCUUAGAUGUUUUGAGUUGGUUUCUGGAUUGAAGGUGAACUUUCAUAAAAGUUCAUUGAUUGGUAUAAAGGUUGUUAAUACUUUUAUGGUAGCAGCAACAUCCUUCCUGUCUUGUAAGAUUGGUUCCACCCCCUUUAUUUAUCUUGGUAUUCCAGUUGGGGCUAAUCCUAGUAACUGUUCGACAUGGCAGAAUAUUAUUGAGAAGGUUUCUAAUAGAUUGGCCACUUAGAAGUGUAGGCAUAUUUCUUUUGGUGGUAGACUUGUUCUUACUAACUCUAUUCUAUCGAAUAUGCCCGCAUAUAUGUUUUCCCUGUAUAAGGCUCUGAAGAAGGUUAUCUCAAAACUAACCUCUUUGUAGAGGAGUUUUUUGUGGAGUAACAAAAGGAACCGAAAGGGGAUAUUGUGGGUUGCUUGGUCUGAUGUUUGUAAGCCCAAAACUCUUGGUGGGUUAGGGGUAAAAGAUCUUUCUCGUUUUAAUGAUGCUUUGUUAGGAAAGUGGAAGUGGAAAAGACUGGAGGAUCCUGAUGCUCUUUGGGUUGAUGUCAUUAAUUCCAAGUAUAACUUUGAGGGUGGUUCUUAUUUUUCUCGCUCGACUUCAAGGUGGUGGAGGGACUUGAUGAAGAUUGGUUCCUCUCUUUCUGCUGAUGUAACUGGUUGGAGGCGAAUAUUUGGAGGGAAGUUGGUGAUGGUUCUCAAACUUUAUUUUGGUUGGAUUUGUGGUUUGGUCAACAGUGUCUCAAAGACACUUUCCCGAGAUUAUUUUCGCUAGCGUUGGACAAGAAAGAAAAGGUGGCAGAGUGUGGGGCGUGGUAUAGUGGGAAUUGGAUCUGGAACAUUCAGUGGAGGAGACCUUUAUUUGAUUGGGAGGAAGAGACAGCUAGAAGACUUUAUGAUCUUAUUCAACAUAAUUCUUGUAAAAGUGGUGUUAAUGAUAGAUGAAAAUGGAAACUUGAUAAAUCUAGUUGUUAUGUGGUUAAAUCUGCUUAUCUUGCUCAGAUGAAUGUUGCGCCUUCUCAUACAGGUAAUAUUCUUAAUUUGAGUUGGAUUAAGUUUGUUCAUUCAAAGGUUUGUUGUCUCAUUUGGAAGGUGAUUAGAGGUAGAUUGGCUACAAAGUCUGAACUUGAAGGGAAAUAUUUUGGGGGAAGGGGAUCUUAGCUGUAGCUUGGGCUUGUUGCGUGACGAAAAUCUGGAUCAUUUAUUUCUCUCGUAUGACUUUGUGUCUACUGUUUGGAAGGGCUUUUAUUCUUGGCUUCAAGUUCAGGUUCUUAUCCCAAAUACCAUUGUUGAUUUUUUAGAACUUCACGCGUCUUUGUGUAAGUACGGUGAAGGGAAUUUGAUUUGGAGAAUGAUGUGGUUCACUAUGAUUUGGUGUGUUUGGAGUAUACAGAAUGAUGUCAUCUUUAGGGGAGAGCAACCUAGUUUUAUCCAAAUGUUAGAUUUGAUCCAGAUUAGAUCUUGGGUUUGGCUUUUUGACAAUGUUGCUCCUAAAUUCUAUUCCUUCGCACAAUGGUGCAUUGAUCCUAUUAUGUGUAUUAAACACUCUUGUAACCUGUAAUAGGGUUGACACCCCUUGUGCCGUUCUUUAAUUCAUUUGCUUAUAAAAAAAACAACAGUGUUUUAAUUUAAAUUUAUGAGUAAAUUACACUGACACCCCCUGAGUUUUAGUGAAAUUACACAAACCACCCCUGACUUUUUUACACCUACACAACCCCCCCCUAGUUUUUAUAAUUUCAUUACACUGACCACCCCUGCAUGAGAAAUAUGUGUAAUCUUUUAAACAAAAAAUAUGAUAAAUGCAAUUAAGUUAAACAAAACAUGAUAUAUUGUUGAGACAAGUCCAAAUAAUAUACAAAUCAAUGUAUUUCCGUUAAUUUUUGUUACAAAAUGCAUCAACAGUUCUAAAGAAAUAUUGUUUAAAUUGCUUUUAUACUUUAUCGUAACGAACCAAAAAUAAUAAAGAGGUAUUGACUUAUAUAUUAUUUGAACUUGUCUCCACAAUAUGUCAUGUUUUGGUUAACUUAAUUGCGUUUAUCACAUUUUUUGUUUAAAAGAUUACACUUAUUUCUUAUACAGGGAUGUCAAUGGUCGGUGUAAUGAAAGUAUAAAAAACAUAGGGUUUUGUGUAGGUGUAAAAAAGAGAUGGGUGGUUUAUGUAAUUUCACUAAAACUCAGGGGGUGUCAGUGUAAUUUACUCUAAAUUUAUUAUGUAUGGAUUGAUAUAGAAGUUGAAAAUAAAUCUUGACUUUAAUAAUUAUUGAGGAAAAAAUGUAUGUUGUGAUAGUGUAAGAGUUUUUUACACUGUCAUGGCAUAAUUCACGAUUCAUUUUCAAUUAUCAUUGACUCAUAAAUAAAAGAAAUACAAAUGAAUUGUGAAUGAUACGUUGAUUGUGAAUAAAGUUUCACACCAUCAAUUGAUAUUAUGCUCAUAAUUAUUUAUAUUAUAAAUAUGAAUUUACUUAUAUACGUUUUGUUUCAAGAAAUAAAAGUAACUAUAAAGGACAAUUACAAAUAAAUAAGGAAUUUAAAAGUAUGUAAUAAUUGAUAAGAAUAAGAUGGCUGGAUUAAUACUCCAACUCUUGAUUUAUAAAAUAUUGAUAUAUUCAGGAAUAAAAUAAAAUAAAAAAUUAAGCACUUUGAUAUGGACAAAUAUGAAAGAAAUAAUGCAUGGUAGAAAUAUUCAAUUAGUAUUUUAUAAAAAUUAACGUUAAACCUCAUGUACCUGUACUAAUGAUGGGAGAUAGUAUUAUGAACAGAUUCUAGUCAGAUCUCUUAAUUUACUAUAUGAAAUAGUUCAUAUAUAUAUAUUUUUAAAACAAAGGUGUCAACACACCCGAAAAUAUAUUAAGAAGAAAGAGACCAUUACAAACCCCUAAACCUAUAGUUAGGAAGAAGCAACAAAUUUCUAUGAAAAUCAUGCAACAAGAAGGAAGGAGGGGAUUCCCACCAAUAAUUCAAUCUAUAAUUCACACCAAAAUUAGCCAAUCUAUCCGCACAAGCAUUCCCUUCUCUAAAUAUAUGGGACACUUGCACUUGCAUAUCCAUCAUUAACCGGUUGCACUUGUUCAUAAGGUUGCUUAGUUUCCAAGGCACUUGUUUAAUGCCCUUGAAAAUGUCCACCCCCAAGGUUGAGUCAAACUCUAACCAAAUUAGAAACCAACCUUUAGAGUGAGCCAUUUGGAUAGCCAUAAUUGCAGCUAGAACUUCAGCAAAAAGAGAGUCUUGAAUGUUAAAGUAUGAAGCAAAGCAACCCAAGCAUUGUCCCUUACAAUCCCUGAAAAUAUCACCACCCCCUGCAUGCCCCGGGGAUCCCUUAGCUGCACCAUCAGUGUUGAUCUUCACCCAACCCAUCAAGGGCAGUGCCCAAUUGACCUCAGUAAUUGUAGGAGCCUUGCUAUACUUGCCAUUCACCUGGAAAGCUCUUAGGAUUGAGAAUUCCAACAAGGAGGACUUAGCACAACAUUUGGUGAAGUUGCAUGUGAAAGAAGUAUUCAACUUGAUCAUCUGAAUUGCUUGGGCAAAGCUGAUUGAAAUGUUAUCAAAUCUAGACUUAUUUCUGUAGAGCCAGAUAACAGCAAUUGAGUUGACAAUGGCAGAGAGUAUCACCUGCUUCAAUUGAGGACUCCAUUGAGAGGAUAUGGACAGGAUGCUCUUGAGAGAAGCAUGAUCUAUGCAGUAGCCGAAUUGAGUGCUUAGCCAGUUCCAAAUCAGCUUAGCAAAACCACAGUUGAAGAAGAGAUGAGCAGAAGACUCCUCAUUGGACCAACACAGAUUACAUAUAGAAGGCAAAGCCAUUCCCCUCAGCUUCAGAUUUUCAUCAGUUGGCAUUCUGUUUUUAUAAAGCCUCCAAGUGACAAAAGACUUAGAAGGAGGAAUAGAGAUAGACCACAGACUGAUGCACAUAUUGUCCUGUUGUUGAGAAGGUUUGGUGAAGUUUUAAGCUUCUUUUGAAGUUAGAAUCCCAUCACUGGUGUGAAGCCAGGCCAACUUAUCAGGCAGCUGAGAAGCAGGAAUAGGGGUUCUCAAUAUAUGAUGACAAACCUCAGGAUGAGUCCUAGUCAACCAGGAUGGGAUUAUCCAGGCCGAGUCGUGAAUGAAGUCAUGAAUCUUGGCUAAGAGAGCAGAGGAUAUUUGAUUAGGGAUGCCAAGGAGGUCAACUAAGGUUUUACCCAACCAAUUAUCCCCCAAAUAUCUUAUGCUGCUCCCAUUGCCCAGCAACCAAAUAGAGUUUUCUAAGAUGACAUGCCGAUGCUUCUUUAUGUCGGGCCAUAUGGAUGACUUUAUGUAGGAAGUCUUAGGCUCUUUAUUCCUGCAAAAUCUACUCCUAUAGUAAUUAGUCCAUUCUUGUGAAGAGGAGUUCAUUUCCCAAGCCAACUUAACCAUUGAUGCCUCAUUUAACAACUUGAUUGAUCUUAUCCCAAGCCCACCCUCUUUGAUUGGGCAACAGUCUUUGUGCCAAGCAACUGUGACUAGCUUCUUGACCUUAGUAUCUCCAGACCAGAUGAAAUUCCUUAUGCAACAGUCCAUUCUUUUUAGCAAAUUGACAGGCCAACUAUAGAUAUGAAAACUAUAAACUAGCAUAUUGUGGAUUAUAGACUUAACAAGCUCCACUCUACCCAUAAUUGAGAGACAACAACCUUUCCACUUGGCCAACUUAUNNNNNNNNNNNNNNNNNNNNNNNNNNNNNNNNNNNNNNNNNNNNNNNNNNNNNNNNNNNNNNNNNNNNNNNNNNNNNNNNNNNNNNNNNNNNNNNNNNNNCAGGAAGUUAACUUUCCAAUUUUUCUAGCAUUAGCCUGGGUAGAGAAGAACUUACACUGGCUGAGAUUUAAACACCGACCAGAAACUUUGGCAUAGUUAUUGAAUAAGUCCUUGAUUUCUAACAACUCUCUCUUGAUUCCUCUGCAGAAAACCAGAAUGUCAUCAGCAUAGAGAACAUGACUAGGGGUUGCAAUCCUAGGUCCAACAAUUGUUCUAAAUUUCCCCUUAUCCAGCAACUUAGUUAGCCCUCUGCUGAUCACUUCUUCAGCCAAACAGAAAAGAAGAGGGGAUAGGGGAUCCCCUUGUCUAACACCUCUCUUGCAGCUAAAGUACCCAACAGAGUGCCCAUUCACAGAGAUAGAGAGUUUAGCAGAUUUUAGGAUAACUUCAAUCCAAUGAAUGAAAGAAUUGGCAAACCCAAAAGGCCUUGAGAGUGUCCAUAAGGAACCUCCAAUCAAUAAUAUCAAAGGCCUUCUUGACUUUGAUUGCUAAAUUUCCACCAAGAGUUUUAUGAUCAAGAAGAUUAAUUGCCUCAGAAGCUAUAAAUAUGCAAUCAUGGAUGUGCCUAUCUUUGAUGAAGCCUCUUUGAUGUUGAGAUAUAAUUGUAGGAGCAAUUUUAGCAAGCCUGUCAGCCAGGACUUUGGUGAUUACUUUGAAUUGGAAAUUUGCUAGAGCAAUUGGCCUGAAAUCCUCAAUUUUAUCCGCCGAGGGGAAUUUGGGAAUUAGAACAAGGUUAUUAGAGUUGAGAUUAGGAAGAAUCCAACCCUGAGUGAAAAACUGCUUCACAGAUUGGCAAACAUCAGGUGCUUAUGUAUAUAUAUACAUUUUAAUUUAUAUAUAUAUAUAUACAUUUAUUUAUAUUUGAUCAGGUGCUUAUGUAGCUGGUAAAUUUUAAUUUACUAAAGUAAUUAUACAAAUGUAAUGAGUGCAAGACUUAGAUGACUUAUUUGAGUAGCUAUUAUUUAAAUGAAUUUUAUUUAACUUACCCCAGAUAAUACUAUUAUUAUUUACCAUUGUCCUUAUUGACUAAAAACAUUUCAAUGCAAAAAUGAUUUUGACUGCUCAACACAAAUUUUGAGAGAAGAACCAAGAGGGCAAUUAAGAAAAUUGAAAUGUAAAGUAGCAUGAAAUUACAAUGUGUAGAAUUAUUACAUGCAACAACAAAGUAUUACAUUAGAUAUUUGUUUGAAAUGAAACUAUGGGACACGAUGACAAGAGAAUACUCGCAUAAUUAGAGCCCUCGUCCCCUUCCCUUUAUUAUCAUUAUUCAAUGCUACAUCACUUUCAUACAUAGUAUCUUGCACUAGAAAUUUGCUAUGGUGCCUCAUCUUCCCCACCACAUCAACUCUAAUCUUCAGAACUUGAUGCUGCAAUAUUGCACAAACCAAUAAAUAAAUGAAGUGAUAUAAUUAACAAAUUUAGACCAAAAAAUAAUCUAUGCUCAUGAGAAGUACUUUAGGUUUAAUUCUAUUAAUUGGCUAAAUAUCAGUAACUAGCUAACAAAAGAGCAUGAAUGCAUACACAGGAUAAUGAUUUUUCUCUCACAUACUUGUGAGAGCUAUGCAUCAGAGUAAUUUCAUCAAAACCCUUUUAAAUUUUUUUUAUGGGUGUUAUUAUUAAUCAUUAUUUCCAAAAAUUCAAGGCAUUACGCCAAAUAUAUAAUUGAUGGUUGUUAAGAGAUAAUAAUAAUGUGGUUAGAAGCUUAGCUCCAUUCAUCCAUUUGUGUGGGUGUUAUCAUUUUAUUAACAUUUAGAUGAAAAACUUGACAACUUCCUUAAAAAAGGUAAGUAACAAGAUAAGGACAUUGUGAUGCAACAACAUAAGGAAAUUUUGAGGCAUCCUAUCUUUCCUUAAAUUACCACAAAUUUCUAUUUUGUGCUUAAGUUUAAUUAAUUUAAACAAUAAUUAGUGAAUACAAGAGAUUAUCAUAGAUAAUUUUAAUAGCAUAUCAUAAACUAAUUCAUUAAAAAUAUAAGUAGUACCAUAUAGUUAUUUAGAUCUAUUAGAACAACACUCUGUAUUAUUUUUAUUUGUUCUUUCAUUUUCACCUAACAACUCACAGAUAGCUGAAAAUAGUAUAGUUUGAUUAUAAGGUUGUCACAGAUAGCUGCAAAUAGUAUAGUUUGAUUAUAAGGUUGUAUAAAACAUGUUUCUAAUUUUAGGAAAUUAUACUUCUAAUCCUUCUUUAUAAAAUCAUCUUGUGGUAUUUCAUGUGAAUGUUAAAAUAAUCGAUUAAUAUCCCUAUGAUAUUAAAUUUAUAGUUGAUAGAAAUAACAUACGUAUUACAAUUAGUGGAUGUGCUGAUUUUGUAAGGGAGAUUGACCCCACAUUUGCCCGGGAGUGAUGCUGCAUUCUCCGGAUUGAAUUGGGUCGAAGCAGCCACGGAUUUGAGGCAAUUGCAUGCUGUUUGUUUGUCAGCGGUGCUUUGAGCCAACGCCACAAGUCCCUUGACUCCGUUGCAGCAUGUUCCAGGAACAGCUCCACCGGACUGCAGGUAAGUGAGGCAUGGAGCUAUGCCACUAACAACCUGUCCGCAUGUUAUGGUAGCCUGUGCAAUGGGUGCACCCACCACUACCAUGCACAUCAGAAUCACACAUGUUACCUUAAUGCUUGCCAUUACUUUACAAACUAAUUUGUAGUGUAUUUGAUUUUGUAUAUUGCUUACUUUACUUGGUGAGUAUAUGUGAUGCAUAGUAUGGGUUUAUAUAGAAAACAAAAGAGGAGUUUUAUGAAAUGAUAGUUUGAUGUGGUAUACAUAAUUAUUAAUUAUAUAUAAGGUUAUGUUAUAUGAUAUUUAUUCCAAUUUAAAACUAAGACAUUACUCUAAUAUAAUUAUAAAUAAUUAUUAAUUUUAUAUAAGAUUGAUAUUAUACAUAAUAUUUGACAAGGUUUUAUAUUGGGUGUCGACUGCCUAAUAUAAUUUUUACUUUUUUUCUGAAUUUAAUUAGGAUUAACUACGUAUAAUAUCAAGAAAGUUUUAUUUCCUAACCCAUAAUUUAUAAUUAUUGUUUAUUAAUAGGAUAAAAGAUUUAUUAUUAUUUAUUAAUUAUAUAAAAGUUAUCCUACGCGAUCCAAGAUCUUAUUUGAUACGAAGCUCCGGAUUGUUACCAAAGAUGCAUGUGACAGUCAUGGGUUUGUUAGUAGUUGGAUCCCAAUAAAUGUUCUAUGGUGCAUUCUCUUGUCUUUGAGCACCUGGUCAAAUAUUUACGUUAGAUAAUUUAUUUCCCGGCACUGAAGUUUAAUCUCAACUUCUCAACUAUAUAUAUCUACCGUGAUUUUUACAAUGUACAACACUACAACUUUCUUAAUAGAAGAAGAAAUAUUCCAACACAUUCUCUUUCUUGCCUUUUUUUCUUCUCUUUGCUGCCAAGAAAAAAAUUAUAAUAUAAUUGUACGUCCAAUAUUCCCCACAAUUAUUGAAAUCAAACCGGCAGAGGUUGAAAGGAAUGGUGAAUUUAUUUCUAUUUACAUUCUUCUAGAUAUUGUCUUUACUUGUUGGAUCAAGUUAGCCUCUUAGGUCAUCAAAUUGGUUUGUUAUUUAUUUAAUGAUAUUCACAUGAAUUGCGUCUAAAAACUAGUUAUUUUUAAAAAGAAUUAUUUCCAUUACAUAAUUAUUAUCAUUGUAUAUUGUUUUUGUAGCUUGCAAUAAAUUUUAAAAGACAAGAAAGAAUAACUACUAAUUGAGUCACGAUCAAGUGAUUUUCUUUAAGAUGUUUCGUGGGGCUGUCCCCUUCUUGGAAUUAAAAGGUAACAUUUACCAUGCUCUAGUUAGAGAGUAUUAUGCCAACUUUAGAUACAAAGAUGGGAAGUAUUGGUCAAUGGUUGCUGGAAAACUGUUUGAGAUUAAUGAAGACAUUUUUGUGAACGUGGGUGGUUUAUCCUGUACUGGUGCUAGUUUAAGUGAUUGUGGUUGGGCAGACAACAACCCUUUUGACCCUGUUGAAAUGUAUAAAUCUUGUUUGCGUAGACCUUAGUUAUAUGUUCAGGGUGAGUUGACCAAAGCUGGGUCGCUGUCUGUAGAGAAUAGGCUUCUACACUACCUGAUUGCCUAUAUUCUGUUUCAGAGAAACACAAAUCAUGCACAACCUACAAUGAAUGAUUUGAGAUUCAUGUUUGUUGUGAAGGAGAACAUAAUGAUUAGUUGGCCUGACGAGAUUCUAAAGGUCAUGUAUAGCGUCUCCACUUCUCAAUCAAGGUUGCUUCCCUAUAGUAUCUUCAUAUCACGAGUUAUUGAUUAUCUACAUAUUGAUGGUUCAGAUACUAUAAUGAUGGAUUGUUCUGACAAGGAUCACUUGAUUGGUGAAAGUCUGAUUCAUAAGAUGGGUAUUUACAAGUAUGGCAACACAUGACAAUAUCAAGAGGACUUCAACACUGUGAAUCUUGACCCCUCUGGUGAGGAUGAGCAAGAUGAUAACCAAGAGCCAUUUGCUGCUACUUAGGGGGAGUCUUUAGGACAUGCAUCACAUGAACUGGCUUUCGGACAAGCCUACUUGGAUGCUAUGGAACAACGUCUCAACAAUAGGAUGGAUCUCCACUUCCAGUCUCUAAAGGACUCAUAUCAUAUGGAUCUGGAGAAUUUUGAGGAGCAUCAGAAUGCUUAUAUUGACAACUAUUACCAAUCUUUGAAGAACUAUGUUCAGACCACUGCUGACUCAAAAACUAGAAGGUUGUGUGCUGAGUUCAACAAGCUGAGUACCUUCAUCAAGGGUGGUAGUAGCUCGCCGAUUCUUGACAACCAAAACCCUCCAUCUCAUCCUUAGUUAGGAGACCUUAGAGCCUUAGUUUUAUCCUUCCUAGCUAAUGGACUUUGUUGUUCCUUCUUCCCUCUUAAGAACUUAUCUUUUGUUUUGCGCUUUUGUUCUUAUUAUGGAUUGUAAUAACUCUAAAACUUCUGCUGAGUUACUGCUUUAAAAUUUGACAUUGCUUUUGGUGUAUGUGUUAAUAUUGAAUGAUUAUGCCUACUGCUAACUGCUCAAAUAUGUCAAAUGCUUAAUCAUUCCAUGCUUAAUUUGAAUAAACAUAGCCUUUCAUGCCAUUAAAACUGUUCUGUUGCUGCUUGUUGUCCAUUUAAUCGAUUAAGACCUGUUGUUAAUCGAUUAAAUGUUGUAUAAAUGUGCAUUUGUUCAAGCUUCUUACAGCUGGUUGAUUGAUUACACGCCCAAAUUAAAUGAUUAAUUACAGUCUAUCAUAACUAUAAUAAUUCUUCUGACUUUUUACUAGAAUUGAAUACUUGUAUCUUUUUGAUAAUGUCAAAAGGGGGAGAAAUGUUGCUUGUUGUGUUACAUGUAUUUUGCAGGUUGUGUAAUAGCCGUUGCAUGCUGUUAUAUAUAGCUUCCAUAAUAUGAUUGCUUACCUAAGGGGGAGCAAAUGCGCUUCAACUUUGUAUCUUUGAAAAACAACCAUAAACAACAAUUAUGCAAACUCAUCAUCAAGCUAAUCAAACGUUUUGAACAAUUUUGAUGUGGUGUUUGUCAUCAUAAAAAAGGUGGAGAUUGAAAGUGCAAAGUGUCAAGGAUAACACUAGCAAUGCUUUGCGUAUGUUUUGAUGAAGACAAGGUUCUAUUAAAGCUUGAAGAUGGCUCAACAAUCAACAUGCCUAAUGCUCAUUUCGUCAUAUCUAGACUAGGAUAGAAAUAGAGUCAUUAUUCUAAGUAGUCUGGGAUGUGUGUCGUAGUAAGUGAGUAUAGGUGAGGUGAACCUAGGUGCAAGUCUCUCAAGCCAUCUUAAUUGUCAUAUCAUAUCUAUGAGACAUAUCAUCUAGUUAAUUGUAUGUUCAUGCAUCUAUCAUACAUGUUAUAUGUGCAUAUUAGGCAUAAUAUAAUUGGUAGAACAUGUAUAUAAGUUGUGCAUAACAUAUGAGAAGUUUACCUUUUGAACCAUGUAUUUUAAUAUGCAGUUAAUCGAUUAACGUGGUGACUUAAUCGAUUAAUUUAACUGCUUUUAUGUUAAAUCAAUGUUUCUGUUACAACUGUUUUCUGUUUCUUUCUGUUGCACUUGUUAAUUGAUUAACGGGUAGCCUUAAUCGAUUAAAAGAUCUAUUAUUUGGUAUAACUGAUUUCUUUUUUAACCGUUUAACUGUUUGCAACGAAUCCAACUGUCAAAACUGCUUACUAUAAAUAGAGGCAACUUCCAGAAAACUAUAGCAUUGCAUUCUAUAGGGCUGAUUUUAGAGAGCAUAUUUCGUUCUGUUUUUACUGCUUUUUGCAAGAGAGUUGCAUGUGUGAGAAGAGAGUUAUCAUGCUGAAUUGAUUUCUGGUUUUGCAUACUUUUUCACACUUUCUUAUGUUCAUUCUUAUCUUGCUCACAUGUUGAUGCAUUAUUUGUAAUUAUUGAUAGAGAGAUACUUUGAUUUAUGUUUUUGAUUAACUCACAUGUUCUUGAUGGCUUGAGUGAUUAGUGAGUGGGUUAGUCUUAAGGUCUUUUACUUGUAAUAUUUCAUGCAUUAUUGUGCUUAUAAUACCUUGCUGUUUUAACCUUUUUUUUUGUGUUUCUGGAUUGAUCUCUUGGUGUCGUACCACCACAGAGAUUGGGAUUCUUCACCAAGACUAGGAGGUCUUAAUUUGAGGACAAGAAUAUUGGCUAGGGCUGUUUCGCGAGAAAUAUUUUCUCAGGCGAAAGGUAGAGUCAAACCAAGGGUUUAGGGGUCCUAGAUUUCAAGAAAGAAGCGUCCUAUUUUCUUGUAAUUGAAUUGGUGUGUGUAAUCAUACGUUUACUCAAUAUUGUGAAGAAAAAAAUCUCCCAAGAUCAGAAGGGGAGGCCUGGAUGUAGUUUGCAGUAGACCGCAAACGAACCAGGAUAAAAAUCCAUCUUUGCACGCUUUUCUCUCCCUUUACUUUUCUUGCUGUUUCAAUUUGAAUUUAUAGCUGAUAUUUUGCAUAUGUUUUUUUACUGCCAUAUGCUUAUUAAUAGUGCUUAAAAAUAUCUAUUUUAUCUCUGUUCAAUUGAUUUUAAAUAACUGUGCAAUCUGCCUCUCUGAUAAUUUUAUUCUGUGCAUGUGUUAAUCGAUUAAGACUAGGUGUUAAUCGAUUAACUGGGCUGUUUCCAGAAAUUGGGUUUUGGUGCAAAAAGCGGUGAUCGAAAACCGCAACACCUAUUCAACCCCUCCCUUCUAGGUGUUCCUAGGCCACUAAUACCUAACAAUUUUAAUGAUCUGCAUGGAAUGAUAGAUAACACAUAAAAUGAUUAAUGAUAUUAUUUGAGAACAUUUUAAAAUCUAUUUAAAUGUGUAAUUACUACAUAUUCCAUUUAUUAUAUUUAAAAUGUUUUUCAAAGUUUCAUAACAACUUUAAUACAUAAUUUUAAAGUAGAAACUAAAUUGUCAUAAUUAAUGACAAUAAUUCCUUAAUUAUAGGAAAAGAAACAUUUGGGAACUAUCAACUUUUAUUUUUAAUUAGUAUUUAAAAUAAUUAAUGAUUAAUCUAUGAAAUAAAUCAAAUAUCAUCAAAUUUUCUCAUUAAUUUUAAUAUCAUAGUUUAUUUUAUUAAUAAUAUGAUUGAAUUCCUGAUAUUAAUGCACUUUAAUGAUAUUAAAUGAGAAUAUUUUAAGAUUUAUUUAAAUAAUUAGAAUUAAACAUUGUUAUUUUUAUGAAAUAAAUUCACUAUAUAUCAUUUUAAAGCUAGAUAAAAUAAUUGAAUAACAAAAAAAAUUCUUAUUAAUUGUAAUAUAAUAGCCCAUUCUUUCUAUUAAUAAUAACAUUAGAUUUCUACUAUAAGUGAGGCUCGAACUCACAACUUUCUUAAUUACAUUUCUUAAAUUUUUUCACCUUAAUCAUCCUACCAACUUAUGACUCACAAUCAUCGUUAUAUAUUUGUUAAUAUUAUUAAUUACAUUAUAUAUUCAAUAAUUGUUACGAAGAUUCCUUAUAUAUUUCAUAAUUGUUCUAAUAAUUUACUGUUAUUGUUUUUAAUUUUCUUAAUCUACUAUCUUUAAUAUUUUGUUUAUGUUAUAUUUCAUAUUGUUACUAUUAUAAUAUAUCAAUUGUAAAAUAUAAUUACAAUUUUAUUAAUUACAUUAUAUAUUCUAUAAUUGUUUCGAAGAUUACUUAUAUAUUACAUAAUUUACAUGUUCUUUAUGAUAGGUCUUGGUUUAUAUUGUUAAUUGUAACGCCCCGAAAAUUACUUCAAAAAAAUCUUGCGCAAAAAUGGGUAAUUUUUUUAAUAAUGAUGCCAUAUAAAAUUUAGUUCCUUAUAUUCGUUUCAUUUUCGGAACAUCACUUUAAGUAACAUACAAUGCAGAAAAUAAAAAACACCAUUACCUAAAGGUAAUAAAAAUAUAACUCAAUAUAACUUUGAAUCAUACUUCAUUAGAAUAUCAUGAAAUGUUGGUACGAAGUACAAGGCGGAANNNNNNNNNNNNNNNNNNNNNNNNNNNNNNNNNNNNNNNNNNNNNNNNNNNNNNNNNNNNNNNNNNNNNNNNNNNNNNNNNNNNNNNNNNNNNNNNNNNNGAAAAUCAAGGUGCUCAACCAGGUAGCUAAGCGUGGAACAAGCCCCGUUGAGCUGAUCUGGCCACCUGCCUGACCUGGCCACCUUCCUGACUUAGACCAGACUGCUCUACCAGCCAGCUGAGCGGACCUGCUUAGCCGCUCAGCCUAGCACCAGACUAGGCCUGGCACGGUCAGAAAUAUGCUUGACACGGUCAGACACGAGCUUGGCACAAGCCAAGCUGCUGAACAAGCUGCUCAGCAGUCAAACCAAGCUGCUCAGUGGAGAACCAGACUCAUGGCCAGAUCAGCAAGCACCAAACCACGUCCCAGUCAACACGGUCAGAAGCUGUUGAACAAGAAGCUCAGCUGUGAAGCAGGUGCGCUGGGAGGUGCUUACCAGACUUGACUUAACCAUCAAGCAAACCAUGAAGUCAUCCAUGAACUCACCUCAAGUAGUCCACCAUAGGCUUUUCAGAAGUAGGUCACAAUAGCUGGUCUCAUAGCCCACAACUAGCUUUGGUGAGUCAUGCACAAGGAGGUGACUAAGCUACUUGGUCAAGGGACCAAACACAUGCUGAAGGGUUUGGUCAGCUACUGAGNNNNNNNNNNNNNNNNNNNNNNNNNNNNNNNNNNNNNNNNNNNNNNNNNNNNNNNNNNNNNNNNNNNNNNNNNNNNNNNNNNNNNNNNNNNNNNNNNNNNUGAGAAGUACUUAAUGCUCUUUUUAGAUUGAUCACCUAAAAAAUGAUUUCAAGUCAAAACUACUUGUCUCAAACACUUAACAAAUAAACGUUGGAGUAGUUGUACUACUUAGUUUAUUUGCCAAGUUAAGCAUGUUUUUCUUAAGAUCUUACAUUCAUCACUCAUUCAAUAUUAGAGUCACCAAUGGUUAGGGUGUGACAACCUAAUCUCUUUUAUGGUCUUGGUAUUUUUUAAGUGAUGAAUAUAAGUGUUUAUGAUUCUACCAUUUUGGGAUAUACACUAAAAGGAGGAUUUUAGACCUUGGUGUUUGGGGAUAACCAAAGUAAAACAUAAGAACUUGUCUAAGUAGUUCAAACUCAAAAUGAAGAUGAGAAAUAUGUUUUCUUAUUCAAAAAGAUUUUGUCUCCUCAAGAAUUUGUGAAUAAUUAGUUUGUCGAUUUCGGGAACCAGAUUCAAUCAUUUGAGUCACGGUCUUUCCCAAGGGUAAAUACACUUCACACCCAAGCUAGGGCUAUUGCCUCUAACAAAGCAAUUCCUUAAUUUUAUUAUUUUAAAGAAUUUCAUAUAGUUAUUUACCUUUAUAACUUCUUGAUGGAAAACAUGCCAUUAGGCUCUCGUAUAUAUGAGAGUUCUCAUUCAUACGACUUAAAAAGAAGUCAUGUCUGUAUGGAGGUCACUCGCUCUCGCUCAAGCUGUCUCGCUCAAGCGGGGGCACAUCCAUUUUUGAGGCAUUUGUGGCUUAAGCGAGAGCUGUCUCGCUUAAGAGAGAAAACAAUCAGUUCUCUUGGUGCCUAUUUUAGCUCAAGCGAGAGCUGUCUUGCCCCGAGCUAAAACAUUCGGUUUCUCUAUACACUUCUCGCUCAAGCGAGAGCUAUCUUGCUCAAGCGAGAGCUGUCUUGCUCAAGCGAGAAGAACCUGAUUAUCAUUUUAAUUACUUUUCUCAAGGAAAAUAUUUCUCAUUUAUAUCACAUGUUUUUAAACCUUGAAUUUAUUAAUUGUCACAUACAUAUCAUUCCCAUAAUAAUCAUUCAAACAUUAUAAUUCAAGAGUAAACAUGAAUGUGGUAUUUGCAUAUAUAAACAUAACAUAAAUCGGUAUAAGAAAUAUUGAUGUACUUAAUCCAAACAAACAUGCAAUUGAUUAUUAAGUACAAGUUUUUUUAAUACCCAAGGCAACUCCAAACUUGUGAGGGAUUUUGGGUACCGGAUCGAAAUUCUCCACUGUUUUCAAUCCCAAUGCAUUUUAGUUUCUCGAAUGGUGUUCCUUCAUGGAUAACAAAGGUCAAAAACUACAUAAAGGUUCAUAUGAAGUAUGAGAAGAAGAUGAAGAAGAGAAAAUAAAAGACUACCUUAGUUUGUAUAGGAAAUUUAGUGUAAAAAUNNNNNNNNNNNNNNNNNNNNNNNNNNNNNNNNNNNNNNNNNNNNNNNNNNNNNNNNNNNNNNNNNNNNNNNNNNNNNNNNNNNNNNNNNNNNNNNNNNNNUGAUGUGUCUAAUGGUGGUGGAGUGAGAGGAUUUGUUGAGUGAUUUAGGGGAUUUUGUGUAAGAUGAUAUGUACUUUUACUUGUUUAACAAGCAAGCUUCUUACAUGAAAGUGAUGUAACCUUUUUGAUGACACAUUCUCGAUUAAACCAUUCCCGUGUAUUGUCGGUUAAUACCCGGCCGGAUAAUAAAAAUCUCUUAAUUUCGGUUUAUGGUUAGAACUUCGAAACACGGAAUUCGGAGUGAAAGUAAUUAGAAAUGCGUUAUGGACAAACUUGAUAUCUAUCUUGACUCGAAAUAAAAUUUCAAAGCCAAUGGCGCAAUCGGAAUUCAAUUCCGAGGUACGGAACUCAAAAACACGUUAUUGGGUCGAAUACGGGCGAAUUUGGGCUCGACAACUGCUCAAAAACUUUCCGUCACAGAAAAUUAUGAACAUUUACCACAAAAUAGGAAAUCAGAAAACAAGACUAACACUCAACUACGGUUUAGUCUAAUUCAAUACCGAUUAAUUUCGAAAAUUAAUCGUUGUUAAAAUAAAUAAUUAAUAAAACAUGCACAAAAACUUCAUGGUGUUACAUUAAUUGAUUCUUUCAAUUUUGAAACUGGUCUGCAUAUUUAUAUUUUUUUUUGUAACUCAAACAAAAAAUUCCAACUAUUCUAUUUCUUCAUGAAUUUCGUUUCAUAUGUUAUAAUUCAACCAAUUUAUAUCCAUAAUGAGAUUUGUUUAAAAUAUGGAAAUCAUAAAUAAUUUAAUCAAAAUAUAUUUCCUAUUAUUAUUAUUAUAUUGCAAUUGUAAAAUAUAAUUAUAAAUUCUGUAUAUACUCCUUCAUUACAUUAUAUAUUUCAUAAUUGUUACGAAGAUUCCUUAUAUAUUCUAUAAUUGUUACGAAGAUUCCUUCAUUUAGUUGUUCUUUCUGAUAAGUCUUGGUUUAUGUUGUUAAUUAAUUCUUUCCAUUUUGUAAAUGAAUCGCAAAUUUAUAUACUAUUUCUGUAACUGGUACAAAAACUCCAAAUAUUAUAUUUCUUCAUGAGUUUUGAAUCAUGUGUUAUAAUUAUAUCAAUUUAUAUCCAUAAUAAGCAUUGCUUAAAAUUUGAAAAUCAUAAAUAAUUUAAACAAAAUAUAAAUCAAAUCAAUUGGUUAUCACAUUCAAAAUUCAUUAGUUAUAUUUCUGCAAAUUUAUCUCCAUAAUGAGGAAUGCUUAAAAUUUUGAAAUCAUAAAUAAUUGAAAUCAAAUAAAAAUAAAGACUUUAUUCUUCUCCGUAUAUGGGAAUGCCAUAAUAUCUAGAAGCAAAGAAAUGAAAAAUGUACUUUAAACACGGAUUUAUAAAAUAAUAAUAAAUCUACAAAACGAAUAAAAAAUACACUUUAAAAAGGAUGGUUGGAAGAGAAAGAAUAUGACGAUAAUGAAGAGACAUAAUGAAAUGAAACCAAAGAAAAUGAAGAUUGUUGGGAGAGAAAGAUUGUUGAAAGAGAAAGAGAAAGUCAUGGAUCUCAAUAACAAUCUAAAUGCAAUUUAAGGUGUAGUCAUAAAAAAUACAAUAAUUAUUUAUUAAAUUGUUACUAUAAUCAAGAAAGAGCAAAUAUAGUAUGGAAAUAUACAUAUGAUUACCAUGAAACCAUUUAGUAGGGAAAAAAUGAAGGAGAAUGUGACAUGUGGCAAAUGAUAAGGUGAUAGGAGUUUUUAUUUUAUUUUAUAGUUCAUAGAUUUGUGUGGUGUAAAAGAUAGAAUGAACCUCAAGAUAAAAUAAAUCUUAUAUUAGGUCUAACUGAUUUAACCAAUUAAAUUAUUCUAUAAAAUUGGAUAUGACAUUAUAAAAAAUUAAUGGUUAUAUAUAAAAUUAAUGAUUAUCUAUAAAAUUAGUAGGAUACCCGUGCAUUUGCACAGGCGAAGUGUUUUAUUGGGGAUAUGAAUUUAAAGAAUUGAAUUUCAAGGUUGUAUAAUAAAAAGGAAAGAAGAUUUUUUUAGGAUGUAAUAGUUUUUUUUUUUGUUUCUUACAGGUAUCCUCGCACUGGAUUCAAUCAUGUCUGAGUUAAGAACAUACAUAGGUAUGUGAGGCUAAUUCUCCCAGCGUGUAUUUUUUUCCAUCAACAAGACUCGAACCCGAGACCAUGCUUAAAGGGAAUCAAGCAUGUACCACUUGAACCAAAACCCAUUGGUUCUCACUUUCCUUUAUAUCUCCAUUUCAAAACUCUCUCUUAUGAUGUAAUAGUUUGUAAAUAAUUAAUGUAUUUUAUAUUAAAUAUGUAACAUUGGAGGUUGAUAGUUUGUAUUUAACCUCAUAAAAUCUAAAUAAAUGACACAUUAGAGUUUAAGAAAAAUAAUAAUGUAGUCUACGAAUCUUAAAGUAGAAGAAAAUGUUAUAGGUUUUGGAAAACUUCCUUGUAAACAACAUUUGUUGUUGACUUUAGAGCUUUAUCAUCCUUAUCAUGUAUCAUUAUCUUCAAUCAUUUUUUACUUAAAAUUUGUUGCACUCUUAAAAUUGUGAUAUAUAAUUGCUUGAAAACUAUAUUUUUACUUCUGUUUUAAUUCAAUUAUACGUUGACUUAAUGUUUCACGAUUUUGAAUUGCCCGAAAACUAUAUUUGAAAAAAGUAGAAUCAAUGUUAUAAUUAUACAUUACGUGUUAAUUAAUUAAUUUUAAAAUAUAUUUGUUCGUAAAUAAAUAUUAUCUACUUCUAAACUAAUUUAUGUUUGAAAUUUAUUCAUUUAUCAACAAUUUUAAAGCAUACCAUGAAUUAGAAAGAGAUAAUAGGUAUUUACCUAACAAAUGAUUAAAUAAUAAUAUAAAUAAGCAAGAGAAACAAAAGAUAUUUGAUUAAGACAUAAAAGUUUUAAAAAUUAUUAUGACUUUGUGGUUAUUUGAUUCUUGCAUGUGUUACAAUAAUAAUUAUGGAUGUAUUUGUUGACCUCUUGUUACAGUGGUUGAUAAACUUUGUUGCGUGACAUUCCCAAUGAGUACAACCAAUGACAUCUUCGCUACUUAAAAUUUUAAAAUUAAGUUAGGAAAAUUACAAAUAUUUAUAUAAAUAAAGCAAUAUUAUUGAUGACUUUUUUAAGUUUGUCUCGGUGUGGAGAAUAUUAGUUCAUUAACAACUUCAAUAAUAACCAUUUGGGUCAAUAAAAAAAGUGUUAUCAAUGUUACAAAUAAUUAAAGUAUUUGUUGAGCUAAAUUUUUUUGACUAAAAUAAAAUGAAAGAAAUAUUUUGAUUUAAUCUACUAACAAAUCAGUGUGAAAAUUCUCAGCUAGUAUGUCCCCAAAAUGUUUUAAACAAUAUUCAUAGUGUUGUACCAACAAUAAGUUUCAUCAUAUAGUAACUUGUAUCUUACUAUAAAAUGCAAUUUAUUAUUACAUUCACCGAGUUCAUCUUUCCUUAAAAGUAACUUGUAUCUUACUACCCUAUAAUAUAUAAAACAAUAUAUUAUUAUAAAAACAAUUGUAGGAACUAAAUGUUUUAUUGGACUUCAUAUAAAAUGGAACAUCACUAUCCAUCAUAUCAUUUCAAGAUGUUCUGGUUUUGGUGGUAUUCUAACAUACCAAAGAUAAGAAAUUCUAAAAAUAAGAAAAUUGUCAUAAUUGAUUUGUUAUUUAUAAAUAUUCAUAAUAAAAGUACUUAUAUUUUCCAUUAAUAUAUCUAACAUUGUUAUCUUUUAAUUAAAUAAUAUAAUGAUAAUAAUUAAAUGUUAUACAAAUUUUCAUUUAUUAUACUGUCAUCUCUUAUACUAAUAUAUAUUCAAAAGUUGUUAUGGUUUUUAAUAUCCUUGAUCUAGUAUCUUUAAUAUUCUCUUUAUGUUAUAAUUAAUAUUAUUACUAUUUUAAUAUUGUAUAGUAACAUUGCAAUAUUAGAAGCAAACACUAAACCCAAAAUGAAUAUAUCUAUAAUGAGUGUUGCCUAAAAUUAAAGAAUAAAAAAUAAUUCCAAAAAAAUAUAAAUAAAAAAUGUGUUAAAAUGCAUACAACAUUGUAUAUUUUAUGAUUGCUUUUAGUAAAAUAUAGGUAGAAAAAUCAAUUACAUAAUCACAAUAAAAUCAAAUCAAUGACAUAUUAUUCAAUUAUUUAGUAAAAAUAAGACUAUUAUUAUAUUAAUUUUAUAUUGUGACUCAUUAUGUUUUAUAGUCUCCGAUUUAUAUACAAAUUCUUGAUUUUAUAAUUGAUCUUAUAUGUACAUGUAUUAAUUUGUAGUUUGAAAUAUACUAAUAAUGUUUCAAAUCAUUGAGUAUUAAUUUUAAUAAUAUUGUUUUAUCUUAUUUUGUUCUACUAAAGGAUUUGAUAAUCUAUUAGUAUGAGAUACUCUUUCUAAUCUAUUUGAAAAACACAUUAAUUUAGGAUUUGACUGAAUAUUUUUCCUGGUAAUUUUAAUGAAAUGUAUAAAAAGAUUCUCAUAAUUGAUUUAUUAUUUUUAUAUAUUCUUUAUUAAAAUACUAAUAUUUUCCAUGAAUAUAUCUACCAUUAAUUUUAUCUUUUAAUUAAAUAAUAUAAUGAUGGUAAUUAAAUAUUUUGAAAAUUCUCAUUCGUUAUUUUCUCAUAUGUUAUACUAAUAUAUAUUCAAAAACAUUUAUUAUUUUUAAUCUUCUUAAUCUAAUAUUUUUAAUAUUCUAUUUAUCUUAUACUUCUCAUUAUUACUAACUUAAUAUUGAAAAAGUAAAUUUGCAAUAUUAGAAGUGUAACACCGCGAAUUUUACGAUUUUGAAUUAUAAGAUUUUAUUAAUAUUUUUAUUAAUUAUAUAUUCGAAAAUGAAUUUCUGGGAAUUUUCGGUAAAGAAUUAGAUAAAACUCUAGUUGAGUUUUAGUCUUGAAAUUUUAUUUCCUAUUUUGUGGUAAAUUUUGGUAAUUUUCAGAGACAGUCGGUUCUGAACCACUGUCGGGGCCGAAAUCCACCCGGUACGGCUCAAAAAGUGGUUUUUGAGUUCCGUAACUCGGAAUUGAAUUCCGAUCGCACCGUUGGCUUCGUAAUUUCAUUUUGAGUCAAUAUAGAUUCUGUAUACACUCAUACCUAUUUUCUAAAUAUUUUUCACUCGGAAUGCCGAAAUCCGAAAUUCUAAUCGGAUAUUACGAUCGGGCGAUUUAUAAUAUCCGAUCGGUAUUAGCCGAUAAUCUUCGAGCACGAUUAUCGCGCGUAUCCGUGAGGGAUCAUUUCGCAUUGGGAUGCGAAAGUUGACUUCCAUAAAGUAAACCUCACAUCACUCAAUCUCAUCAUUAGCCACCCUAGGAAGCCACCCUAGGAGAUCUUCAUGAGUGCCUAGGAGGGAAAUCAGAUUUCCCUCUCCCCUUAAGCACUCCUCACUCCACAAUUCUCCCACACUCUUCAUUUGAAAAAUUUUCUAAGAGAAGGUAAAAACCUCCCUUCAAGUUUUUUCUCAUUUUUCUCAUUUCUUCUUCCAUUUUCAAACCUCGAUCUCUCAACAUUCAACCAAUAGAUGUUGAUGAGAUUUAAGUAUGAUGUUCAUGAGCAUGUCAAGAACAUAUUCAACCGUUGAAAUUUUCUAAAACGCUUUCUANNNNNNNNNNNNNNNNNNNNNNNNNNNNNNNNNNNNNNNNNNNNNNNNNNNNNNNNNNNNNNNNNNNNNNNNNNNNNNNNNNNNNNNNNNNNNNNNNNNNAUUUUCUCUCAAAUCUCAGAGGAACAAGUCCAACAUUAUCCCUAAUCUCCAACCUAGCCCAAACCUAAUCACCCUACUCCAUUUCCACUCCAGAAACCGGUUUCUCCAUCUCAAAUUUCCAAGAAAUUCGUUUUCCCCAAAUUGAUAACCCUACCUUAGGUUUCCCUAAAUCCCUCCAUUAAACCUUCGUCAAGGUUCAGUUUCAACAUCAAUGGAGAGAGGACAUGCUAAAAGAGUCAAGACAACCGCUCAACGUCCACCGCAUGUCCCAAAAGUCGUGCCAUCUCAACAAGCAAGGCAAGACCAUGGGGACCCGUAUUAUUCGCAGAUUCUGCAAGAAACUCGGUUGCUCAAAUUUAUGGGGAGGAAACCAACAUACAUAAGGUUUGCAAAUUUGACUUGGCUAGCAGAACAAAACUUUGACUUUCCGCAUGGUUUGCAAGCACAAGGGGUUGUCCCCUUCUUGGAAUUAAAAGGUAAUAUCUACCCUGCUCUAGUUAGGGAGUAUUAUGCCAACUUUAGAUAUAAGGAUGGAAAGUAUUGGUCAAUGAUUGCUGGAAAACUGUUUGAGAUAAAUGAAGACAUAUUUAUGAACGUGGGUGGUUUAUCAUGUACUGGUCUUAGCUUAAGUGACUGUGGUUAGGCAAACAACAACUCUUUUGAUGUUGCUGAAAUGUAUAAAUCUUUUUUGUGUAGACCUUAAUGUAUGUUCAGGGUGAAUUAACCAAAGUUAGGUCGCUAUCCGUAGAGAACAGGCUCCUACAUUAUCUAAUUGCCUAUAUUUUGAUUCAGAGGAACACAAAUCAUGCACAACCUACAGUGAAUGAUUUGAGGUUCAUGUUUGCUGUAAAGGAGAACAUAAUGUUCAACUGGCCUGAAUAAAUUCUGAAGGUCAUGUACAAUGUCUUCACUUUACAAUCAAGGUUGCUUCCUUAUAGUAUCUUCAUUUCACGAAUUAUUGAUUAUCUGCAUAUUGAUGUCUCGGAUACUAUAGUGGUGGACUAUUCUAACAAGGAUCAUUUGAUUGGUGAGAGUCUGAUUCAUAAGAUGGGUAUAUAUAAGUAUGGCAACACAUGGCAAUAUCAAGAGGACUGUAACACUGUGAAUCUUGACCCCUCUAGUGAGGAUGACCAAGAUGAUACUCAAAAGCCAUUUGCUACUACUCAGGGGUAGUCUUCUGGUCAUGCAUCAUAAGAACCAACUUUUGGACAAGCCUACUUGGAUUCUAUGGAACAAUGUCUCAACAACAGGAUGGAUCUUCACAUUAAGUCUCUGAAGGACUCAUAUCAUACGGAUCUGGAGAAUUUUGAGGAGCGUCAGAAUGCUUAUAUUGAUAACCAUUACCAAUCCUUGAGGAAUUUUGUUCAGACAACUGCUGACUCACAAAACAGAAGGUUGUGUGCUGAGUUCAACAAGCUGAGUACCCUCAUCAAGGGUGGUGGUAGCUCGAUGAUUCCUGACAACGAAAAACCUCCAUCUGAUCCCUAGUUAGGAGGCCUUAGAGCUUUAGUUUUAUCCUUCAUAGAUUAUGGACCUUGUUGUUCCUUGUUACCCUCUUGAGAACUUAUCUUUUAUUUCAUGCUUUGGCUUUUAUAUGGAUUGUAAUAACUCCUAUCUUCUGCUGAUUUACUACUUCGAAAUUUGAUAAUGCUUUAAAUGAUUUCAAAUUAUCUUUCUCAUGCUUGAAUGGUAAUUAUGUUGCAUAUAGUAUACUCUUAUGUUUAAUGGAUCUUGAUCAUGUUUGGUGUAUGUAUCAAUAUUGAAUGCUUAUGCUUGCUGCUAACUGCUCAAAUAUAUCAAAUGCUUAAUCAUUCCAUGCUUAUUUUGAGUAAACAUAGCCUUUCAUGCCAUUAAAUCUCUUAUGUUGUUGUUUGUUGUCCAUUUAAUCGAUUAAGUCCUGCUGUUAAUCGAUUAAAAAAUGUAUAAAUGUCCAUUUGUUCAAGCUUCUUACAACUGGUUGAUUGAUUAAUCGCCCAAAACUUAUUGAUUAAUUAUAGUCUGUCAUAACUCUAAUAACUCUUCUGACUUUUGAAUAGAAUUGAAUACUUGUAUCUUUUUGAUAAUGUCAAAAGGGGGAGAAAGGUUGCUUGUUGUGUUAAAAUGUAUUUUGCAGGUUGUAAUAGCUUUUGCAGGUUGUUGUAUAUAGCUUCAGUAAUAUAAUUGCUUACCUAAGGGAGAGCAAAGGCACUUCAACUUUGAAACUUUGAAUAACAACCAUUAUGCAAACUCAUCGUCAAGCUAAUUCAUCAAAAGUUUUGGACUAUUUUGAUGUGGUAUUUGUCAUCAUCAAAAAUGGGGAGAUUGAAAGUGCAAAAUGUCAAGGAUAGCACUAGCAAUGCUUUGCCUAUGUUUAGAUGAAGACAAGGUUCUAUUAAAGCUUGAAGAUGGCUCAACAACCAACAUGCCUAGACCUCAUUGGUCAUAUCUAGACUAGGAUGUAAAUAGAGUCAUUAUUCUAAGUAGUCUGGGAUGUGUACAUUAGUAAGUGAGAAUAGGUGAGGUGAACCUAGGUGCAAGUCUCUCAAGCCAUUAUAAUUAUCAUAUCACAUCCAUGAGACAUAUCAUCUAGUUAAUUGUAUGUUCAUGCAUUAAUCAUACAUGUUAUAUGUGCAUAUUAGGCAUAAUAUAAUUGCUAAAACAUGUAUAUGAGUUAAGCAUAACAUAUGAGAACUUUACCUUUUGAACCACGUAUUUUAAUAUGCUAGUUAAUCGAUUAACAUGGUAACUUAAUCGAUUAACUCAACUGUUUUUCUAUUAUAUCAAUAUUUUUAUUACAACUGGUUUCAGUUUCAAUUUUGUUGCACUGGUUAAUCGAUUAACGAGUUACCUUAAUCGAUUAACAGGUCUGUUUUGUAUUAUAACUGAUUUAUGUUUUAACUACUUAACUGAUUGCAACGAAUCCAACUGUAAAAACUGCUUAGUAUAAGUUGAGGCAACUUCUAGAAAAUUGUAGCAUUGUAUUCCAUUGUAUAGGAUUGAUUUAGAGAGCAUAUUUCGUUUUUGCACUCUGUUUUUGCAAGAGAGUUGCAUGUGUGAGGAAGAGAGUUUACCAUGCCUUAUUGAGUCUUUGAUUUGCAUACUGUUUUUCAUAUGCUUAUUCUCAUCCUUAUCUUUCUCACAUGUUCAUGCAUUAUUUGUAAAGAUUCUUAGAGAGAUAUAUUGAUUACUAUUUUUUAUUAACUCACAUGUAUUUGAUGGCUUGAGUGUAUUGUGAGUGGGUUAGUCUUAAGGUCUUUUAAUUGUAAUAUUUCAAGCAUUAUUGUGCUUAUAAUACCUUGCUUUAAUCGAUUAACUCAACUGUUUUUCUAUUAUAUCAAUAUUUUUAUUACAACUGGUUUCAGUUUCAAUUUUUUUGCACUGGUUAUCGAUUAACGAGUUACCUUAAUCGAUUAACAGGCCUGUUUUGUAUUAUAACUGAUUUCUGUUUUAACUACUUAACUGAUUGCAACGAAUCCAACUGUAAAAACUGCCUAGUAUAAGUUGAGGCAACUUCUAGAAAAUUGUAGCAUUGCAUUCCAUUGUAUAGGAUUGAUUUAGAGAGCAUAUUUCGUUUUUGCACUCUGUUUUUGCAAGAGAGUUGCAUGUGUGAGNNNNNNNNNNNNNNNNNNNNNNNNNNNNNNNNNNNNNNNNNNNNNNNNNNNNNNNNNNNNNNNNNNNNNNNNNNNNNNNNNNNNNNNNNNNNNNNNNNNNGAAUAUUAUUCUCAAUGGAUACAAUAUUAUUAUCUUUAUCACAAUUCCAUUAUUCAUUAACUUUAAUAAAAAUAAUAAUAUUAAUAUCAUUAUUUUAGAUUGUGGCUUAUUAUAUUUUGUACAGUUCAAUAUUUAUACUAUUAUGAAUUCAUAAAAUCAUAAAUAUGAAUAUUUAAAAUUAAUUUUAAUAUCAAUAACGUUAAUAAAUCGAUGUUUACAUAUUAAAGUUAUUAUUAUGUUUAUAUUAUUUUUUAUAAUAUAAAAUAUAACUUUUAUAGUAUAUAUAUUUGACUUAAUAUUUUCAUUGUUUGAAUUUAGUUUCUUCAUCCAUGUUAUUAUCGAAGUUCUAUUUAUAUUAUUUAGAAUAAAUAUAUGUUAUAGGUUAUACAUAUUUCUUAUUAGUUAUUUUAGAAUUAAACAACAAAUGAUUAUACAUUUAUAUCUAUAAUGAGCCUGUCUAAAAUUUAGGAAUCAGAAAUAACUUUGAUCAAAAUUGUAUUAGUAUUUGAAAUAGCCAUUUUCCUAAGAUUAUUAUUCUAUUUUUGGUGGUUCAUUUUACCUACAAGAUAGAGAUAGAAAAAGACCUUGUUAUACUUUAUAUUGUUCUGUAUGAAGAUGAAGGGCAUCACACCUUAUAAUGUAUUGAACAACACAUCAUUAUCAUAUUAAUUUAAAAAUCAUCAAUAAGUUUAUAUGUCAUUAUUAUUUGACUAUAAAAUAAGAUUAAUUUCAAAAAACGCAUUAUUAUUAUUUGACGAUAAAACAACUGCAAACAAAUAAAAUUCAAAAAUUGUUACUAUUGUUACUACUCUUAAUAACUACUAACAAAUAAUAAUAAUAGAAAAUUAUUAAUAUUCUUUUUUUAUCAUAUUUCUUUUUGUUACUAUUUGAAUACUACAACAGUAACAUUGCAAUAUUAGAAUCAAAUCUAAACAAUAAACAAAAUAUAUUCAUAAUGAGUAUUGUCUAAAAUUAAGGAAUACAUAUUUGUUAUGACUUAUAACUACUUCAUAUUACCUAUUAUAUAAUUAAACAAUAAAUGACUAUAAAUUUAUAUUUAUAAUGAACAUGGUCUAAAAUUAAGGAAUCAUAAAUAACUUUGAUUGAAAUUGUACUAAUAUUUGAAUUAGACAUUUUCCUAAGAUUGUUAUUCUAUUUUAGUUUUAAAAUGUCAAAUCAUUUAUUAGUUAAAAAUAUAGCUAAUAUUUUCAGAACUAAUAGAGGAAAAUUUAAAAUCACAAACAUAUAUAUUAAAAUUUAUAAAUUUUGUUUGUUACAAUUCUAUAGUUACAAAUCCUUUUUUACAAUUUGAAUUUUAUGAAAAUAUAUUAUUACACUGUUAUAAUUUAAAUAUUAUAAUGAUUGUACUUUAAUAUUAUAUAACAUUAUGUAAUAAUUGUACUUUAAUUUUUAAUAUAUAUAAAGUCUAAACUUGAAAUAACUACCACCAUGAUUCUAUUUUCCUAUUUUUCCCUAAGUAUGUUUUAUUUUUAAAGUAAAUUCAUAUAAUCAUAGAUAACUAUAAUUAGUACAUCUCAUUUUAAGUUGGCUAUUAUAAUAAAUACAAAAAUUAUAACAUGAAGUACAUCUAAUAAAAAACAUUCUAAUUCUCUAAAAUAAAAAAUACAAAUUUAAUACUUAAUAUCAAAAUAUAAGAAUGCAGGUCGGCAGACAUGAAGUGUUUGUCGACACGCUAGUAUUAUAUAAUGUAACAACUGCAUAUUAAGUUAAUUUGCUAAGCGUUUUAUUGAUUUUAUAUUAAAUAAAUUUUAAAAUAACGCACAUGACCAAUAAAUGUUUCAUAACGUAGUGAAAAUAUUGAUUAUACAUUUAUAUAUAUAAUGAGGAGUGUCUAAAAUUAAGGAAUCGGAAAUAACUUUGAUUGGAAUUAUACUAAUAUUUGAAUAGUCAUUUUCCUAAUAUUGUUAUUCUAUUUAGGUGUAAAAUAUCAAAUCAUUUAUUAGCUAAAAAUAUAACUGGUACUUUCAGAACUAAUAGAGGAAAAUUUAAAAUCACAAACAUAUAUAUUAAAAUUUAUAAAUUUUGUUUGUUACAAUUCUAUAGUUACAAAUCCUUUUUUACAAUUUGAAUUUUAUGAAAAUAUAUUAUUACACUGUUAUAAUUUAAAUAUUAUAAUGAUUGUACUUUAAUAUUAUAUAACAUUAUGUAAUAAUUGUACUUUAAUCUAUAUCUAUACUAUAUAUAAAGUCAAAACUUGAAAUAAUUACCACCAUGAUUCUAUUUUCCUAUUUUUCCCUUAGUAUGUUUUAUUUUUAAAGUAAAUUCAUAUAAUCAUAGAUAACUAUAAUUAAUACAUCUCAUUUUAAGUUGGAUAUUAUAAUAAAUACAAAAAUUAUAACAUGAAGUACAUCUAAUAAAAAACAUUCUAAUUCUCUAAAAUAAAAAAUACAAAUUUAAUACUUAAUAUCAAAAUAUAAGAAUGCAGGUCGGGAGACACGAAGUGUUUGUCGACACGCUAGUAUUAUAUAAUGUAACAACUGCAUAUUAAUGUUUCUUAAUGUAAUGGUUGCAUUGUAACUGUGUGUGUGGAAGAAGUUAAUUUGGUAAGCGUUUUAUUGAUUUUAUAUUUAAUACAUUUUAAAAUAACGCACAUGACCAAUAAAUGUUUCAUAACGUAGUGAAAAUAUUGAUUAUACAUUUAUAUAUAUAAUGAGGAGUGUCUAAAAUUAAGGAAUCAGAAAUAACUUUGAUUUGAAUUAUACUAAUAUUUGAAUAGUCAUUUUCCUAAUAUUGCUAUUCUAUUUAGGUGUAAAAUAUCAAAUCAUUUAUUAGCUAAAAAUAUAAUUGGUACUUUAAGAACUAAUACAGGAAAAUUUAAAAUCACAAACACAUAUAUUAAAGUUUAUAAAUUUGGCGGUUACAAUUCUACAGUUACAAUUCUUUUUUUACAAUGUGAAUUUUAUAAAAAUAUAUUAUUAAACUAUUACAACUCAAAUAUUAUAAUGAUUGCACUUUAAUAUUAUAUAACAUUAUGUAAUGAUUGACCGAUAAAUGUUUCAUAAUAUAGUGAAAACAUUAAUUAAGCAAAUUUGCACACGGUAUAAAAUCUUUAUCCUCGAAUAAAUGCGAAUAAUAACAUACCUUAAAUUGCAUAAUUUUCCAUCUUAGAAGAUUUGAUUCGAUUACAGUUGUGAUCUUGAAUCAAUUUUCUAGUGGAUUAAAUUGAAAGUCUUAAGUACAAUAAAAUAAAAAAAUAAACUGUACAAUAAAAACUAAAAUCUUAAAUCAAUAUACAAAUCUUCAUACAUCACACAAUGUCAUUAAAUACAAUAAAAAUGAUAUUAUCACAAAAUGUAAACUUUAAAUUUAAAGUUAUAGGUUGAUUUUAUUUUGCUAAAAUAAUAUCAAAAUGAUUAUUAAAACACAUACAAUUUAUUGCUCUAGUUUAGGUAAGGUAACAUAUAAUAUAUUCUCUAGUGUUUACUUUUAAACAAUUAUUUCUUUACAAAUUGAAAUGAAAAUAAUCAAAAUAACAAAUUGUCACGGGCUAUUAUCUUUUCUCUUCCCCUGUAUCAUCCAUCAUUGUCGACGUCAUUUUCAACAAUUAUAUUACAACCUGGUAAAGACAAUCUAUAUGCUCUUUGUUAAAAUAAUGAUUAUUUUUAGUAGAAAAUUCUAUAAACAAAAUAUUAGAUGCACAAAUAUAUAGAAAACUAACCAACAAUAAUGCUUCAAGGGUGAACCAAUAAUAAGAGGCAUCAUAUUGAAUACAACUCUUGUCAUCGCCCACGUCAUUAGAGAUAAAUCACAACUCCAAUUAUCGUACAAUAAGCACAUAUCUAUAAAACAAACAAAAAAUUAAUAAAGAACACACUUUAAUACAAUAUCUUCAAUGGAAAACAUAAAGAGCCACUCUAAAGUUAACUAUAAAACAUUCUUGCAAAAAAAAAAAAAAAAAAACUUUCAAAUGGUAAAAUACAUCUCUAUAAAAUAAGCACAUAUAUAUAAAAUAAACAAAAAAAUUUAAUAAAGAAGACACUGUAAUACAAUGGAAAAAUCAAGAAUCACUCUAAAUUUAACUAUAAAACAUUCUUGCAAAAAAAAACAGAAUAAUUUCGAAUGGUAACAUAUAUCUUUGGUCACUGACAAAAGAAUCUUUUGAAAUGAAAUGUCAAAAGAACACGGACCAAGAAAGAAAAAAUUGGUGGAAAAUAAGAAAAGUGAUGAAAUGAGGGAGUGAAAAGUAGAGAGAAGAUUUUAUGCUUGAGAAUGAAAUGUGAGAAAGAUAUAGAAAUAGCCACUGACAACAUAAUCUUUUGAAAUGAAAUAGAAGAAGAAUACGAAUCAAGAAUAGAAAAAAUUGGUGGAAGAUAAGAAAAGUGAUGAAAUGAGGGAGUGAAAAGUAGAGAGAAGAUUUUAUGCUUUAGAAUGAAAUGUGAGAGAAAGAUAUGGAAGAAUAGAAAAAAGUGAGAGAAAGAUAAUGAUCUAUUAUGUUAAAUUGAAACAAGUAGUAAAGAGAAUUUUUCAUCUUAUGUGUGAGCUUGCACAAUAAGAGGUAGAGAACUUUUAAGAGGGAAAAUUUUGCAUAAGGUAUUGACAUGUGUCUCUUGUUAAUGUGGCAAGAGUUGGUAUUGACAUGUGUCCCUUGCUAAUGUGGCAACAAUUUUUUUUGUUAUAUAGUAAAUAGAUAGAGAUUAUACAAAUCAAUAAAUAUAAGUUAUAUUUAUUUAUCAUUCUUGAUUUAGUUACUUUUGGUUAAUACUUAUUUCUAAUUGAUAGUUUUAAAGAUAACAAUAUUUCAAAUACUAUUAUGUACUCAAGCAAUUGGGAAAUAUUAUAAUCUGAGUAACUUUUAGUACUCAAACAAAUAAUUGGAAAGUGCAUUAUAUUUUACUUGACAGUUUCGAAAACAAAAUAGUGUCUUAUUAAAUUAGUAUCUUAUAAAAAUUAACAUUAAGCCUCAUAGAUAGUGCUUGUAAUAAUGAUGGAUGAUAGGAGUAUUAUGGACCCAUUUUCUAGUGAGAAAUUAGAAAUCUUAAUUUACUAAAUGAAAUAUGACAUAUAAGUGUUAUAUAUAUCUUGUACUAAUGAAAGAAGAUAGUAUUAUGGAACCAAAUUCAGGAUAUGUGAAUUAUAUGACUUAUUUUCAGUAGGUACUGUUUGAAGGAAUUUUAUUUAACUUACCACUGAUAAUAGUAUUAUUAUUACUUACCAUUGCCCUUAUUUAAUGAAAACAUUUCAAUGCAGAAAUGAUCUUGACUGCUCAACACAAAUUUUGAUAGAAUAAGCAAUAGAAGAAUUAUGAAAAUUUAAGGUAAAGUAGCAUGGAAUAACAAUCUAUGUAAUUAUUCAUGUCACCGUAAAGAAUUUUGGGUCACACAUGUACUGUUUAAAUGUAUUUAGAGACAUUAUUAUAAGUAGCUAAAUUAAAGUGAUCUACUUCAAGUAAGGUAUAUAACUAUAGACAUAAUUGUCAUGAAAAUUAUUGUGUAGAUAUCUAAAGUUUUAUUUGUAUUUUUAUGAUGGACAAAAAUAAGAAAUAAGAAAAUUGAAAAUGCAUCACCCUUAAUGAAAUGGAAUUUUUGUCUUAUAAAUAGAAGUUAUGGUCCCCAAUUCUAGACGUGAAACACAAACAAUAUGAACCACAACAUAUCAAGUUAUUAUCAUCGUCCCAUUAGAGGAGAAACUAAGGAUAAGAGUGAUCUACAAUUGAAAGGCCAAAUAACCUACAUGUUCUACUAUGAACAUGCAUUUACAUACAAGGACAAAGGACAUAGAGUUGAUGCAUAUAUGAUGAAGAAUGGUAUAGAGUUCAUGCACCAUAUUCUCAAUGAAUAUAUUAAGCUACAUUUCCGCUUUAGUUUUAUCUAUAUUCUUCUUGUUGAUUUAACAUGAAAAAUCUUGGCUAUAUGAUGGUAGUAUAUUCAUCAUCUUUAGUAGUAUUCAUAUUUAAUUAUAAAGUCUCCAACCAAUUAAAGUUUAUAAGAAAUAUUUUUCCCAACAACCACAACCAAGUAAGACAUCAAACAUUGGUUCACACACGAUAUAACUAGACCAAAGUGUCAUGAAAUUAAACUAUGGGACACAUUGACAAGAGAAGACUCGCAUAAGUGGAGUCAUCGUCCCUUCCCUUUAUGAUCAUUAAUUAAUACUACAACACUGUCAUACAUAGUAUCCUGCACUUAAAAUUUGCUAUGGUGCCUGAAUCUUUCCCACCACAUCAACUCUUCAGAACUUGUCGCUGCAAUAUUGCACAAACCAAUAAAUAAAGGAAGUGAUUUAACUACCAAAUUUUAUACCAUAAAUAAUCUAUGCUCGGCAGAAGUAAUUUAGGUUUAAUAUUGUUAAUUGGCUAAAUUUUCAGUAACUAGCUAGCAAAAGCGCAUACAUGUAUUAGGCUUGUGAGAAUAGUAUGUAUCAUCAGAGUGAUUUCAUGAAAACCCUUUUAAGAAUUUUAAUGAUUUUUUAUGGGUAUUAUUAUUAAGAGUGUAAUAUAUAUCAAUUGUUGUUACGGUAGCUUGCAACAAUGAUAAAUGACACGAAACAAUACUUAGUGGUUGGGUCACGACCAGAUCUCUCUCUUUAAGACGUUUCGUGACACUGUCAAAAAUGUGCAAGCAGACUAUCAACAACACCAUCCCCAGGAUAAAACAGUCCAGAUAUCUGUUAUCGAAUUCUUACUGCAGUGUAAGAACCGAUCUCGAAUACACCUACCACAAUAUGUAUAUCAGUGUCAAUUCUCGAAAUUCUCACAAUAUGACUAACAGUGUCAAUUCUCGAAAUACCCACAAUAUGGCUACCCAUGCCAAUUAUCUUCCCACAAUACUGACUACCAGUGUCAGUUCUCGAAAUAUCCGCAAUAUGACUACUUGUGCCAAUUCUUUUCCGUCAAUACUGACUAUCAGUGUCAGUUCUCGAAAUUCCUACAAUAUGACUACCUGUGCCAAUUCUUAGUACCACGGAAAGAAAGGGGAAGAAGUUUGCGAGAAAUGCAUCAGCAGAAAAUAUGAGUGAGAAAGAAAAAGUUGAAUGAAAACGUAUUCAAAUUGGGGCAAUAAAAUAUGAAGAUAACAAACUUCUAUUAUAUAUGGGUUGUAGUAAUUAUAGAGAUCAUCUGACAAGUCAUUCAAAAUGAAAUUCAUAAAAGUAAUCAUUUUCAUUCGAGAGAGCUAUAUUAAUAGCUAGUUUAUCCUUUUUCUUUUUUUCAGCUUUCUCCAGCAACAUUAGGACACUAAUUUUCAAAAUGUGUGCAACUUUUCUUAUGUUGAAGAAAAAUUUCAUCUUAUGUUGCUAACGUUUAAAAUUUGUACCAUCAAACCGAAAUGGUUUGUUCAGUUCAUAGCUAUUCGGUCCACUAAUAUUGUCUACGAAUGUUGUUGCAGUAGAAACGUCUUAAAAAUUGUUGUUACCGUAGCUUGCAACAAUUAUAAAUGGCAUGAAAUAAUACUGGCUGAGUCACGAACAGGUCACUCUCUUUAAGACGUUUCGUGACACUGCCAAAAAUGUGCAAGCAGACUAUCAACCACGCCGUCCUUAGGAUAAAUAGCCCAAAUAUCUGUUAUCGAAUUCUUACUGCACUAUAAGAACCAAUCUCAAAUACACCCACCAUAAUAUGGCUACCAAUGCCAAUUCUCGAAAUUCCCACAAUAUCGCUAGCAGUCCAAUUCUCAAACUACACACAAUAUGGCUACCCAUGCUAAUUCUCUUCCCACAAUACUAACUACUAGUAUAUGUUCUCAAAAUGGCCACAAUAUGGCUAUCUGUUCCAAUCUUUUCCCUCAAUACUGACUAUCAGUGUCAGUUCUCGAAAUUUCCACAAUAUGACUAUCUGUUCCAAUUCUUAGUACCACGGAAAGAAAAGGGGAGAUGUUUGCCGAAAAUAUGAGGGAGAAAGAAAAAGUUGAAUGAAAACGCAUUCAACUUGGGGCAAAAAAAUAUGAAGAUAAGAGACUUCUAUUUAUAAUAUGAGAUUUUUUCCAUGUUCCUAGUCUCUCCAAUGUGGAACUUGGGAGUUGUUUUCUUUCAAAACUCUUCUAUAUGGGACUUGGAAGUUUUUUAGAUUUCACACCCACAACCAAGUUCCAACAUCUAUGUAUUCACAAUAUAAAUAUUUAUAUACAGACAAUGCAUCAUUUAUUGUUCACUAUUCAUUUGUAUUACUUUUACUUAAGAAUUAAUAAUAGUUAAGAAUAAAUAGAUAGUGAUACAACGACAAUGUAAAAAACUCUUACACUAUCCGCACAUACAUCUUGUUAUGUCUAUUAUUAAUCAUUAUUUCAAAACUUCAAAGCAUUAUGCGAAGUAUAUAAAUGAUGUUGUUAAGAGGUAAUAAUAGUGGUUAGAACUUAGAAGCUGUAGCUCCACUCAUCCAUUUAUGGUGUUAUCAUUUUAUUAGUAUUUAGAUGAAAAACUUGACAACUUCCUUAAAAAGGUAAGUAACAAGAUAAGGAAAAUGUGAGAUAACAAGAUAAGGAAAAUGUGAGGUAUCAGUUCUUUCCUUAAAUUGUGAAAUCUUCAUUUCAGAAAUUGUUACAUUAAUUUCUAUUUGUUUGCUUAAAUUUAAUUCUAUACAUUAAUUAGGGAUUAUCAGAGAUAACUAUUGAAACUUUUAGUAGCAUAUCAUAAACUAAUUCAUUAAAAAUAUAAUUAGUACCAUAUAGUUCUUCAAAUCUACUAAAAUGAUACUUAUUUAUUACUUUUAUUUCUUCUUUCAUUGUCAUCUAACCACACACAAUGAACUGAGAGAUAGUAUGGUGUUGAUUAUAAGAACGUCUAAAAAAUAUUUUUUCUAUUUUUAGGAAAUUGCACGUCUAACAUUCUAUAUAAAAUCAUUUUGUGGAAUUUCAUGUGAAUAGAAAUAAAUUUAUUAACAUUGCCAUGAUAUUGAAUUUAAAGUUGAUAGAAAUAACAUACGUAUUACACUUGGUGGAGGUGCUAAUCUUAUAGGGAGAUUGACCCCGCAUUUGGUAGAGAGUGAUGAUGCAUUCACAAGAUCGUAUUGGGUGGAAGAAGCAUCGGAUUUGAGGCAAUUGCAUGCGGUUUGUUUGUCAGCGGUGCUUUGAGCCAACGAGACGAGUCCCUUGACUCCAUUGCAGCAUGUUACAGGAAGUCAGGAACAGCUCCACCGGACUGCAGGUAAGUGAGGCAUGGAGCUAUGCCACUAACAACCUGUCCACAUGUUAUGGUAGCAUGUGCAAUGGGUGCACCCACCACAACCAUGCACAUCAAAACCAUACAUGUUACCUUAAUGCUUGCCAUUACUUCACAAACUAAUUUGCUGUGUAUUUGCUUUUGGAUAUUGCUUACUUGGUGAUAUACGGGAUGCAUGGUAUGCAGUUUAUAUAGAAAAUAAGAGAGAGAUUAUUACAUAAUGCUGCACUAAAAGAUGGAUUGUGGCCUAGGCCAAUCCUCAUUUGACAGGUGGUGUACGUUGAAAGUAUUGUUUACAACCGUGAAAAGCACGGUCUCAUGCAUUUACCCUCUCCCGUCACAAACAACUAAUUCAUUUUUAUUUGUUCUCACAUAUUAUUAUAUAAUUUGUUAUAAUUCUCCAUGAAAUAAGAAUAACAUUUACGUUUUUCUCACAAUGACAAAAAUUGUUCCUAUUCUUGUUUGGCUCCCACAAUAUUUACCUUUUUUCCCACAACAUUUAUUUUUCUCCUCACUUUCCUUUGUUUAAGAACAACUAAGAGUUCUUCUUAUUUAAGAACAAAAGUAAGAAAAUAAGAACAACACAAUGGAGAACAAAGUAAGAAUGUUCUUAUUCCGUUAAGAACAACCAUUAUGGUUGCUCUUAGACUUGGGAUCCUCUCCUAUGUUGGACAGUGCAGUACAGGAAUGAGGCUCAGUUUCAUUUGAUGAUUUUAAAAUAAUUUUUAAUACAAAAUAAGCUUCAAAUUUAAGUCAUUAAAACUUUUUAAAUAACACAUGUUAUUAUCUUAUUCAGUAUUGAACUCACCAUUACCAAAGUAAUUCACCAUGCAUUAAUAUUUAAUAUCCUUUGAAGUGAAUGCUAUCAUUCAUUUCAAAUUAAAAAAAAAACAAAGACAUUAUUAUAAUAAUUUGCUUUAUUCCACUAAAAAUAAGGAGAAAUUAUUCCAUUAUAAUUGUAGAUAGUUAUUAACUAUAUAUAAAAUAUUUUAUAAAAUUUUAAUUUUAAUAAAAAACUUUUAAGACAUUAUUCUAAUAUAAUUAUUAAUUGUAUACAUAAGAUUAUUUGUUGUGAUUUUCAUUCUAAUAAAAAAUUGAGAGACAUUAUUUUAAUAUAAUUAUAGAUAAUUUUAAUUAUAUAUAGGAUAUAUAUCAUAGAUAUUCAGUAAAGUUUUAAAUUGAUUGUCAACUAUCUAACAUAACAUUAAUCUUUAUCUGUGCUUAGAACCAGAUAUAAUAAUAUUAAGCACACAUAAAUAGAUUUAAUGCCUAACACAUAAUUUAUAAGAGUAUUAUGACAUUAUUCGGCUUAUUUAAUCAACUCCACUUCAUGGAAUAAAUUUGAUAGUUAUUUAUUAAUUAUGUAAGUUAUCCCAUCCAGAUCUACCAUCUUCCAAUUUGAUAUGGAUCUCCUGAUUGUUAUCAAGAUGCAUGCGGCAACCAUGGGUUUGUUAGCAGUUGGGUCCCAUUAAAUGCUCAAUGGUAGAUCCUCUUGUCUUUGAGCAUGUAGCGAUCUAUUAAUGUUAGAUUCAUGAGAAAAAUAUGUAUGUAUUGAUAAUGUAUAAAUUUUAUAUAUUGUUAAUAUAUCAUUUAUUAUUCAUAUUAAAGUAACUUAAAUAAAUGAUUGAUAAUGUAAUAUGUGUAUAAAUCUUUACACGAAGAAUCUAUAUAUUUUACAUACUAGAUUUAUUGCUCUGCACUAAUGUAUCAUCUCAUAUUUGAGCACCUGAGCGUUAUAUUAGACGUUAGAUUUAUGAGAAAAAUAUAUAUAUAUACACAGAAAGAGAAUUUUAUAUUGUCAUCACAUCAUUUAUUAUUUAUUUUAAUCUUUAUUGACUUUUAAAUAAAAGUAAUACAGAUGAAUGAUAAAUAAUAUAUUAACUAUGUAUUAAUCUUUAAACUGUCAAUGUAUAGUUGUUAUACUCAAGAUUUAUUGCGUGGGACUGAAGUUCACUCUCAACUAUCCAUAUACAUCUACCCUAAUUUGUACAAUUGUAUAACUUAGUUAAUCUAAGAAGAAAUAUUCCAACAGGUUAUCUUUUUUUCCUCUCUUUUUUUUAAGCCGAAGGUGCAACUACACCUCGAAAUAUAUUAGAUGGAAAAACGAUACAUUAGUGAUAAGAAGAAGAGAAUCUAUAACUAGGAAGAAGGUUCCUAUUACGCAAGAAUUCAUGAUGAAUGAAAUUAGGAGUAGACAUCCAUUUCGAACUAACUUUGGAGUUAAUCCCAUAAUUAGCCAAUUUAUCCGCGCAAGAAUUGCCUUCUCGAUAGAUAUGAGACACCCUGAAAUUCAUUCCAACCAUUUUUGCUUUGCACUGAAUCCAUUUGUUUAUGAGCUUCCAAGGAGGAUUAUGAUUUCCAUUGAGAAUUUCCACCACCAAUGUGGAAUCACAUUCAAGCCAGAGAUUCAUCCAGGCCUUGGAUAUAGCAAAGAUGAUUGCUGAUAAAGCAGCAUUAAACUCAGCAAAUAAAGCAUCCUCAAUGCCGUAGUAAUCAGCCAUGCAGGCAAUGCACUGACCACUGUGAUCUCUGAAGAUUGCUCCUCCCCCAGCGUGGCCAGGAUAACCUCUAGCUGCACCAUCAGUGUUAACCUUGAUGGUGUUUCUCGUAGGGGCAGUAUAGAAGGAGCCUUAGGAUAAUUGAUAGCAACUUUGAAAGCUUUAUGGAUACAAAGGUCGAUCAAAGAAGGCUUGCUUGAAACUUUGGAAUAGCUAGCUGAAAGAGAGGUUAUCGUUAUGAUUCUAUUGAUGACAGAGCCAAUGCUAUAGACUUUGUUGUGAAAUCUGCAUUGGUUCCUACACCACCAAAUCGUGUUGAUUGCAUGAAUAAUGCAAGCAGUGAAGAGGUGAUGCACCUGAUCACACCAAUCAGCUUUACUGGCCAGGAGGAUUGCUUUAACAGAGGAAAAGUCCAGAUGGAUUUUGAAAAUUCCCUUAAUCCAAUUCCAAAUUUGAGUUGCCAAUGGAUAGGUGAAAAAGAGAUGGGAAGAGGUCUCCACCUGCUAAUUUAAUUGGAUGUCUAAUAUUUUCCAACAAUUAUUAAGAUCAAAAUUGGCAGCCGUUUAAAGCAAUGGUAGAUUUAUUUCUAGAGUUAAGUGCACUCACAUCCCCAAGAGUUAAAUUAUAUAAAUCCUUUAUAUUUUUUUCAUAUCUAAUAUUUAUGAAGAAAUAAAUAUAUUUUGUGAGAAUGUAAUAUUUAUGCCCCACCUAUAUAAAGAUUUAUAUAUAGUCAUUAAAUUGUUCACUACUCUUUUAGAUUACUUUUUGAAGAGUCUAUGAUGAUUAAAUAUGAAUGGUGGAUGAUACAGUGAUUGUGUAUAAAACUCAUACACUCUCAUUAAAUACAUAUUUUUCUCAUCUUUUAAACGAAAGAUGGUAAAAAAUGUAAUUAAGUUAAACAAAUCAUGGUAUAUUGUGGAGACAAAUCAAAAUAGUAUACGAGUCAAUACUUAUUGAGUAUUUUUGUCCUUACAAUAUAGUAUAAAAGUGAUUUAAAUAAUAUCCUCUUAGAAUUUUUUAUGCAUUUGUAACGAACUAAAAAUAAUGAAGAGAUCUUGACUCUUAUACUAUUUGCACUUUUUUAUAAGCAAAGAUUUAUCUUAAAGCAGCACAAGGGGUGCCAACCCGAAUACAAAAGGAACUACAAAACAAAAGAAGGCAUAAAGCACAUUAAAAAAACAACAUUUCGAAUUAGUGCACCACUGAGCAAAGAUGAACAGAUUUUGAUUAAUGCUCGAAGCAAACCAAGACCACAAUCUAACCUGAAUCAAGUCCAUAAUUUUCACAAAACUAAUCUCCUUAUCCGAAAAAUGGAGUCAUUUCGCAUUAACCAAAUAGACCAAAUCACGAUAAACCACAACAUUCUCCAUAAUUGUCUCCCUUUUGAAUUCUUGCAUAACAAUUCAUGAUAAUUAAACAGCUUCCAACAGUACUCUGCUGCAAAACAAAUGGAAUCUGCAACCAAGCAUAAAAACCUCGCCAGACAGAGGAAGCAAAAGAGCAAGACAAAAUUAGAUGAUCAAGAGAUUCAGAAUAAUUCAAACACAAAACACAAUUUAACUCAUCAACACUAUGAAUAAUUCUUCUCUUAAACAACUCCUCCUUAGUUGCAAUUCUACCACACAGAGUUUUCCAAACAAACAACACACCUUUGAAGAAGCACAAUUAAUCCAACUUUUAUUAAGAAGAAAACCAACCUCAUUUUGUUGGACAUUAAUUUGGGCUAAGUAAGCUUUUUUAACCACAUACCUUCCUAAGUUAUAUAAACUCCAUUUCCAAGUAUCUACACUAUCUCUUCUACAGGAAUGAGAAGCAACCAGUUGAUACAAAGAACUGACUGAAUUUUCCUCCCAAUCAAACAACAUUCUCCUCCAAAGAACAUUCCAAUUCCACUGGAUGUUGAUCCAGACCCCACAAUUUGAAACUAGCGCUUGUCUAUUCAAAGCAAGAGCAAACAACCUGGGAAAUGUCUCCUUCAAAUAACACUGGCCAAACCAAACAUCAUUCUAGAAUAGGGUUUGAGAACCAUCUCCAACUUCCUUCCAAAGUUUAUCCUCCAACCAACGGUUCCCUGCCUCAUAUGAGCCACCAACUUUAGCCAAAUCCCUCCACCACUUUGAAGCCGAUAAAGGAGCCAGCAUAACGGCCUCCGGGCCAUACUUGGAAUUCACUACUUGAACGUCUCGACAAUAUAUCUUAUUUUGUUUAACUUAAUUACAUUCAUCACUCAUUUUAUGUUUAAAAGAUAACACUAAUUUCUUGUGCAGAUGUAAUUAAUAUAAGAGAAUAAUGUAUCUCCUUGUGUGAGGAGAUAACUCUCCUCCUUACACCAAUUACAUAGUAACACAUGUCCAUUCAUUUUUAUAUUUUUAUUUUCUUUCCAUUUUCUCAUAUUUUAUUUGUAUGAAUAAUGAUUUUCUUCUUUCACGGGAAACCAACAGUUUUGUAUCAUCUCUUUCACUGUCAUGCUCUUCAUUCAUUCACCCUAAUACACUUAAUGAAAAAUCCACUUCCUUCUCUCAUGACACCUCAUUCUCUCUAAAAUCUAUGAUUUAGUAUGUCCUGAGUUUUUUAUCUAUGUAUUGUGAGUUUUUGUCACAUUAAGUCCAAAAUAAUUCGUAAUAGAAGAAACAUAAAAUAAUUCAUUAACUAUAUUAGUCAUUAGCCACAUAAAAUAAUUCAUUUACUUUUGGACAUAAACAGAAGAAACAUCAACGUAGAAAAUAAAAUUUGUUCCAUGUUUCCUUUAUCAUUUAUUGCCUUUCCUUCUUUGUCCACGUGAAUAACAAAUGAAGAGAGGAGUUGUUGUGUGAAUUCUUCCUCUUUUUCUCAGAGAACAUAAGAGAGAAAAAAGAAGAAGAGAGAAUAUGCAGAUUUGUGAGUGAAUAUGAAAAUUUGUGAAAGAAUGUACAUAUUUGAGAGAGAAAGAAAAGAAGGAGGUGCUGUGAGUGAAUGAGAAGUGUCUGGAGAGUGAAAGUGAAGGAGAUAGUGUGAGUCUCUUGGUUUCUAGUGUGAGAAGAAAAUCAUUAUUCAUAAAAACAAAAUAUAAGAAAAUAGACAAAAAAUAAAAAAUAUAAAAAUAAAUGGACAUGUGUUAUUGUACAGUUGGUGUAAAGAGAGGAAUUAUCUCCUCACACCAGGAGAUACAUUAUUCUCUUAAUAUAAUAUAUAUAUAUAUAUAAGGUUGGUCUGCGUGGAUACAAAAAUGAGAGGUAUCGGUUUAUAUAAUUUUAAUAAAACUCAAAGGAUAUCAAUAUUAUUUAUUUCAUGAUCAAUGUUGGCCUGUUAGGUCAUAAAUUGGUUUAUUAUUUAUUUCAUGAUAUUCACAUUAAUAUCAAAUUGGUUUAUUAUUUUCAUAACAUGGUAAUUAUUAUUUUGGAUACAUAAUCAAAAGUUAUAGUUACAUUACCAAUUAGUAGCUGGUUUAGAUAAUAUAUGUUUGUUUUCUUUUUAGUAAAGCCAGAGUUUAAGUCCGAUGAUUGGUUAUCUACCUUGCUGUUUUGAAAUUGGUAAAUUUGUUUUCUUUCACUAUUGUUGUUGAAGUCUACCACAGUCACGACACUGGCUUCCUAAUAGGCACCUUCCCCCUUAGGCCCUUACCUUGUAUGUUACAUUACAUCAUUUAAGCAUUGGCAGAUUGACUUCCAUUAAUUGAUUGGUCCUACAAUUCAUUAGUUCCUAUAUUCCUAUAGGUGAUUUUAAAAGUUUCCAUUCUACUCACAUUAAGAACUAUUAUCUGAUGUAUAAUAGAUUGAAAAAAUCUAUUUAGAUUAAGUGUAAAUACUCAUUUUAGUUAUUAAUAUUUUUCAUUCUCACUAGUUUGAUCCCUCAAAAAUUGAAAAAACUAAAAUGGUUCCCAAUUUUUUUAAUUAUGGGUUAAAUUAAUUGUUUUUAGGAACAAAUUAGUCCAUAUCAGAUUUGUAAAAUAUGCUAAAAUUAUCAAUUUGACCCGUAUUUAAAAGUUUUGGGACCAUUUUGGGUUUUUUCAAAUUUUGAGGGACCAAACUAGUAAAAUCGAAAAACAUGAAAGACUAAAAUGAGUAUUUACUCUUAAUUUAAUAGGUAAGUCUCUAAGUCAUCAUAAAAACCUAUUUAACUAUACUAUGCAUUAGUCUUACAUCGUUAGAAACAAUUAAUUUAAAAGUUGAAUAUAAAAUAAAGUAUAUUGAUAAUGAUUGAGUUUGAAUUUCUAGAUCAUCAUUGCUUUCAAUAAAUAAAUAAAUAUAUAUAUAUUUUUUUUUUUUGCUUAUGACAAUAAUCACAAAUACUAAAUGGUCCAAGUGUUCAUGCAUAUUCAUUAAUUUUUAAAGUAAAUACUAAUUUCAGUCCCUCAUUUUUAUGACCUUACCAGUUUGUUCCUUCAAAAGUGAAAACUAAAAAAUGGUCCACAAAAAUUUCAAAUGCGCAUAAAAUUAGUUAUUUUUAACGUAUUUUAUAACACCUGAUAGAGACUAAUUUGACACGUAUUUGAAAUUUUUGGACCCAUUUUAGGUUUUUCAAUUUUUGAGAUACCAAACUAGUAAGGUCAAAAAACAUGAGGGAUUAAAAUGAGUAUUUACCAUAUUUUUAUUAGAGUAAAUUUGAUAGACACUUCAAGCACUUUAGCUUAAUUACAUCCACAACUCAUUUUGUUUAAAAGAUUGCAUUCAUCUCUCUUAUAAUAUAUGUAUAUAAGUUGGUGAUAGUUUGUGUAGUUGCAAAAUGGGAGGGGUGUUUUGUUUUAGUGUAAUUUAUUCUAUAAAAAAUUAAAACAAAAAUGUAAGUUAAUUUUUUAUUGUUUGAUAGACAUUUAAAAACAGACCUGAUAGCUAUUUAAAAGGAGACUUCUUAGCCAUUUAAAGGAAGACUCUUAGCCUAUUUAAAUGAAGACUUGUUAGGCUAUUUAAAGGCCUCAUAGCACAAUCAGCUUUUUAAUAAGCUCACAAGCUAGAGCAGGCUUUUAGAUAGAUUGGGACUUAAAGCUUUGAUUGUUUUUUAAAAUAGUAAACUGGACAACUUUAGUCUACUAUAUAUUAUAUAGGUUAAGUUUGUUCUAGGCAAAGUCUUACACUUGUUUCGACCUUAUAUGUAGGCACACAUUUAAAACUUCGGCAAUAAUAAUCUUGUAACUAGUUACGUAGUGUUUAAUGUGUCACUCUUAGGCCAAUAUUUUUAUAGGACAGGCAAUGUAUAAGUGUGGAAAGUUUGAUAAUCCUUUAUUUUUCAGUUUAUGAGUCGAGAAUGCAGUUCAUUUUAUUUUAUUAUUACUAUGAUUAUGAUUGAAUUCACAUAUAAAUUCACCUAAAUUCCUUUAUUAUUUAGUUAAUUGAAUGAUACUAGUAUCCAUGGAGCAAAAGGAGCACAAGAUGGAAAAAUAUGCGAAAAUGGCAAAAAUAGAAGACUUUUGCCACAAGGAAAGAUCAGACAUCACGGUUGUAGUACCUUGAUAGCACGGUUAUGCAACUUAUAACUAGAAAAAAGUGUCUAUAUGGCCUAACAUCACUAUAAUAAUGACUGUGUCUAAACUAAUGGUUUAAGUUGCCUCUCAAAGUAUUGCUCAACACAACUGUGCUAACUAAUAUGUAAGGAUAUGCCAUCUCUAACGCCUAUAAAUUGAGAGCUCUAGCAAUUUCGGUAAAAAACACACUAUCAUAGCUAUAGACGUCAAAGGUGAAAGUGCGCAUGUCAAGAGGAACACUUUGGAAAGCUUGCUCACUAUGUGUUUUUUGGUUUUGAUGAGGACAACUUGUGUUUCAUAAGAGCUUGAAGAUCAUCAACAAAUCAACGUGCUUAAGUCUCAAGAUUGGUAUUAGACUUAGAUUAGUAAUUAGUUUAGGUUGAGUCUAAGGCUUAGGUAAACUCAAUACAUGUCUCAUAUGCAUAAAACAUUAAAUCAUUUUAUUUUUGAGAUAUGUCAUUCAUAAUAUGUUCAUGCAUCCCAUAUAUACAUGUCAUAUGUGCAUCCUAGGCAUAAACUUAGUGUUGAACAUGUAUAAGUUAAGUGCAUAACGUAUUUGAGUUUUGCAAUUUAAAAAUACACUUGGAAAUAUGCAGUUAAUCGAUUAAGGUGUGUUUUAAUCGAUUAACAUAAGUUUUUGAAAAGUAGUUGGGACAGAAAACUUGCAAAACCGAAUCAGUUACAAUUUUGUAACACGUUAAUCGAUUAACCAAGGAUUUAAUCGAUUAANNNNNNNNNNNNNNNNNNNNNNNNNNNNNNNNNNNNNNNNNNNNNNNNNNNNNNNNNNNNNNNNNNNNNNNNNNNNNNNNNNNNNNNNNNNNNNNNNNNNGCUUGUAAAACAUUAUUUCAAUUAUAGUGAAGAAAAAUCUCCUAGAUCAGUCGGGAGGCCUGGAUGUAGUUUGCAAGUGGACCCGCAAAUGAAUAGGAUAAAAAUCAUGUUGCACGUUUUUCUUUCCCUCUCUCUUUAUUGCUUUAAUCAAUUACUUUGUAUAGUUGUUUUAAUUAUAAUAAUCUGUUUCUAUACUAUAUUGUUGUAACUCUGAUAUAUCCAUUUAAAUCCAUUAAUUCUAAUGGAUGGAUUUAGAUAAAAUUAAUUUGGAUGAAUUUGCAUGGAUUUUGGAUUAUGGAUAAUUUUGCCACCCCUACUUGUCACCCUUUUUGUCUUAGUUGUUAAAAUUUAAGUUCAUUUUUUCCAUAUUCAUUCACUUAUUUGAUAUAGCAUUAUUUCAUUUCUCACGUAAUUGUUGAAAUAUCAUGUGCUUGUUCAAACUGCAUAUUAUACACUAUUGGUUUACACUAUGAUGUGCUUCUAGUGGACAUGAGCAAAAUUCUUCUGGUUUUUCUAUGUUAGCUUCUUUACUUUCCUCUACCACAUAUCAUAGAAUGAUGGUCAUUUCAGUCAUUCCAAACUACAUGAUAGUAGAAAUCUUUGCAACUUCAUUCUAUGCAUUAUUCAAUCUCUUCAAUGGUUUUUUUUACCCCAAUAUUAGUGAGUACCAUUGCCUAGUUCUUUAAGAUAAAACUCUAGUUUCUAGCUUUGUAAUUUUAUUUAUAUAUAUCAUUAUUGUUACAGAAUAUCCGUAUGUGCUAUGUGGUGGUCAUGAUAGUAUUAUAUAUGCCUAGUAGCAUAGACAAUACACUGAUUAACAAUCUCACGUGGUGGGAAAUUGACUGUUCUACAAUAAAUGAAUGAGAUAUAAAAUAAAUUACUUGUUAUGAAGAAUUAAUAAGCUGAGUAUUACAACUUAAUCAUUAAUUUUUGAGAUUAAAGCAUUUGUCAAUUAAAGGGUCAAAUUUGAAUUCGAUUAAACUUAAUUGAAUCCAUACAUGAUUGAGUUUCAUUAUAUCUUGUUUCGAGUUCAACAAAUUAGUCGAUCAACAUUCAGAGUCGGAUAAAAUACAUACUUUAUCCAGCCUAACCUAUCCAAAUCUCACCCCUAAUAUUUCACAUUAAAAAAUCUUAUGUAUUUCAUCUUUACCUUAGUUUCUUCUUUGUCCACAUUAAAUAAUAUUAGUAAUACCCUAUUCAAAAAAAUAGUAGAAAAUAUUAUUUACAAUAGUGUUAUUUCAAUAAUUCAAAUUUAAUAACUUCCCUUAAAAAAUUAAAUUAUCUCUCCUUUACUUUUUAUCUUUUAUUUGUAUACACAUUACCCAAAAAUCAGUUGAAAACCAAAGAAAAAUUUACUAUCACAAUUGUGUUAUCAAAAUACAGUUUUUUCUAAUCACUGUCUGAUAAGGACUAAAAAUGUAAAGUCAAUUACAAAAAAAUUAAAAUAUAUUAUUACAAAUUAAAUAUAAAACUUUCAACAUUAACUUUAGAUUUUUUAGUUAUUUAGAGAAGAGCGAUGAUUAAAAAAAGAAAAAAAAAAAGAAUUAUAAAAGAUAGAGAAAGGUGAUGAAUAGUGUAACUUGUUAGCUGAUUCAUAUUAUUUUCUAAGGUCAUAACUCAUCCUAGUUUGAAUAUAGGCAAAAAGAUGUUCCCCUUUUAAUUACCCUUCAAAUUUGGUUGUUGAACUUUCUUUUGUAACUUUGGUCCUUCAGGUAAGAUUUGUCGAGUGAGAGACUGUGGUCCAAUGCAUGACUUGUUUUUUUUUUUUGUGUGUAAACUAUUGAAGUUAGUAUUAUAUUCUAGCCAGAAAAAUGUGUGGGAUAUUUUAUUCUAAAGUAAAAUAAUAAACAAAGUAAUAAUUUUGAAUAGAGAAAAUAAUUAAGAAGUUUAAAAUUUGUUUUAUAGAAAUCAAUCAAUUUAUCAAUAAUAUUUUUAAUUUAAUUAUUAUCAAUCUUAAGGAUACAAUUGUCAUCAUCAUAAAAAUGUUUGAACUCCAUUAAUCAUAGACAUAAACUUAGAGUAAUAUUGAAUGUGAAAAAAUGGAAUAUAUUGUUAUAGUUUUUUUGUUUAUGUUGUAAUAUUACUUGUACCUAUUUUUUAACCGGAAAACAUGGCAGCCUUCACUUGCGAUAUUAACAUACUAUUCUGACCUUAAAAAAAGGGAAAGGAGUUAAUGGAUUGAUUCUAGGCAUUUUACAAAUUUUGUACCCACUUGUGAUUUUGAAAAUACUAUGUAUGCCAUAUUGGAUUUGAUAGAAUUCAUCAUUAUCAUUCAUUCAAUUAAUUCACCAAGGCAAAAGAAGCUAGUUAUACUAGCCAAAAGAAGGAUAAGUAGUUAAAACAGUUGGGUAGUUAUUAACCAACUGCCUAAAAGGGAAACUGCCAAAAGAAGAGUAAUUCUAACAACCCAAGUGCUAAAGGAAAAAAUACAUAAAUAAACCAAGACUAUAAUCAUCUAAUACCCUCCCUCAAGCUGGAGAGUAAAUAUUCAAAACUCCCAGCUUGGAAAGAAGAUAAGAAAAUGUUGAAGCAUCCAAGGCCUUGGUAAGCAAAUCAGCAGGUUGUUCUUUACUAGGAAUGGGAAGCAAAUGGAAGAGAUGAGCUUGAAGUCUUUCUCUAACAACAUGACAAUCAAUCUCAAUGUGUUUGGUGCGUUCAUGAAACAUAGAGUUUGCUGCAAUAUAGGGAGCUGAGUUGUUGUCACAAUAGAGAAGAGAAGGCUUGGUGAACGAAAUAGGAAAGAUGUCAAGUAAGAAAGUCAACCACUGAAGUUCACAAGCAAUAGAAGCAAGUGCCCUGUACUCAGCCUCAGAUGAAGACCUAGCCAGUGUUGUUUGCUUCUUCGACUUCCAUGAAAUUAAUGAGUUUCCAAGGAAGACACAAAACCCAGAAACAUAUAUCCUUGUGUCUAUGCAUGUGUCCUAGUCAGAAUCACUAAAAGCUUUUAGUUGGAGUGCAGAAUCAUAGGGAUAAAAGAGACCCUGACUAGGUGUUCCUUUGAUGUACCGAAGAAGUCGAGUAAGAGCUUGAUAGUGAGCAUUAGUUGGGUGGCUCACAUACUGACUCAAUUGCUGGAAAGAGAAGCUGAGAUCAGCUCUUGUAUUGGUUAGAUAAAGAAGUCUUCCCACCAAUCUUCUAAAACUAGUAGGAUUGUUGUAAGCACGAGAAGAAUCUUGAGAUAAAAUAGUACCCUUAGCAAUGGGAGUGAUGGCAGGUUUAGAUGCCAAGAAACCUGUGUCUGCCAAUAUGUCUAAAGCAUAUUUUCGUUGGCUCAAAGUAAUCCCUUUACUUGUCCUUGCCACCUCAAGCCCAAGAAAAUAUUUUAAGUGACCAAGAUAUUUGAUUUUGAACAAAUCAUGCAGAUGUUGUUUGAAAAAUGUGAUUUAUGUGACAUUAUUACCAGCCAAAAUGAGAUCAUCUACAUAAAUGAGAAGAACAUUGAAUGAAUUACCAUGUCUCUUGGUGAAUAAGGAGUGAUCAUGAGCAGAUUGAACAUAUUCUAUGUGGAUAAGAGUGCGAGAAAGCUUGCUAUACCACUGUCUACUGGCUUGCUUUAACCCAUAAAGAUAUUUAUGGAGCUUACACACUUGAUUAGGCUUUGAGCAUACUACACCUUGAGGAAUACACAUGUAAACAUCUUCAGUUAAUUCCACAUGCAAGAAUGCAUUGUUGACAUCUAACUGAUGCAUAAACCAUUUUUCAGAAGUAGCAAUUGCUAACAUCAAUCUCACUGUUGUUAAUUUUAUCACAUGUUCAAAAGUGUCAAAAAAAUCAAUACCUUCUGUUUGAUCAUACUUUGCAACCAAUCUGGCUUUGUACCUUUCAAUAUUCUCAUUUGAUCUAUACUUGAUCCUAUAUACCCAUUUAGAACCUAUAGGAACUUUGUCAUGUGGUAUAUCAAUAAUGCUCCAUGUAUUGUUUAAUUCCAAGGCUGCAAGUUCAUAUGUCAUGGCAGUGAUCCACUCAGGUGACUUUAUAGCUUGCUGGCAUGUUUUUGGCUCAAAAUGUGUAGCAACAGAAAAAAUAUGAGAUAGAUGAGGAGGAGCAAUAGAAGAGUAUGACAGAAUAGAGGAUAGAGGAUGACGAAUGUAUGAGGUAGUUGUAGUAUUUUGUGUAAGAAUAUUGCAAUGAAAAUCAGUAAGGUAUGAAGCUGGACCACGAAUUCUUGUAGAAUUUCUAAUAGUUUCUGUUUUCUGAGGAGGAGGAGAAGGAUUUUGUGUUGGUGGUUUUUGGGGAGAAGAAUGAAGUUUUGUUUGUGUUUGUGUAGUAGAGGAGAUUGGAUAUUGUAUUAACUGAGGAGUGGAAGAUUGUGGUAAUGUGUAAUUUGAGAAAAGAGUAUUGUCAUGAAGAAAGUCAAAAGAUGAAGUAGGAGCCAAAAUAUCAGAAGUUGUUGCUUUGUUAAUUGAGAUGUAAGGGAAUUCAUCUUCAUAGAAGUACACAUUCCUUGAAAUAAAAAUCUCUCUAGAGUGUAAAUCAAAAAGCAAACCUUUAACACCUCUUUUGAAUCCUAAAAACAUACUCUUCUUUGCUAUAGUAUCUAAUUUGGUGCGAUGAUUCAGCAAUGUGGAUGCAAAACACAGACAACCAAAAACUUUCAGCUCAUUGAGGUUGGAUUUGCACUUAUGGAGCAUUUCAUAAGGGGAUUUCUGUUGAAGAGUGAUGCUAGGAAUCCUGUUUAUGAGAAAAGUGGCAUGUUGCACAGCAUAAGACCAAAAAAUGUGUGGAAGAUGAACAUGAAAAAGCAUUGAUCUAGUGACAUUAAGUAGAUGCUUGUGUUUCCUUUCAACAAUAGAAUUCCGUUAUGGUGUUUCAACGCAUGAAGUUUGAUGAAUGAUUCCAAUUUUUUCAAAGAAAGAGGGUGCUUGAAAUUCAAUUCCAUUAUCUGCUCUGAUGGUUUUGAUAAUCUUAUGAUGCUGAGUUUGAAUGAGAACAACAAAAUUAUGCAUUAAACUCCUUGCCUUAGAUUUGUUUUUCAUAAGAUAUAACCAUGUACGCUUACUAUAAUCAUCAACCACGGUAAGAAAGUAUUUGAAACCAUGAAUGGAGGAAACAAAUAAUGGACCCCAAAUAUCCAUGUGUACGAGAUCAAAAGGUGCUAAACUUUUAUUCAUACUGAUAGGAAAUGCCAACUUUGUUUGUUUUGCCAAAUGACAGAAAUCACAAAUUCUCUUAGCAUCAAAAUGUAAAUAUGAAAAUUCCCUACAAAUGUGUUGUAAGACAGCAAUAGAAGGAUGACCUAAUCUGUAAUGCCACAAGUCAAAAGAAGAAACACUACAAGCAGAAUUAAUAAAGCAAAUUUUCCGCAGACAUGGUCUUGAAGGUGUGUCUAGAAUGUAGAGAUUCUUGUGCACUUUAGCAUGUCCAAUCAUCUUCAAGGUACUCAUAUCCUGGAUCAUGCAUUCAGAUUGAUCAAAAAUUACUCUGCAAUUCAAUUCAAGUGCAAGUCUAUGUACUGAUAUGAGAUUGAAUUUGAAUUGUGGGACAAACAAUACAUUGUACACGACCAAUUUUUCAAAGAGCAUAACCAUCCCUAAAUGCUUCUCUGAAAUAACAGAUCCAUUUGGUAGUUUGAUAGCAACAUGUUUAAUAGAAUGGUAUGAUACAAAACUACAAAAAUAAGGACACACAUGGUCACUUGUACCAGUGUCAAGAAUCCAUGGGUGGAUAUUACCUGAGUCCUUAGAUGAAUUUGUUUCUGCAAGAGGUGUGAUGCUGAGUUGAUUCAUGUUACUUCCACCAACACAUUUAUACUAGCAUUGUUGAAUAGGGAUGCAAGUUCAACAUAUUGAGCAGGACUGAAACUCAGUAUUAGUUGUGUGUUAGUCUAUGUUUCCAAAAAUUCAUUCCCACUUCGUGCAUUAAUCAAAAUGGUACUUCCAAUAGCACUAUUAUUGCCAACAUUUGCUCUAUGUUUUGCAAAGUUAGGUGGAAAACCAUGUUUGUAGUAACAAACAUCAACUGUAUAUCCUUCUUUGUCACAAUAUGUGCAAACUUUGGUAUUACUAGUCCUAUUCAAAUCAUAGCCUCUUCGAAAGCCUCUUCCUCUAAACUUUCUAAAGGUAUUACAACUUCCCAAGAUACCUUGUCAUUGUCCUGCACAUGUGGUCUAACACUUUAAGAUUUGGAUAGGCAUAUUGAAACAGUCUUGAGUAUUAUUCUAAUUAAGGAUUGCAAACGUUAAGUUCAAUAAAUUGAGAAGAUUAUAUUUAGAAAUAAUCCAUAACAACAAAAUUGAAACUUUUAGAUAAGAUGAUAAAAUCUUUAAGAAAAAAUAAUAUGGACCUACAAUAAUUUUACAUUAUAUAUCAAAGAGGAUUUCAAUUUAGUACAUAAUUUGCAUGGUGCAAACGAUAGAAUGAACAUUAAGAUAGAAUGAGUCUUAUAUUAUGUCUAACUAAUUUAGCCAAUUAAAUUAUUCAAUAAAACUGAAUAUGACUUUAUAUAAAUUAAAGAUUUAUAUAUAAAAUUAAUGAUUUUGAAUAAAAUUAUAUGAAUAAAUGUUAGAGAGGACCUUUACUUUGAAAUUUCAAUAUUUUAUAUUUGUUAUGUCAACGGAAACUCCUUUAUCAAUCCAAACAAAACCAUCCAUCACAAGUAGUCAUCUUCCAAUUUCUAUCUCUCCUAUUCAAGAUCUGUAACACCGUGUUUUUUUCGAGCACUUUAAGUAAUUAGUUAUUAAUGAAUUAAUUAUAGAAAUUAAUCAGUAAUGUUUUAGGCUAAACCUCAAUUGAGUUUUAGUCUUGUAUUAUAAUAUUCUAGCUUGCCCUAUUUUUCAAGAUUUUUGGAGAAUAAAAGUUUCCAAGAUGAUUUCGGGUCGUUUUAUCGAGUUUUCGCCCAAUUUUUGAGUUUCGUAACUCGGAAUCGAAUUCCGAUUUUUCCCUUAACUUCGAAAUAUUAUUUCUAGUCAAAAUAGACAUCAAUUUUGUCCGAAACUCAUCUCUAGUUAUUUUUCACCUCGAAAUUCAAGUUUCGACGUUUCGGGUAAAAACCUAAAUCGUUAAAUCAUAUAUUUUCGGACGAAGUGACCCGGUAAUACUCAGGCACGACUUCAAUUUCGAAAUCACACCACAUCAAUCAAGUCGGAGUAUUAAUCAUAUCAUGGGUCAAUGGCUUGUCAAACAAGCAAAGUCAAAGCUUCCAUAAUCCCCUAAAUCACUCACCAAAUCUCCUCACUCCACCACCAUUAGACACAUCACCUAAGUUAGCCUAAAGCUAAAUUGCCUCUCAUUAAUUUUCAGAUUUGAGAGAGGGUGAGGUCUCCUAUAAAUAUCUCACCCCAUCAUCUCAUUUUUACAAUAAUUCUCCUAAAGAAAGUUAAGGUACUCUUUUUCUUUUUCUCUUCUCCAUUUUUCUCCACAUACACCAUGAGAAAAUCAUGAUCUCUUAGUAUGUUAUUCACAGAGUUGAGUUUAUAUUUGUUUUCUUUAAAUAUUUUGUAAGUCAUGACUAAGUGAGAUGAUAAUGAAAUCAUAUGAACCUUUGUGUAGUUNNNNNNNNNNNNNNNNNNNNNNNNNNNNNNNNNNNNNNNNNNNNNNNNNNNNNNNNNNNNNNNNNNNNNNNNNNNNNNNNNNNNNNNNNNNNNNNNNNNNUUCAAUGAUGGUUCGUAGUGGUGCUGAGGUUUAUUCUAUGUGGUUUAAAUGUUAUGACCAGGUGCCACUAGAAGCAUUCCCGAUGGGAGAUGUCUUAGGAUGGGCAGAUCGUUAUAAAAGAUGGAUUAAAAGAUUUAAUUUGCUAACUUCGGUUAGUGUGCAUAUUCAUUGUGAAUAAUGAAGUAGAGGAGAGGAAAUUUACGGGAGACGAAUGAGCCCCGAGAUGUUGAGAGGGACGGCGAUGGUGGUGAUUCGUCAGCAAAGUCUUGAGGGAGAGUCUAGGUGAGACGAGUCCCGUGUAUUCUUGGAUGAUAUAUUAUGUUGGAUCGGACAGUGCUCACAAAGAAAACUAGACGAUCUCUGACAACUUCUCUUUGCAAUCAGGAUCAAUGAGAGGGAUGCCCAGAAAGUGUUUGAUACGACAUCCUCCUGAAUGGACAGUUCUGUUGGAACAUAUCGAUCAUAUAUAUAUCCUUGCGAGGAAUAAGUUUUGGUGCUAUCAAAUAGGCUUGUUAUGGGAACUGUACUCUUGGUUAUUUCCUCAUAGUUAUUGGAAGGAUAAUGGUGUAAGGAUCAUGGACAUAUGCAUAGCAUGCAUAUAUGGUAUUUAUCGAUAUUGAUUCUAAAAUCAUAAGUUUUAUACUCCAUUCAUCAUUAAUACAUGCAUGUAUGAUCAUAUGAUAUAUCUGUAUUUGUUCUUUGUCUUGGUGUGAUAUUCUGUGUAAUUCCACAAUGUCAAUGAUAAGUUUUUCAUUAGAUGUUUUACUCCCUCUCUUUCUGGUGUACUCGUAUACAUCCAUGUUUAGAUGGACAGAUCAGCGAUGAUCACUGGUUACUGCUUUACCAUGUCCCAGGAAGGGGCAUGGAGCAUUGAAGGAAACAGAUACACCUAUACUGGUCCAUGCGACCUGGAAUUGGAUCUUGUAUGUGAUGGCUCUGUGUUGCAUCUCCCGACACAUUACGCAGUUCGGGAAGCAUCGUUCUCCCUACUAGAGUGAAGGUCUGUACCUUCCGGUCCAUCCGCACUAGCUGAGGUACGAGGCAGAUUGGAGGUUGUCAAGACCUGACCCCAACUGAGAUUCUCAUCUACUAACUCAACGCCAAGAGGGACGGAAGGAGCAGACAUGACUACUUCAUCGGGGCCAAAGGGAUACACCCUUUGAUGGAUUGGGCAACAGAUGAGGUGGUGGAGGACGAGGAUGAUGAUUGUGUAUAUUUAAUUUGCAUAGGGGAUUCAGUGGAGGUUAUUGAGAUCUCUUCAGACUCGGAGAUCGAUGAAGACCCGAGUGAGGUUUCUAGUGUACCAUCGGUCUAGGAGCUCCUUUUUUUUAUAGGGAACCUGUGUAGGAUACUUUUGUAAUGUCAACGCACCCAGCAUUAUUUUAUUUUUAUUUGUAUUUUUAGUCUUUGUUUGGGGUGAAGAAUAGACAUCGCCUUUUAUUUUGUAAACGAUGAUGUAUGUAUUACAAAUUCAAGAAUUGAUUAAUGAGAAGUAUUCAGAAAAGAAUUGUGUUUCGUUCAAUUACAUUUUAAAUAUUAAGAAAUUAUUUCUGCAAAGGUUUGAAAAUGUGACGUCUUGAAAGAGAAUAGAUAAAAUGAAGAAAAAAAUGAUUUAUAAAUUAUAUGUUAUAUAAAAGGAAAAAAAAAUUAACCAUUUUUUAAGAAUUAAAUAUAGUGAUUAUAAAAUAAUUUUUGGGGUGUUACAAGAUACAAAUGAAAUCCACGAUGGAUAUAUCUUUAUUAUUUAACAGAUAUAUCUUUAUUAAUUCCUCCAUUUUUUAUGUGACAGAUACGGUGGAAGAAUACAGAUACCAAAUACCGCACAUAUGACUCAAGGCAUGUAUCUUGUACCAAUAUUCCUUAUAUACCCUGUAUCUUUAUCAUUUGGUUAGUUUUUAGUACAAGAUUUUGAAGGACUUUAUGAUUCAUUCAUCCUACAAAAUGAUCAACUUUCACUAUCACGCUCAAACUAGCCCUUUAAUGAUUUAAAAAAAAUUACUUGUGGGAAAAUAUAUUUUUAUGUAAAUUAUACAAAUCAAUAAAUAUAACUUAUAUUUAUUUAUCAUUCUUGAUUUAGUUACUUUUGGUUAAUACUUUUUUAUUUUAAAUAAUAAGAAAUUAUUAAGUUACUUUUGGUUAAUUCUUGAUUUAGCCCUUUAAUUGUGUUUCGUUCCAUUACAUUUUAAAUAUUAAGAAAUUAUUUCUGCAAUGGUUUGAAAAUGUGACGUCUUGAAAGAGAAUAGAUAAAAUGGAAAAAAAAUGAUUUGUAAAUUAUAUGUUACAAAAGAAAUUUUUUUUACCCAUUUUUUAAAAGAUUAAAUAUAGUAAUUAUAAAAUAAUUUUCGGGGUGUUACAAGAUACAAAUGAAAUCCACGAUGGAAAUAUCUUUAUUAUUUGACAGAUAUAUCUUUAUUAAUUCCUCCAUUUUUCAUUUGACAGAUACGGUGGAAGAAUACAGGUACCAAAUAACGCACAUAUGCCUCAAUAGGUAUGGCAAAAUGGGCUUGACCCGACGGGUCAGCCCAUUUGGAUAGGUGUUUUUAGCGGGCCGGGCUAAGGGUUUUAGCCCAAAAGCCCGUAUUCAACCCGUUUUGGAAGCCCGUUUUUUAGACUGGCCAUGGAGGACCGGGCCGGGCCGGGCUGGCUGGGGGGCCAACAUUAAGAUUAAAGUUUAUUUAUCUAUCAUGUUGCUCAUUUCAAUUAAGAUUAAACUUUUACAAUUUUAACUCAUGUUUGGAUGCUUAAACCUAUAAUUCUUCAUUCUCUUUGUAAAGUGAACAUUUAAUAUCUCAUUAUUUAGUUAUCUAUUAUCUUCACUCUUAUCCAAAUAUUGUACUUGUUCUCAAAUAAAGGUGGAGUUUGAUUAACAAUUAGGGGUGUUUGAAUCAAAUUUAAAACUUUAAUUAAUUGAAAUNNNNNNGAGUAAUAUAUAUACUUUAUUGUGAUUGAUUUAUAAUAUAGUAGUUUUGAUUCUUAUACACUUUUUAAAAUUGAGGAGUUAUAAACUCUAUUGUGAACUAGGAAUGUAAAAGUUUAAGACUAUGGUGGUUUAUUGUUUAGAAUUUACAAGUUUUGUACUAAUGCAAUAUGUUAUUAUGAAAUUGUGUCUUUUGUUUGUGAUUUUUUGUUUUAAAAGACAUUUAUGAAUUGUUUGAAUUAUUUAUUUUUGUCUAAAAGCUUUAAUGUGUAUUUUGAAAAAAGAAAAAAACGGGCCAGCCUGCUAGUCCUGCCAAAUAUGGGUCGGGCUGACAUUUUGAGCCCUUAUAACAAUAAGGGCCAGGUCGGGCCAGCCCAUAUUCUGACGGGUCAAAGGCGAGCCAGGCUGCCCCAGGCUGACCCGUAUUGUCACCCCUAUGCCUCAAGGCAUGUAUCUUGUACCUUGGGAAUGAUAAAUUAAUAUUCCCUUAUAUACCCUGUAUCUUUAUCAUUUGGUUAGUUUUUAGUACAAGAUUUUGAAGGACUUUAUGAUUCAUUCAUCCCACAAAAUGAUCAACAUUCACUAUCACGCUCAAACUAGCCCUUUAAUGAUUUAAAAAAAAUUACUUGUGGGAAAAUAUAUUUUUAUGUAAAUUAUACAAAUAAAUAAAUAUAACAUAUUUAUCUAUCAUUCUUGAUUUAGUUACUUUUGGUUAAUACUUUUUAUUUUUCAUUGAUAGUUUUAAAGAUAACAAUAUUUCAAAUACUAUUAAGUACUCAAGCAAUUGGAAAAUAUAUUAUAGUCUGAGUAAUUUUUAGUACUCAAAUAAUUGGAAAAUGCAUUAUAUUUUAGUUGAUAGUUUAGAAAACAAAAUAAUGUCUUAUUCAAUUACUAUCUUAUAAAAAUAAACAAUAAGCCUAAGAUAUAGUGAUUGUACUAAUGAUGGAAGAUAGUAUUAUCGAACCAUAUUCUAGUUAGAAAUCUUAAUUUACUAAAUGAAAUAGGUCAUAUAUACAAGGGUGUGAAUUAUAUAUAUAUAUAUAUAGUACUUGUACUAAUGAAGGAAGCUAGUAUUGUGGAACCAAAUUCUGGAUAUGUGAAUUAUAUGACGUUUUUGAGUAGGUAGUGUUUGAAAGAAUUUUAUUUAACUUAUAGCUGAUAAUAUUAUUAUGACUUACCAUUGCCCUAUUUAAUGAAAACAUUUCAAUUCACAAAUGAUCUUGCUCAACACAAAGUUUUAUAGACUAAGUAAUAGAAAAUUAUGAAAAUUGAAGAUAAAGUAGCAUGGAAUUACAAUCUGUGUAAUUAUUACAUGCCACAACUAAGUAAAACAUCAACUUUGUUUACAGACGAUAUAACUAGACCAAAGUGUUAUGAAAUGAAAUUAUGGGACACGCUGACAAGAGAAGACUCGCAUAAGUGGAGCCCUUGUCGCCUUCCCUUUAUUAUCAUUAAUCAAUGCUACAGCAUUGUUAUACAAAGUAUCCUUCACUAAAAAUUUGCUAUGGUGCCUGCAUCUUUCCCACCACAUCAACUCUUCAGAACUUGAUGCUGCAAUAUUGCACAAACCAAUAAAUAAAUGAAGUGAUUUAAUUACCAAAUUUUAGACCAAAAGUAAUCUAUGCUAGUGAGAUGUACUUUAGGCUUAAUUUCCAUUAAUUGGCUAAAUUUCAGUAACUAGCUAGCAAAAGAGCAAGGAUGCAUAUACAGGAUAAUGAUUUUUCUCUCACAAACAUGUGAGAAUAGUAUGUAAAAGAGUAAUUUCAUGUAAACCCUUUAAAGAAUUUUAAUGAAAUUUUUUAUGGGUUUUAUAAUUAACCAUUAUUUCCAAAAACUCAGGCAUUACGCUAAAUAUUUAAAUGAUGGUUGUUAAGAGAUAAGAAUAAUGUGGAGAGAAGCUUAGCUCCAUUCAUCCAUUUAUGGGUGUUAUCACUUUAUUAAUAUUUAGAUGAAAAACUUGACAAUUUCAUUAAAAAGGUAAGUAAAAAGAUAAGGAAAUUGUGAGGUAAACCAGAUAAGGAAAUUGUCAAAUCAUGAUGUAAGAAAUUGUUACAUAAAUUUCUAUUUUGUACUUAAAUUUAAUUUAUGCAAUUAUUAGGGAUUAUAAGUUCCAUCAUCAUGGAGAAUUUUAGUAGCAUAUUAUAAACAAAUUCACUAAAAUGUAAGUAAUGCAGGAUAGCUAUUCAAAUCUACUUUAUUAUUUUUGUUUCUUCUUCCAUAUUGUCAUCUAAUUGCACACAAAGAGUUGAUAGAUAGUAUGGUGUUUUGUAUAAAGAACAUUUUUCUAUUUUUAGAAAAUUAUACUUUUACUCCUUCUUUAUAAAAUCAUAUUGUGGAAAUUAAUGUGAAUUAAAAUAAAUUGAUUAACAUGGUUAUGAUAUAAAUUUACAANNNNNNNNNNNNNNNNNNNNNNNNNNNNNNNNNNNNNNNNNNNNNNNNNNNNNNNNNNNNNNNNNNNNNNNNNNNNNNNNNNNNNNNNNNNNNNNNNNNNAUAUCUACUGCUAAAUAUAAUUUUUAUCUUUUAUUAAAAUUGAGGAUCAACUACCAACAGGUGUUGGUUCAAGUGGUACAUGUUUGAUUCCUCUUAAGCAAGAACCCGGGUUCGAGUCUUGUGGAUGGAAAAAAUGNGCCCGUUGGGAGAGUUAGCCCCACUUACCUGUGGAUGUGCCCAGCUUGGACAGGAUUGCCUCCAGUGCGAGGAUACCUGUGGGGAACCAAAAAAAUUGAGGAUCUACUAUACAUAACAUUAAGGACCACAUAGACAGUUUUAAUUGGUAACACAUAAUUUAUGAUUAUUGUUUACUAACAGGAUAAACUNNNNNNNAUAAACUACAAAGGCUUUGAUUAUGAUUUAUUAAUAGUAUAAAAGUUAUCCUAUGCGAUCUAGGAUCUUAUUUGAUAUGAAGCUCCUGAUUGUUACCAAAGAUGCAUGUGACAGCAAUGGAUUUGUUNNNNNNNNNNNNNNNNNNNNNNNNNNNNNNNNNNNNNNNNNNNNNNNNNNNNNNNNNNNNNNNNNNNNNNNNNNNNNNNNNNNNNNNNNNNNNNNNNNNNUAAUGAUAUUCACAUGAAUUGCGUCUAAAAACUAGUUAUUUUUAAAAAGAAUUAUUUCCAUGACAUAAUUAUUAUCAUUGUAUAUUGUUUUUGUAGCUUGCAAUAAUUUUAAAUGACAAGAAAGAAUAACUACUAAUUGAGUUAUGAUCAAGUGAUUUUCUUUAAGAUGUUUCGUGUGGCUGUCCCCUUCUUGGAAUUAAAAAGUAACAUUUACCAUGCUCUAGUUAGAGAGUAUUAUNNNNNNNNNNNNNNNNNNNNNNNNNNNNNNNNNNNNNNNNNNNNNNNNNNNNNNNNNNNNNNNNNNNNNNNNNNNNNNNNNNNNNNNNNNNNNNNNNNNNUUUGCGUAGACCUCAGUUAUAUGUUCAGGGUGAGUUGACCAAAGCUGGGUUGCUGUCCGUAGAGAAUAGGCUUCUACACUACCUGAUUGCCUAUAUUAUGAUUCAGAGAAACACAAAUCAUGCACAACUUACAAUGAAUGAUUUGAGAUUCAUGUUUGUUGUGAAGGAGAACAUAACGAUUAAUUGGCCUGACGAGAUUCUANNNNNNNNNNNNNNNNNNNNNNNNNNNNNNNNNNNNNNNNNNNNNNNNNNNNNNNNNNNNNNNNNNNNNNNNNNNNNNNNNNNNNNNNNNNNNNNNNNNNUAGUAGCUCGACGAUUCCUGACAACCAAAACCCUCUAUCUCAUCCUUAGUUAGGAGACCUUAGAGCCUUAGUUUUAUCCUUCCUAGCUAAUGGACUUUGUCGUUCCUUGUUCCCUCUUAAGAACUUAUCUUUCAUUUUGCGCUUUUGUUCUUAUUAUGGAUUGUAAUAACUCUAAAACUUCUGNUUCUGCUGAAUUACUGCUUUAAAAUUUGACAUUGCUUUACAAUGAUUUCGAAUUAUAUUGUUCAUGCUUGAAUACUAUGUUGCAAAUAGUAUACUCCUUUGUUUAAUGGANNNNNNNNNNNNNNNNNNNNNNNNNNNNNNNNNNNNNNNNNNNNNNNNNNNNNNNNNNNNNNNNNNNNNNNNNNNNNNNNNNNNNNNNNNNNNNNNNNNNCGUAAUAUGAUUGCUUACCUAAGGGGGAGCAAAUGCGCUUCAACUUUGUAUCUUUGAAAAACAACCAUUAACAACCAUUAUGCAAACUCGCCAUCAAGCUAAUUCAUCAAACGUUUUGAACAAUUUUGAUGUAGUGUUUGUCAUCAUCAAAAAGGUGGAGAUUGAAAGUGCAAAGUGUCAAGGAUAGCACUAGCAAUGCUUUGCGUAUGUUUUGAUGAAGACAAGGUCCUAUUAAAGCUUGAAGAUGGCUCAACAAUCAACAUNNNNNNNNNNNNNNNNNNNNNNNNNNNNNNNNNNNNNNNNNNNNNNNNNNNNNNNNNNNNNNNNNNNNNNNNNNNNNNNNNNNNNNNNNNNNNNNNNNNNUAUGAGACAUAUCAUCUAGUUAAUUGUAUGUUCAUGCAUCUAUCAUACAUGUUAUAUAAGCAUAUUACGCAUAAUAUAAUUGGUAGAACAUGUAUAUAAGUUGUGCAUAACAUAUGAUAAGUUUACCUUUUGAACCAUGUAUUUUAAUAUGCAGUUAAUCGAUUAAUGUGGUGACUUAAUCGAUUAACUUAACUGCUUUUAUGUUAAAUCAGUGUUUCUGUUACAACUGUUUUCUGUUUCUUUCUGUUGCACUUGUUAAUCAAUUAACGGGUAGCCUUAAUCGAUUAACAUGUCUGUUAUUUGGUAUAACUGAUUUCUUUUUUAACCGUUUAACUCUUUGCAACGAAUCCAACUGUCAAAACUGCUUACUAUAAAUAGAGGCAACUUCCAGAAAACUAUAGCAUUGCAUUCCAUUGUAUAGGGCUGAUUUUAGAGAGCAUAUUUCGUUCUGUUUUUACUGCUUUUUGCAAGAGAGUUGCAUGUGUGAGAAGAGAGUUAUCAUGCUGAAUUGAUUUAUGGUUUUGCAUACUGUUUUACACUUUCUUAUGUUCAUUCUUAUCUUGCUCACAUGUUGAUGCAUUAUUUGUAAUGAUUGAUAGAGAGAUACUUUGAUUUCUGUUUUUGAUUAACUCACAUGUUCUUGAUGGCUUGAGUGAUUAGUGAGUGGGUUAGUCUUAAGGUCUUUUACUUGUAAUAUUUCAUGCAUUAUUGUGCUUAUAAUACCUUGCUGUUUUAACCUUUUUUUUUGUNUUUUUUUGUGUUUCUGGAUUGAUCUCUUGGUGUCGUACCACCACAGAGAUUGGGAUUCUUCACCAAGACUAGGAGGUCUUGAUUUGAGGACAAGAAUCUUGGCUGGGGCUGUUUCGCGAGAAAUGUUUUCUCAGGCGAAAGAUAGAGUCAAACCAAGGGCUUAAGGGUCCUAGAUUUCAAGAAAGAAGCGUCCUAUUUUCUUGUAAUNNNNNNNNNNNNNNNNNNNNNNNNNNNNNNNNNNNNNNNNNNNNNNNNNNNNNNNNNNNNNNNNNNNNNNNNNNNNNNNNNNNNNNNNNNNNNNNNNNNNUUUACUGCCAUAUGCUUAUUAAUAGUGCUUAAAAAUAUCUGUUUUAUCUCUGUUCAAUUGAUUUUAAAUAAUUGUGCAAUCUGCCUCUCUGAUCAUUCUGUUUAGUGCAUGUUUUAAUCGAUUAAGACUAGGUGUUAAUCGAUUAACUAGGCUGUUUCCAGAAAUUGGGUUUUGGUGCAAGAAGCAGUGAUCGAAAACCGCUACACCUAUUCAACCCCUCCCUUCUAGGUGUUCCUAGGCAACUGAUACCUAACAAUUUUAAUGAUCUGCAUGGAAUGAUAGAUAACACAUAAAAUGAUUAAUGAUAUUAUUUGAGAACAUUUUAAAAUCUAUUUAAAUGUGUAAUUACUACAUAUUCCAUUUAUUAUAUUUAAAAUGUUUUUCAAAGUUUCAUAACAACUUUAAUACAUAAUUUUAAAGUAGAAACUAAAUUGUCAUAAUUAAUGACAAUAAUUCCUUAAUUAUAGGAAAAGAAACAUUUGGGAACUAUCAACUUUUAUUUUUAAUUAGUAUUUAAAAUAAUUAAUCUAUGACAUAAAUCAAAUAUCAUCAAAUUUUCUCAUUAAUUGUAAUAUCAUAGUUUAUUCUAUUAAUAAUAUGAUUGAAUUCCUGAUAUUAAUGCACUUUAAUGACAUUAAAUGAAAACGUUUUAAGAUUUAUUUAAAUAAUCAGUAUUAAACAUUGUUAUUUUUAUGAAAUAAAUUCACUAUAUAUCAUUUUAAAGCUAGACAAAAUAAGUGAAUAACAAAAAAAAUUCUUAUUAAUUGUAAUAUAAUAGCUCAUUCUUUCUAUUAAUAAUAACAUUAGAUUUCUACUUUAAGUGAGGCUCGAACUCACAACUUUCUUCUUUACAUUUCUUAAAUUUUUUCACCUUAAUCAUCCUACCAACUUAUGACUCACAAUCAUCGUUAUAUAUUUGUUAAUAUUAUUAAUUACGUUAUAUAUUCAAUAAUUGUUACGAAAAUUCCUUAUAUAUUUCAUAAUUGUUCUAAUAAUUUACUAUUAUUGAUUUUAAUUUUCUUAAUCUACUAUCUUUAAUAUUUUGUUUAUGUUAUAUUUCAUAUUGUUACUAUUAUAAUAUAUCAAUUGUAAAAUAUAAUUACAAUUUUAUUAAUUACAUUAUAUAUUCUAUAAUUGUUACGAAGAUUACUUAUAUAUUGCAUAAUUUACUUGUUCUUUCUGAUAGGUCUUGGUAUAUAUUGUUAAUUUUAACGCCCCGAAAAGUACUCCAAAAAAAUCUUGCUCAAAAAUGGGUAUUUUUUUUAAUAAUGAUGCCAUAUAAAAUUUAUUUCCUUAUAUCCGUUUCAUUUUUGGAACAUCACUUUAAGUAACAUACAAUGCAGAAAAUCAAAAACACCAUUACCUAAAGGUAAUAAAAAUAUAACUCAAUAUAACUUUGAAUCAUACUUCAUUAGAAUAUCAUGAAAUGUUGGUACGAAGUAUAAGGCGGAAUCCUAAUCGUUGCCCAAAUAAAACUACUCGCAAAAUAAAUACCCUACACUGGUGAUAAGUGCCAAAUAUACCUAAAAAUCAUACACUUUUAUGGCACUUAUCUUAAUCAUAAUUGAAAUAAACCAACUUAAAACAAAACUUUUUGUAUUAAAUAUCACAAUUUGGUAUAUUUGUGUUUGUAUUGCCUUUUUAUGUAUUUUGUAGGAAAUAAAAUGAAGAAAAUAAGAGAAAAGGUUCAUGGUAAAAAAGAAACAAAAGUCAAGAAAAUCAAGGUGCUCAACCAGGCAGCUGAGCAUGGAACAAGCCCCGCUGAGCUGACCUGGCCACCUACCUGACCUUGCCACCUGCCUGACUUAGACCAAACUGCUCAACCAGGCAGCUGAGCGGACCUGCUUAGCCGCUCAGCCUAGCACCAGACUAGGCCUGGCACGGUCAGAAAUAUGCUUGACACGGUCAGACACGAGCUUGGCACAAGCCAAGCUGCUGAACAAGCUGCUCAGCAGUCAAACCAAGCUGCUCAGCGGAGAACUAGACUCAUGGCCAGAUCAGCAAGCACCAAGCCACAUCCCAGUCAACACGGUCAGAAGCUGCUGAAUAAGCAACUCAGCUAUAAAGCAGGUGCGCUGGGCGGUGCUUACUAGACUUGACUUAACCAUCAAGCAAACCAUGAAGUCAUCCAUGACCUCACCUCAAGUAGUCCACCAUAGGCUUUUCAGAGUAGGUCACAAUAGCUGGUCUCAUAGCCCACAACUAGCUUUGGUGAGUCAUGCACAAGGAGGUGACUAAGCUACUUGGUCAAGGGACCAAACCCAUGCUGAAGGGUUUGGUCAGCUGCUAAGCGGUCCAGCUCAGCAGCUCAGCGGUCUAGAAUGGAGCCUAUAAAUAGAGUCCAUUUCCUUUGAGCAAAAUAUAAUACAACACACCAUUUCUUCAUAAAAUUCUCUCAAAAAUACUUGAAGGCCAGAAUUCUCUCAUUUAGGAAUUCUUUCUUAGUUUAGAGUUUUCAUUUUCAAGUAAGUUUUGUAAUUUGUAGUUUAGAAUUCAAGAGGAGAAAAGGAAAAGGCAAAUGAGAUGCAAAAAUCAAUUUUGUACUCUCAUUUGGAACUCAAAAGCAUCCAAUCCUUGGAUGGAUAGCUCAUGCUCCUAAACAUUUUCUUUUGAACAAGGUUAUGUAUUUUCUACCCCUUCUUAAUUUACAAAAGUUUGGAUUUUAAUCAUUCAAGUUGGUGCUUUGGUUAAUAUUAUUUGUUUGAGAAGAACUUAAUGCUCUUNNNNNNNNNNNNNNNNNNNNNNNNNNNNNNNNNNNNNNNNNNNNNNNNNNNNNNNNNNNNNNNNNNNNNNNNNNNNNNNNNNNNNNNNNNNNNNNNNNNNCUAUUAGGCAAUUCAUUGUGGUUCGACAUAACCCUAUACUAUACUACAAUUGAAUCUUGAAAGAGGUGUAAAUUGUAAAAUAGUAAAGUGAUAUCAAUAAAUUUAUUUGUUGAAAACACCUUUUAAUAUACAAAAGUGAUGAAGCUAACUUACUAACUUUUAUUUCUUGUUGUUUACUUUCCGCAUUUUAUUUAUUCUUUAAUACCAACCUUCCUUAGGAAGAAGUUUGGUUUGUUAAUAAAAUGAACCCGAAAGGGAGUAAAUAAAUAAAAGGUCACUAAAUUUAUUAUUCUUUUGUUCUUUAUUUAUUUAUUUGUAUCUAACAACUAACUAUUCAUCACUUUUAUAUAUUAGAAUACCAUUAAACCGAUGUUGGAAUUUAUUCCACAAAAUCGAGAUGGUAUUCAAAGGUACUUAAUAAUUAUGUAAUAGGUAAUUGCUUCGAUACUAUUAUACCAGCGUUAGAAUUUAGUCUAACAAAGCCGAGAUGGGGCAAAGAAGGAAUGACUUAUUCACAUGAUUAUUACGAAAGUAAGUUGUAACUGGAAUAUUCUUGAAACCAUUAUACCGGCGUUGGAAUUUAUUUCAAUAAAGCCGAGAUGGCGAACAAAAAAUAAAACUGAGUUCUCUUACUUACAAAAGGAACAUAACGAAAAUGAGAGUAUUAAUCUUUCAACAAAUUGACACUGUUGUCAGGACGAUUUGUUGAGAGAAGAAAACUCCCAACUAAAAUAAAAACUCCGAACUACCCUUUCAACAACAGGUACACUAAUCAAAAAGCACAAGAGCCUGUGUAGGUAUAACUGGUUCCCUCAAUCCUCCAUGCCCCCUCCUAGGACAUCGAAAAGCGGUAACUCAGAAUCCUGGCAGAAUGAUCCAUCUGAACAAAACGCGAAUAGAAGACAAACCUAAAGAAAAGGGAGUAAAACAUCUAAUGAAUAUUAUUCAUUGACGAAAUGGAAUUACACGGAAUAUCACAUCCAGACACACACACAUGAUAAACACAAUAUAUACAUUACAUAUAAAAAUGCACAAUGAUGAAUGAUGUUAUAAUCUCAGAUUAUGAGGAUCAAAGUCCACAAUCUCAAUGUAUGAAUGUUAUGUUUGUUUCAUUCAUCCUUUCACCAAUAUCCUCCCAAUAUACUAUUAAAAAAUAACCAAGAGUACAGGUCCCAUAACAAGCCGAUUUGAACGCACCAAAAUUAUUCCUCGCAAGGAUAUAUGAUCGAUCUGUUCCGAAGAACUAUCCAUUUCAGGACGGUGUCAUAUCAAACAUUUUCUGGGCAUCCCUCUCAUUAAUCCUAAUUGCAAAGAAGGGUUGUCAGAGAUCGUCUAGUUUGCGCUAUGAGAACCUCUCUACUACUUCAUUAUCCAUAAUGAGUAUGCACGCUAACCGAGGUUAGCCGAUUAAAUCUUUUAAUCAUUAUUUUGUAUGAUCGGCCCAACCUAGGACAUCUCCUAGAGGAAUGCUUCUUGUGGGGUCCGAUCUUACGUCAACACGUAAAUAGAGGAAUAAUAUCCCUACAACUACGAACCGUCAUUGAAUCACCCUAGACGACCACAUGGCCAAGCCUCUUACGGUCAGACGACCUCGCUGCGUGGUAUCAUGUAAUCCUUUUUUGGGCAUCACCCUAAUCACGACUUCAAAGUCGGAAACCUUGCCCUAAAUAGGGGCAAGAACAAAGGUACUUGUAUAAGUUUGUCGAUUUCAGGAACCGGAUUCAAUCAUUUGAGUUACGGUCUUUCCCAAGGGUAAACACACUUCACACCCAAGCUAGGGCUAUUGCCUCUAACAAAGCAAUUCCUUACUUUUAUUACUUUCAAGAAUUUCAUAUAGUUAUUUACCUUUAUAACUUCUUGAUGGAAAACAUGUCAUUAGGCUCUCGUAUAUAUGAGAGUUAUCAUUCGUACGACUUAAAAAGAAGUCAUGUCUGUAUGGAGCCCUCUCGCUCGAGCUGUUCGCUCAAGCGGGGGCACAUCCAUUUUUGAGGCAUUUGUGGCUUAAGCAAGAGCUGUCUCGCUUAAGCGAGAAAACAAUCAGUUCUCUCGGUGCCUAUUUUAGCUCAAGCGAGAGCUGUCUUGCCCCGAGCUAAAACAUUCGGUUUCUCUAUACACUUCUCGCUUAAGCGAGAGCUGUCUUGCUCAAGCGAGAAGAGCCUGAUUAUAAUUUUAAUUACUUUUCUCAAGGAAAAUAUUUCUCAUUUAUAUCACAUGUUUUUAAACCUUGAAUUUAUUAAUUGUCACAUACAUAUCAUUCCCAUAAUAAUCAUUCAAACAUUAUAAUUCAAUAGUAAAUGUGGUAUUUGCAUAUAUAAACAUAACAUAAAUCGGUAUAAGAAAUAUUGUUGUACUUAAUCCAAACAAACAUGCAAUUGAUUAAGUACAAGCUUUUUUAAUACCCAAGGCAACUCUAAAAUUGUGAGGGAGUUUGGGAUACCGGAUCGAAACUCUCCACUGUUUUCGAUCCCAAUGCAUUUUAGUUUCUCGAAUGGUGUUCCUUCAUGGAUAACAAAGGUCAAAAACUACAUAAAGGUUCAUAUGAUUUUAUUAUCAUCCCCUUUAGUUAUUCCUUCAUAAAAUACUUAAAGAACAAAUAUAAACUCUACUUUUUGAACAACAUAAUAAAAGCUCAUAACUUUCUGUGAAGUAUGAGAAGAAGAUGAAGAAGAGAAAAUAAAAGACUACCUUAGUUUGUAUAGGAAAUUUAGUGUAAAAAUGAGAGAAUGGGGUGAGGUAUUUAUAGGAGAGUCUCACCCUUAUCAAAUCAUAAAAUUUAAUGCAAAGUAAGUAGAUUUAGACUAGCAUAGGUGAUGUGUCUAAUGGUGGUGGAGUGAGAGGAUUUGUUGAGUGAUUUAGGGGAUUUUGUGUAAGAGGAUAUGUACUUUUGCUUGUUUAACAAGCAAGCUUCUUACAUGAAAGUGAUGUAACCUUUUUGAUGAAACAUUCUCGAUUAAACCAUUCCCGAGUAUUGUCGGCUAAUACCCGGUCGGAUAAUAAAAAUCUCUUAAUUUCGGUUUAUGGUUAGAACUUCGAAACACAGAAUUCGGAGUGAAAAAUAAUUAGAAAUGCGUUAUGGAAAAACUUGAUAUCUAUCUUGACUCGAAAUAAUAUUUCGAAGCCAAUGGCGCAAUCGGAAUUCAAUUUUGAGAUACGGAACUCAAAAACACGUUAUUGGGUCGAAUUCGGGCGAAUUUGGGCUCGACAACAGCUCAAAAACUUUCCGUCACAGAAAAUUACGAACAUUUACCACAAAAUAGGAAAUCAUAAAACAAGACUAACAAUCAACUAAGGUUUAGUCUAAUUCAAUACCGAUUAAUUUGGAAAAUUAAUCGUUGUUAAAAUAAAUAAUUAAUAAAACCUGCACAGAAAAUUCAUGGUGUUACAUUAAUUGAUUAUUUCAAUUUUGAAACUGAUCUGCAAAUUUAUAUUUUAUUUUUUUAACUCAAACAAAAAAUUCCAACUAUUCUAUUUCUUCAUGAAUUUCGAAUCAUAUGUUAUAAUUCAACCAAUUUAUAUCCAUAGUGAGAAUUGUUUAAAAUCUGGAAAUCAUAAAUAAUUUAAUCAAAAUAUAUUUCAUAUUAUUAUUAGUAUUAUUAUUAUUAUUAUAUUGCAAUUGUAAAAUAUAAUUAUAUAUUCUGUAUAUACUCCUUCAUUACAUUAUAUAUUCCAUAAUUGUUACGAAGAUUCCUUAUAUAUUCUAUAAUUGUUACGAAGAUUCCUUCAUUUAGUUGUUGUUUCUGAUAAGUCUUGGUUUAUGUUGUUAGUUGAUUCUUUCCAUUUUGUAACUGAAUCGCAAAUUUAUAUACUAUUUCUGUAACUGAUACAAAAACUCCAACUAUUAUAUUUCUUCAUGAGUUUUGAAUCAUAUGUUAUAAUUAUAUCAAUUUAUAUCCAUAAUAGGCAUUGCUUAAAAUUUGAAAAUGAUAAAUAAUUUAAACAAAAUAUAAAUCAAAUCAAUUGGUUAUCACAUUCAAAAUUCAUUAGUUAUAUUUCUGCAAAUUUAUCUCCAUAAUGAGGAAUGCUUCAAAUUUUGAAAUCAUAAAUAAUUUAAAUCAAAUAAAAAUAAAGACUUUAUUCUUCUCCAUAUAUGGGAAUGCCAUAAUAUCCAAAAGCAAAGAAAUGAAAAAUGUACUUUAAACGCAGAUUUAUAAAAUAAUAAUAAAUCUACAAAACGAAUAAAAAAUACACUUUAAAAAGGAUGGUUGGAAGAGAAAGAAUAUGGCGAUAAUGAAGAGAUAUAAUGAAAUGAAACCAAAGAAAAUGAAAAUUGUUGGGAGAGAAAGAUUGUUGAAAGAGAAAGAGAAAGUCAUGGAUCUCAAUAACAAUCAAAAUGCAAUUUAAGGUGUAGUCAUAAAAAAUGCAAUAAUUAUUUAUUAAAUUGUUACUAUCAUCAAGAAAGAGCAAAUAUAGUAUGGAAAUAUACAUAUGAUUACCAUGAAACCAUUUAGGAGAGGAAAAAUGAAGGAAAAUGUGAUAUGUGGCAAAUGAUAAGGUGAUAGGAGUUUUUAUUUUAUUUUAUAGUUAAUAGAUUUGUGUGGUGUAAAAGAUAGAAUGAACGUGAAGGUAAAAUAAAUCUUAUAUUAGGUCUAACUGAUUUAACCAAUUAAAUUAUUCUAUAAAAUUGGAUAAGACAUUAUAAAAAAUUAAUGGUUAUAUAUAAAAUUAAUGAUUAUCUAUAAAAUUAGUAGGAUACCCAUGCAUUUGCACAGGCGAAGUGUUUUAUUGGGGAUAUGAAUUUAAAGAAUUGAAUUUCAAGGUUGUAUAAUAAAAAGGAAAGAAAUUUUUUUUAGGAUGUAAUAGUUUUUUUUUGUUUCUUAUAGGUAUCCUCGCACUGGAUUCAAUCAUGUCCGAGCUAAGAACAUACAUAGGUAUGUGAGGCUAAUUCUCCCAGCAUGUAUUUUUUUCCAUCAACAAGACUCGAACCCGAGACCUUGCUUAAGGGGAAUCAAGCAUGUACCACUUGAACCAAAACCCAUUGGUUCUCACUUCCCUUUAUAUCUCCAUUUCAAAACUCUCUCUUAUGAUGUAAUAGUUUGUAAAUAAUUAAUGUAUUUUAUAUUAAAUAUGUAACAUUGGAGGUUGAUAGUUUGUAUUUAACCUCAUAAAAUCUAAAUAAAUGACACAUUAGAGUUUAAGAAAAAUAAUAAUGUAGUCUACGAAUCUUAAAGUAGAAGAAAAUGUUAUAGGUUUUGGAAAACUUCCUUGUAAACAACAUUUGUUGUUGACUUUAGAGCUUUAUCAUCCUUAUCAUGUAUCAUUAUCUUCAAUCAUUUUUUACUUAAAAUUUGUUGCACUCUUAAAAUUGUGAUAUAUAAUUGCUUGAAAACUAUAUUUUUACUUCUGUUUUAAUUCAAUUAUACGUUGACUUAAUGUUUCACGAUUUUGAAUUGCCCGAAAACUAUAUUUGAAAAAAGUAGAAUCAAUGUUAUAAUUAUACAUUACGUGUUAAUUAAUUAAUUUUAAAAGAUAUUUGUUCGUAAAUAAAUAUUAUCUACUUCUGAACUAAUCUAUGUUUGAAAUUUAUUCAUUUAUCAACAAUUUUGAAGCACACCAUGAAUUAGAAAGAGAUAAUAGGUAUUUACCUAACAGGUGAUUAAAUAAUAAUGUAAAUAAGCAAGAGAAACAAAAGAUAUUUGAUUAAGACAUAAAAGUAUUAAAAAUUAUUAUGACUUUGUGGUUCUUUGAUUCUUGCAUGUGUUAGAAUAAUAAUCAUGGAUGUAUUUGUUGACCUCUUGUUACAGUGGUUGAUAAAUUUUGUUGCAUGACAUUUCCAAUGAGUACAACCAAUGACAUCUUCGCUACUUAAAUUUUUGAAAUUAAGUUAGGAAAAUUACAAAUAUUUAUAUAAAUAAAUAAAGCAAUAUUAUUGAUGACUUUUUUAAGUUUGUCUCAGUCUGGAGAAUAUUAGUUCAUUAACAACUUCAAUAAUAACUAUUUGGGUCAAUAAAAAAAAGUGUUAUUAUUGUUAAUCUACUAACAAAUCAGUGUGAAAAUUCUCAGCUAGUAUGUCCCCGAAAUGUUUUAAACAAUAUUCAUAGUGUUGUACCAACAAUAAGUUUCAUCAUAUAGUAACUUGUAUCUUACUAUAAAAUGCAAUUUAUUAUUACAUUCACCGAGUUCAUCUUUCCUUAAAAGUAACUUGUAUCUUACUACCCUAUAAUAUAUAAAACAAUAUAUUAUUAUAAAAACAAUUGUAGGAACUAAAUGUUUUAUUGGACUUCAUAUAAAAUGGAACAUCACUAUCCAUCAUAUCAUUUCAAGAUGUUCUGGUUUUGGUGGUAUUCUAACAUACCAAAGAUAAGAAAUUCUAAAAAUAAGAAAAUUGUCAUAAUUGAUUUGUUAUUUAUAAAUAUUCAUAAUAAAAGUACUUAUAUUUUCCAUUAAUAUAUCUAACAUUGUUAUCUUUUAAUUAAAUAAUAUAAUGAUAAUAAUUAAAUGUUAUGCAAAUUUUCAUUCAUUAUACUGUCAUCUCUUAUACUAAUAUAUACUCAAAAGUUGUUAUGGUUUUUAAUAUCAUCUAGUAUCUUUAAUAUUCUAUUUAUGUUAUAAUUCAUAUUAUUACUAUUUUAAUAUUGUAUAGUAACAUUGCAAUAUUAGAAGCAAACACUAAACCCAAAACGAAUAUAUCUAUAAUGAGUGAUGCCUAAAAUUAAAGAGUAAAAAAUAAUUCCAAAAAAAUAUAAAUAAAAAAUGUGUUAAAAUGCAUACAACAUUGUAUAUUUUAUGAUUGCUUUUAGUAAAAUAUAGGUAGAAAAAUCAAUUACAUAAGCACAAUAAAAUCAAAUCAAUGACAUACUAUUUCAGUAAUUUAGUAAAAAUAAGACUAUUAUUAUAUUAAUUUCAUAUUGUGACUCAUUAUGUUUUAUAGUCUCUGAUUUAUAUACAAAUUCAUGAUUUUAUAAUUGAUCUUAUAUGUACAUGUAUUAAUUUGUAGUUUGAAAUAUACUAAUAAUGUUUCAAAUCAUUGAGUAUUAAUUUUAAUAAUAUUGUUUUAUCUUAUUUUGUUCUACUAAAGGAUUUGAUAAUCUAUUAGUAUGAGAUACUCUUUCUAAUCUAUUUGAAAAACACAUUAAUUUAGGAUUUGACUGAAUAUUUUUCCUUGUAAUUUUAAUGAAAUGUAUAAAAAGAUUCUCAUAAUUGAUUUAUUAUUUUUAUAUAUUCCUUAUUAAAAUACUAAUAUUUUCCAUGAAUAUAUCUACAUUAAUUUUAUCUUUUAAUUAAAUAAUAUAAUGAUGGUAAUUAAAUAUUUUGAAAAUUCUCAUUCGUUAUUUUCUAAUAUGUUAUACUAAUAUAUAUUCAAAAACAUUUAUAAUUUUUAAUCUUCUUAAUCUAAUAUCUUUAAUAUUCUAUUUAUCUUAUACUUCUCAUUAUUACUAUCUUAAUAUUGAAAAAAUAACUUUGCAAUAUUAGAAGCAAACACGAAACAUGGAACAAAAUAUAUUUAUAAUGAGUGUUUUCUAAAAUUAAAGAAUAAAAAUAUUUUAGGAAAAUAUAAAUCAAAUAUGCGUUAUAAUUCAUACAACUUUGUAUAUCUUAUGAUUAUUUUUAAUGAAAUAGAGGUAGAAAAACUAAUUACGUAAUCACAAUAAAAUGAAAUCAAGGCACUAGUUUUUCAAUAAUUUUAAUAAAAAUAAGACUAUUAUUGUAUUACUUUUAAAUUUUGGCUCAUUAUGUUUUACAUUAUUCGAUUUAUAUAUAAUUACUUGAUUUUAUAAUUGUCCUUAUGUGUACCUACAUUAAUUUAUAGUUUGAUAUAUACUAAUAAUGUUUCAAAUCCUUGUGUAUUAAUUUUACUAAUAUUUUUUAUCUAAUUUUUUAUAUCGAAGGAUUUGAUGAGCUAUUAGGAAGGGAUAAUUUAUCUAAUCUAUUUGAAAAACACAAUAAGUUAGGAUUUGACAGGAUAUUUUUCCAGUAAUUUUAAUAAAAAUAAUAGAAAGAUUCUCAAUUGAUUUGUUAUUUUUAUAUAUUCCUAAUUAAAAUACUUAUAUUUUCCAUAAAUAUAUCUAUCAUUGUUAUCUUUUAAUUAAAUAAUAUAAUGAUAAUAAUUAAACAUUUUGAAAAUUCUCAUUCGUUAUAUUCUCAUAUGUUAUACUAAUAUAUAUUCAAAAACUGUUAAGAUUUUUAAUAAUCUUAAUCUAAUAUCUUUAAUAUUCUAUUUAUGUUAUAUUUCUCAUUAUUACCAUCAUAAUAUUGUAAAAGUAACAUUGCAAUAUUAGAAGUAAACACUAAACCUAGAACAAAAUAUAUUUAUAAUGAGUGUUUCCUAAAAUUAAAGAUUAAAAAUAAUUCAAACAAAAUAUAAAUCAAAUAUGCGUUAUCAUGCAUACAACUUUGUAUAUCUUAUGAUUACGUUCAAUGAAAUAGAGGUAGAAUAAUCAAUUACGUAAUCUAUACUAUAUAUAAAGCCAAAACUUGAAAUAACUUCCCUCGUGGUGUAAUUUUCAUUUCCUACAUUGCCCUUAACAUUAUUUAAUUUUUACAAAUAAACUAUAUAAUCCUAAGCAACUAUCACCAACACAUAUAUCACCUUAAAUUAAACAUUAUCAUAAACACACAAAAAUAUAAUAUAAAGUACACCGAACACAACAAAUACAUUUUAAUUCAAAAAAAUGAAAUAUAUAAAAAUUGAAUAUGUAGUAUCACACAAUAUUCGCCGGCAGGCACGAAGUGCCUGUACACACUAGUCACAAUAAAAUCAAAUCAAGGACAUGGAUUUUCAAUAAUUUUUAAUAAAAAUAAGACUAUUAUAAUUGAUCUUAUGUGUCUCAUUAUGUGGCUCAUUAUGUUUUAUAGUACUCGAUUUAUAAAUAAUUUCUUGAUUUUAUAAUUGAUCUUAUGUGUCCAUGUAUUAAUUUGUAGUUUGAAAUAUACUAAUAAUAUCACAAAUCCUUUUGUAUGAAUUUUACUACUAUUGUUUUAUCUUUUUUUUUUAUACUGAAGGAUUUGAUGAGCUAUUAGGAUAUGAUAAUUUUUCUAAUCUAUUUGAAAAACAUAUGAAGUUAGGAUUUGACGGGAUAUUUUUAUGGUAAUUUUUAUCAAAAUAAUAAAAAGAUUCUCAUAAUUGAUUUGUUAUUUUUAUAUAUUCCUAAUAAAAAUACUAAUAUUUUCUUUGAAUAUAUCUACCAUUGUUAUAUUUUUUAUUAAAUAAUGUAAUGAUAGUAAUUAAAUAUUUUACAAAUUCUCAUUUGUUAUAUUCUCAUAUGUUAAACUAAUAUAUAUUAAAAAACUGUUAUGAUUUUUAAUCUUCUUAAUCGAAUAUCUUUAAUAUUCUAUGUAUGUUAUACUUCCUAUUAUUACUAUCUUAAUAUCAUAAAAGUAACAUUGCAAGAGUAGAAGAAAACACUAAACCCUGAACAAAAUAUAUUUAUAAUGAGUGUUGCCUAAAAUUAAAGAAUAAAAAAUAAUUCAAACAAAAUAUAAAUCAAAUAUGCGAUAUAAUGCAUACAACUGUGUAUAUCUUAUGAUUGCUUUUAAGAAAAUAGAGGUAGAAGAAUCAAUUACAUUAUCACAAUAAAAUCAAAUCAAGGACAAGUUUUUUGCAGUAAUUUUAAUAAAAAUAAGACUAUUAUUAUAUUAAUUUCAUAUUGUGGGUCAUUAUGUUUUAUAGUCUUCGAUUUAUAUACAAAUUCUUGAUUUUAUAAUUGAUUUUAUGUGUACAUGUAUUAAUUUGUAGUUAAUAAUGUUUCAAAUUGUUGAGUAUUAAUUUUAAUACUAUUGUUUUAUCUUAUUUUGUUAUACCGGAGGAUUUGAUGAGCUAUUAGGAUGAGAUAAUGUUUCUUUUUGAAAACACAUAUUAGGAUGAGAUUUGACGUAUAUUGUUUUUUCCAGUAAUUUUAAUCAAACUAAUAAAAAGAUUCUCAAAAUUGAUGUGUUAUUUUUAUGUAUUCCUAAUAAUAAUAUACUUAUAUUUUUUUGUAAAUAUAUUUUUCCAUGAUUUGUUACAUGAAAUAGCCUAAAUGAAAGAAGAAUGAACAUUUCCUUCAAUCAUGAUGUCAUUAAUGUCAUACUCCAGUUCCUACGAGAAAUGAAAAUAGAAUUAUUAUGAGAAUAAGAGUUAUUGUUAUUAAUGCUAAUAAUAUCUUCUUUUGUAAUUUCAAAAUAUGAAAUAGUCAUAAUGAAAAUUGUUACUUGAUAUAGCCUUAAUGAAAGAAGAAUGAGCAUUUACUUCAAUGAUGGUGACAUUAAUGGCAUGCUCCUGGUUCCCACGAGAAUUGAUAAUAGAAUUAUUAUAAGAAUUAUAGUUAUUGUUAUUAAUGCUAAUAAUACCUCAUUGGUAACCUGUUUUUGGUUGCCAAGUAUCUUUUUCGUGGGUCACCUUAAAAUUAGGCAUUAAAGUUGAAACCAAAUUAUUGUUUUGGCCAAAAUGGAUUAACAUCUCCCAAUUUAAUUUCAUUAAUAUUGACAUAUGGUUUCUUAGAAAUCUUCUUAUUUCUAGUAAGACUCAACCAAUUUCCAUAAAAUACUUGACUCUUGAACAAAAUACUUGCCAUUUUUUUGUUCACCCAUUGAAUUCACAUUUAGUGUCUCAGUUGUAACGGAUGUAAUAGUUUCCACCAGAUUCAUCAAUCAUUAUUAAUCUAAUUAAUCUAAUAUAAGAAUAUACUCACAAUUGCUUUCUUAUUUUUAAAUAUUAUUGCUUUGUAUAUUUAAAUAAUACAAUGAUAGUAAGUAAUAUAUAUUCCAAAAAUUAUUGCUUUUGUGUAAGGAACUAAUCUCUUUUCGGAUAUAUGGCUGUCACACCCAACAAGUAUCGCUUCCAAUUAUCGAAAACUUGACAAUUUGCUUAUCUUAGGGAUCUAGUGGAACCUUACACUACUAGACCAACACAUUCUUGGUAAACUAGCCCUUUAAUGAUUUAAUAAAAAUUACUUGUGGGAGAAUAUAUUUUUAAGUAAACUAGUAAGUUAACCGUUCCUUUGCUUAGGGCAAUAAUUUUUUGUCGCAUACAUAAUAACAUAUAUGUUACUUGUAUAUUUGAUAUGAGAGUCAUGAAGAGAUUUGAAAGUAUGAUGUUAACAUAUAUUGUAAAGAGAAAAAAUAAUGAUUAAAAAUGGAAUUAAAGGGCCUAAACAUUUAGAAAACAUAAGAAUUUGAUGGUAAUAUUAGAUAACUAAAAAGAUAACAUAACAAAUCAGAACCAAAAUAGUGAAAAACAAUGAAAAAAUUAUAGAAGCUCUUGAGACAACAAAACUUUUAAAAGGAAGGAAGCAAAUCAUAUGUAUGAAUGCCCGUAAAAUUUGAACAUUGAGAGAUAUUCUUUACACGACCAAAUGUAUAUUGUAAGGCUAACCAUUGAAGAGUAUGGGGAAAUAUUAAAUGACCUUUUAAAUGGUGAUAAAUAAUAUACAUAUUACUUUGAAAAUUUCUUAAAGGAUUGUGUAAAUUCUCAAUGCUGAAAAUGAAAAUAUUGAACGCAAUGGAAAUUAGCAUUAAAUGGAAAAUAAAAAAAUUCCUACUUGUGUACCUAGAUAGAAAAGUAAAUAAAAAAUGUUAUUACAUAUGCAACAAUUAAUUGAACAUAUAAUCAACGAAGAGUCUAGUGUAAAAAUUUAAACAAUAAAUAAAAUCUUUCAAUUGGAACAAUAAUAAUUUAAAUCAAUAAUGAUUUAAUUCGAAAAUGAUAAUUAAAUAACUAAAUAUUUUAAAUUCUUACCAUUGGGUACUGGAAAAUUGGUAAAGAAAAAUAUUUUACAUAUGAAAAUAAUUAAUUAACAAAAUGUUAAUCACUUUAUAAAAACUUAUGUUGUCCAUUGUUAAUAUUUUUUUAUGGUAUGUUCUCUAUUGUUACUAUUUAAUAUUGCAAUUGCAAAGUGUCAAGGAUUGCACUACCAAUGCUUUGCCUAUGUUUUGAUGAAGACAAGGUUCUAUUAAAGCUUGAAGAUAGCUCAACAACCAACAUACCUUGAGCUCAUUGGUCAUAUCUAGACUAGGAUAUAAAUAGAGUCAUUAUUCUAAGUAGGCUGGGAUGUGCGCCUUAGUAAGUGAGUAUAGGAGAGGUGAAUCUAGGUGCAAAUCUCUCAAGCCAUUAUAAUUACCAUAUCACAUCCAUGAGACAUAUCAUCUAGUUAAUUGUAUGUUCAUGUAUUAAUCAUACAUGUUAUAUGUGCAUAUUAGGCAUAAUAUAAUUCCUAAAACAUGUAUAGGAGUUAAGCAUAACAUAUGAGAAGUUUACCUUUUGAACCACGUAUUUUAAUAUGCUAGUUAAUCAAUCAAUGUGGUGACUUAAUCGAUUAACUCAAUGUUGAAAGGAUUUUAUUUGAGAGGUAGGUUUUCCCCUCUCAACAAAUUGUCCCCGGCACCGGCGCCAAUUUGUUGAAAGGAUUGUUUCCUCUUCGGUGUGUUCUCUUUUUAUUUUGUUAAGUAAGUGAACUCAGUUUUAUUCUUUGUUCACCAUCUCGGCUUUGUUGAAUAAAUUCCAACGCCGGUAUAAUGGUUUCAAGAAUAUUCUAGUUACAACUUACUUCUAAUAAUCAUGUGAAUAAGUUAUUCCUUCUUUGCCCCAUCUUGGCUUUGUUAGAAUAAAUUCUAACGCCGGUACAAUGGUAUUGAAGCAAUCCCUUUUUACAUAAUUAUUAAGUACCUUUGAAUACCAUCUCGGUUUUGUGGAAUAAAUUCCAACAUCGGUUUAUUGGUAUUCUAAUGUACAAAAGUGAUGAAUAGUUAGUUGUUAGAAACAAAUAAAUAAAUAAAGAACAAAAGAAUAAUAAAGUUAAGUGAUCUUUAUUUAUUUACUCCCUUCCGGGUUCCUUUUAUUAACAAACCAAACUUCUUCCUUAAGGAAGGUUGGUAUUNNNNNNNNNNNNNNNNNNNNNNNNNNNNNNNNNNNNNNNNNNNNNNNNNNNNNNNNNNNNNNNNNNNNNNNNNNNNNNNNNNNNNNNNNNNNNNNNNNNNAUUUAAAUGGGUUCCACCAACCCCUUUGGCGGUGAUGGCGCAUCCAUUAACCGCCCUCUCGUAUUCAGUGGCGAGGGAUACACCUACUGGAAAGUACGAAUAAAGAUCUUCAUAGAGGCUAUUGAUUCAGACAUUUGGGAAUUCGUAAUCAGUGGUCCAUUCGUCCCACUUCACUUAGUGGAUGGUGAACCGAAAGAAAAGCCCAAAAGCUUAUGGACCGAUGAGGGGCGCAAGAAGGUUCAGUUCAACCUUCGCGCAAAAAUAUAUUUACAUCGGCCCUAUCUUACGAUGAAUUCUUUCGGGUGUCUCAAUGUCAAAGUGGCAAGGAAAUGUGGGAAACUUUACAAGUGACUCGCGAAGGCACUAGUUAGGUCAAGCGUGCCAGGCUGAACUCGUUGACACAUGAAUAUGAAUUAUUUCGUAUGUUACCGAGUGAAUCAAUUGGCGACAUGCAAAAGCAAUUCACCCCACAUUAUUAAUCAUCUUAUUGCUCUAGAUAAAAUGUUUACCAGAGGAGAACUCACUAAUAAAGUUUUACGCUGUCUUGACAGGAGAUGGCAACCUAAGGUGACGGCAAUCAUGGAGUCCAAGGAUCUAGAUUCCAUGCCUAUUACAACACUGUUCAGAAAGCUUCAAGAGCAUGAGAUGGAGCGUGGGCGUCUGACCAUGCAUGAGGAGUCUGAUCAGAAAAAGAAAGGAAUAUCUCCUAAAGCUAAAACAUCACAACCGACUGAAGAGAUGGUCAAUGACGACCCUGACUCAAACAUUGAUGAAGUAACGCUAAACCUUCUUGUGCAAAAAUUUGGAAAAUUUCUGAAAAAGAAAGAAGGUUUCAAGCGAUUUCAAAGGAAAGAAGCGCGAGAAUCAACUAAGAAAGGCAAGAAUAAGGAGCACUUCACUUUCCAUGAAUGUGGUAAGUCGGGUCACAUGAAGUUUCAGUGUCCCACUUACUUGAAGAGAGUUGAUUCAGAGAAGAGCAGUCCCCGAGACUUCAAAUUGAAAAAGGCAUAAAUUAUUUGGGAUGUACCGGAGGAAGAAACAACAUCAAGCACCUCAGAUGAAGAGGAGACAACCAAGUUGUGCCUAUUGACCAUAAUAGAUGAGGCAUGCAGAUCAGGUAGUAAGGAUGCGACAAAUGAGGUACAUUCUGACACAUCAUCCUCUUCUGAUGAUUCUCCCUCAUAUGAUGUUUUAUAUGAUGCUUAUGUUGAGAUGCAUGAAGAGCUUAAGAUAAAAUUAGAAAAUGAAACUUUAGAUCUAAUUUUUUCUUGUACUUCAUGCGAUUGCUCUAAAAAUAAUUUAUGUCAAACAACUACUUGUGAUUCUUGCGAGGACUUGAAAAACGAGAAUUUUAAACUCAAUGAAAAACUCGCAAAACUUACAAAUAGUCAACAUCAAUUAGACACCUUGCUUAGUAAAACGAGAAACGUUAGUGACCACACUGGAUUAGGGUAAGUUCCCCCAUCCCAUAGAAAUAGAUCAUAUAAGAGACCUCUAACUCAUACAAAUAAAAAGUCUAAUAAGAAAAGUAGAAUACCUACAUGUUUCUAUUGUGGCACACAUGGCCACACCUCUCAUUUCUACUACAUCAGGAAAUAUGGGAUACCCAAUGGUGUUUACGCUUGGAUAAGAAAGGGAGAUAACUCCCUGGAUACUAAUAGAAAAGGACCCAACAUAAUUUGGGUACCUGAAACUAGCAGGUGAUAUACUUUGUAGGUAUGUCUGCGAACAUAUGGGCAACAUUGGUAUCUUGAUAGCAGAUGUUCGAGACAUAUGACUGGAGACAAGUCAAAAUUCCUAGACUUGUCAUUAAAAGAAAAAGGUUUCGUCACUUAUGGAGACAACAACAAAGGAAGAAUCUUAGGCACCGGAAAAAUUGGCAACUCAACCCAUGCUAUAAUUGAGAAUGUUCUAUACGUAGAAGGUUUGGAACAUAAUCUGUUGAGCAUCAGCCAACUAUGCGACAAAGGUAAUCGUGUGUCAUGUGAUUCUGAUUGUUGUAUAAUUCGUGACGUAUUAUCUAAUAAUAUAUAGUUUGUCGGAUAUCGUGUAAUAAUAUUCAUAUUGUUAAUCUGGAGGAUGGCAUUUCCUAAUUUUCAAAAUGCUUUAUUUUAAAAGAAGAUGACAUAUGGCUUUGGCAUAGACGAGUCGCUCACAUUCAUGUAAAGCAUUUAGAAAAAUUAUCUAAAAAUAAUUUGGUUAUCGGUCUUCCAAAACUCGAUUUUAAAACUCAGGAUUCUUGUGAUAUGUGUAAAAAAUGUAAACAAGUAAAGAAUUCCUUCAACAUAAAGAAUGUGAUAUCCACUACUAGACCUUAGGAGAUUCUCCAUAUGGACUUGUUUGGACCAUCGCAAAUUAUGAGUUUUGGUAGAAGUUAUUACGCUUUGGUAAUUGUUGAUGAUUUUUCUAGAUUCACAUGGACUUUGUUUUUAGCAUCAAAGAGCGAUGCAUAUAAAUCUUUUAAAUGUCUAGCCAAACAAAUUCAAAACCAGUCUAACCUGAAAAUUAUUUCCAUAAGAUCCGACCAUGGCGGAGAAUUUGAAAAUCAUAAAGUUAAUAAGUUUUGUAAUAAGCAUGACAUCAUGCAUAAGUUCUCAACUCCUCGUACCCCUCAACAAAAUGGAGUUGUUGAGAGGAAAAAUAGAGUUCUAGAGGAACUCGCGAGGACCAGCUAAAUGAGAGCAAGACUCCAAAAUAUUUAUAGGCUCAUGUAGUUCACACUGCCUGUUAUGUAAUUAAUCGAAUACUACUCAGACCUACUUUUUUUGAAAACACCUUAUGAAAUUCUUAAAGGUUGAAAACCGAAUAUUGCCAUUCUUCAUGCAUUCGGGUGCAAAUGUUUGAUUUUAAAUAAUGGAAAAAGAUCUUUAGGAACAUUUGACUCGAAGGCUGAUGAGGGCAUAUUCUUAGGGUAUUCGUUACAUAGUAAGGCUUUUCAUGUGUUCAAUAAAUAUACCAUGCAAGUAGAAGAAUCUAUACAUGUUCAUUUUGACGAAUCUUCUCCAAAAGAGAAGAGAAAGGUCUUUUCUGAUGAUAUUUCAGGUACACUAGAAGAAGUUCAAUCAAAGGACAUGAACCAAAUCUAACAACAAGAUGCUGAGAAAAUAGUAGAAAAAGAACAUCAGGACAUGCCUAUUGCAUGGAAAACCAAAAAGGAUCAUCCACUCGAUAAGGUGUUAGGUGACAUAUCUAUGGGAGUGGUAACCCGUAGUUCUUUAUGUAAUUUAUGUAAUUUUGUUGUAUUCGUAUCUCAAAUAGAGCUAAAGACUAUCGAUGAAGCCAUCAAGGAUGUACACUAGGGUAUAGCUAUGCACGAAGAGCUAAACCAGUUUGAGCGAAAUAACGUGUGUCACUUGGUCCCGAAACCAAAAGAUCAUCCUGUGAUUGGCACCAGAUGGGUCUUUCACAACAAGCUAGAUGAAUCUAGCUUAAUAAUAAGAAAUAAGGCUCACUUAGUGGCCAAAGGAUACAACCAGGAGGAAGGCAUCGAUUAUGAUGAGACAUAUGCUCCUAUAGCCAGACUUGAGGCCAUUAAGAUGCUCUUGUCUUUCGCAUCGAUCAUGAACUUUAACCUAUUCCAAAUGGAUGUUAAGAGUGCAUUUUUAAAUGGCUAUAUUCAAGAGGAGGUGUACGUAGACCAACCACCAGGUUUUGAAAACUUCAAAUACCCGAACCAUGUGUAUUAACUCAAGAAGGCCCUCUAUGGCCUAAAACAGGCUCCCAGAGCCUGGUACGAUAGAUUGAGUUCGUUCCUACUAUAAAAAGGUUUUGAAAGAGGCUUGGUCGACACCACUCUCUUUAUCCUUAGAUUAGAUAAUCAUGUUUUACUUGUUCAAAUAUAUGUUGAUGAUAUUAUCUUCGGAUCUACUAAUGACAUCCUUUGUAAGGAAUUUUCUGAGUUGAUGCAGAGCGAAUUUGAGAUGUCGAUGAUGGGUGAGCUGACUUUCUUCCUUGGGCUUCAAAUUAAACAAAUGGAAAGUGGCAUCUUCAUUCAUCAAUCGAAGUACUGCAAAGAAUUACUAAAGAAGUUCGAUAUGGAGCAAUGUAAAGAUGCAUCCACACCUAUGGCUUACGCAUUUUAUCUUGACAAAGAUGAAAAGGGAAAAGUGAUUGAGGUAACUAAAUAUCGUGGGAUUACCGGCUCCUUGUUGUAUUUAAUUGCUAGCCACCCUGAUAUUAUGUUAAGUGUUUGUAUGUUUUCUAGAUUUCAAGCUUUGCCAAAAGAAUCAUAUUAUAUUGAUGUAAAAUGUAUCAUGAGAUAUUUAAAAGGGACUAUAAACAUGGGAUAAUGGUAUCCUAGGGAUGCCUCUUUAUCCUUGGUAGGUUACUCUGAUUCUGACUUUGCUGGGUGUAAGUUGGAUCGAAAAAUCGCUGGGUGUAAGUUGGAUCGAAAAAGCACUAGUGGGACUUGUUACCUAUUAGGCAGUUCCUUAGUGGCAUGACAUAGUACAAAGCAAGCAUGUGUUGCUUUGUCCAUCACUAAAGCGGAAUACAUUGCCGCUGGCAUGUGUUGCGCUCAAAUCCUUUGAUUGAAGCAGUAACUCAAGGACUUUGUGCUCAUAAUAGAAACGAUCCCUAUAAAGUGUCAUUAACCUUUCCAAGAAUCUCGUCUUGCAUUCUAGAACCAAGCAUAUUGAAAUAAGGCAUCAUUUUUUGUGUGAUCAUGUUCAAAAAGGUGAUUGUAUGUUAGAAUUUGUUGAAACAUCUAAGAAAUUAGCGGAUAUUUUCACCAAGCCCCUCUCAUGAGAUACUUUCUAUGUUCUUCGAAGAGAACAAGGAAUCCUUGAUGAAAAAUAUCUUGAUUGAGCUUAUGUUAUUGCCUUGCAUGACUUAUUUGCCUUGUAUGCUUUAAAAUGAAAAUAUGUUGAAUGAUAAAUAUUCCUUCCAUGAUCCAUGAUUCUAUGUAUAAAAGCUUUAUAUAUAUAUCUGUGUGAUUGUUUAAAAAUGAAUUAGUAAAAAUUUUGAAAUCCUUGCAUGCUUUUAAAAACUUCCAAAAUGUUGUAUCUGAUGAAUUUAAUCGAUUAAAGCCAUUAGUUAAUCGAUUAUCGGGUGAACAUUUUGAAACCUAGUAUUUUUAACUCAAGUUAAUCGAUUAAGUCAAGCUGUUAAUCGAUUAACGACAUCAGUAUAUCAGAAAUAGAAGCGUUUCUAGGCAUUUUUCGAAACCACAUUCAUCCCAUUUUCUCUCAAAUCUCAGAGGAACAAGUCCAACAUUAUCCCUAAUCUCCAACCUAGCCCAAACCUAAUCACCCUACUCCAUUUCCACUCCAGAAACCGGUUUCUCCAUCUCAAAUUUCCAAGAAAUUCGUUUUCCCUAAAUUGAUAACCCUACCUUAGGUUUCCCUAAAUCCCUCCAUUAAACAUUCGUCACGGUUCAGUUUCAACAUCAUUGGAGAGAGGACAUGCUAAAAGAGUCAAGACAACCGCUCAACUUCCACUGCAUGUCCCAAAAGUCGUGCCAUCUCAACAAGCAAGGCAAGACCGUGGGGACCCGUAUUAUUCGCAGAUUCUGCAAGAAACCUGGUUGCUCAGAUUUCUAGGUAGGAAACCAACAUACAUAAGGUUUGCAAAUUUGACUUGGCUAGCGGAACAAAACUUUGACUUUCCGCAUGGUUUGCAAGCACAAGGGGUUGUCCCGUUCUUGGAAUUAAAAGGUAAUAUCUACCUUGGUCUAGUUAGGGAGUAUUAUGCCAACUUUAGAUAUAAGGAUGGAAAGUAUUGGUCAAUGAUUGUUGGAAAACUGUUUGAGAUAAAUGAAGACAUCUUUAUGAGCGUGGGUGGUUUAUCAUGUACUGGUCUUAGCUUAAGUGAUUGUGGUUGGGCAAACAACAACUCUUUUGAUGCUGCUGAAAUGUAUAAAUCUUUUUUGUGUAGACCUUAGUGUAUGUUCAGGGUGAAUUAACCAAAGUUAGGUNNNNNNNNNNNNNNNNNNNNNNNNNNNNNNNNNNNNNNNNNNNNNNNNNNNNNNNNNNNNNNNNNNNNNNNNNNNNNNNNNNNNNNNNNNNNNNNNNNNNGAACACAAAUCAUGCACAACCUACAGUGAAUGAUUUGAGGUUCAUGUUUGCUGUAAAGGAGAACAUAAUGUUCAACUGGCCUGAAGAGAUUCUGAAGGUCAUGUACAUUGUCUCCACUUCACAAUCAAGGUUGCUUCCUUAUAGUAUCUUCAUUUCACGGAUUAUUGAUUAUCUACAUAUUGAUGUCUCGGAUACUAUAGUGGUGGACUAUUCUAACAAGGAUCAUUUGAUUGGUGAGAGUCUAAUUCCUAAGAUUGGUAUAUAUAAGUACGGCAACACAUGGCAAUAUCAAGAGGACUUUAACACUGUGAAUCUUGACCCCUCUAGUGAGGAUGACCAAGAUGAUACUCAAAAGCCAUUUGCUACUACUCAGGGGUAGUCUUCUGGUCAUGCAUCAUAAGAACCAACUUUUGGACAAGCCUACUUGGAUUCUAUGGAACAAUGUCUCAACAACAGGAUGGAUCUUCACAUUAAGUCUCUGAAGGACUCAUAUCAUACGGAUCUGGAGAAUUUUGAGGAGCGUCAGAAUGCUUAUAUUGAUAACCAUUACCAAUCCUUGAGGAAUUUUGUUCAGACAUGAGUACCCUCAUCAAGGAUGGUGGUAGCUCGAUGAUUCCUGACAACGAAAAACCUCCAUCUGAUCCCUAGUUAGGAGGCCUUAGAGCUUUAGUUUUAUCCUUCAUAGAUUAUGGACCUUGUUGUUCCUUGUUACCCUCUUGAGAACUUAUCUUUUAUUUCAUGCUUUGGCUUUUAUAUGGAUUGUAAUAACUCCUAUCUUCUGCUGACUUACUACUUCGAAAUUUGAUAAUGCUUUAAAUGAUUUCAAAUUAUUUUUCUCAUGCUUGAAAGGUAAUUAUGUUGCAUAUAGUAUACUCUUAUGUUUAAUGGAUCUUGAUCAUGUUUGGUGUAUGUAUCAAUAUUGAAUGCUUUUGCUUGCUGCUAACUGCUCAAAUAUAUCAAAUGCUUAAUCAUUCCAUGCUUAAUUUGAGUAAACAUAGCCUUUCAUGCCAUUAAAUCUCUUAUGCUGUUGUUUGCUGUCCAUUUAAUCGAUUAAGUCAUGUUGGUAAUCGAUUAAGUCAUGUUGGUAAUCGAUUAAAAAAUGUAUAAAUGUGCAUUUGUUCAAGCUUCUUACAACUGGUUGAUUGAUUAAUCGCCCAAAAUUUAUUGAUUAAUUAUAGUCUGUCAUAACUCUAACAACUCUUCUGACUUUUGAAUAGAAUUGAAUACUUGUAUCUUUUUGAUAAUGUCAAAAGGGGGAGAAAGGUUGCUUGUUGUGUUAAAAUGUAUUUUGCAGGUUGUAAUAGCUUUUGCAGGUUGUUGUAUAUAGCUUCAGUAAUAUAAUUGCUUACCUAAGGGAGAGCAAAGGCACUUCAACUUUGAAACUUUGAAUAACAACCAUUAUGCAAACUCAUCGUCAAGCUAAUUCAUCAAACGUUUUGGACUAUUUUGACGUGGUAUUUGUUAUCAUCAAAAAGGGGAGAUUGAAAGUGCAAAGUGUCAAGGAUAGCACUAGCAAUGCUUUGCCUAUGUUUUGAUGAAGAGAAGGUUUUAUUAAAGCUUGAAGAUGGCUCAAUAAUCAACAUGCCUAGAGCUCAUUGGUCAUAUCUAGACUAGGAUAUAUAAAUAUAGUCAUUAUUCUAAGUAGUCUAGGAUGUGUGCCUUAUUAAGUGAGUAUAGGUGAGGUGAACCUAGGUGCAAGUCUCUCAAGCCAUUAUAAUUAUCAUAUCACAUCCAUGAGACAUAUCAUCUAGUUAAUUGUAUGUUCAUGCAUUAAUCAUACAUGUUAUAUGUGCAUAUUAGGCAUAAUAUAAUUGCUAAAACAUGUAUAGGAGUUAAGCAUAACAUAUGAUAACUUUACCUUUUGAACCACGUAUUUUAAUAUGCUAGUUAAUCGAUUAACAUGGUAACUUAAUCGAUUAACUCAACUAUUUUUCUAUUAUAUCAGUAUUUCUAUUACAACUGGUUUCAGUUUCAAUUCUGUUGCACUUGUUAAUCGAUUAACGGGUUACCUUAAUCGAUUAACAGGUAUGUUUUGUAUUAUAACUGAUUUCUGUUUUAACUACUUAACUGAUUGCAACGAAUCCAACUGUAAAAACUGCCUAGUAUAAAUUGAGGCAACUUCCAGAAAAUUGCAGCAUUGCAUUCCAUUGUAUAGGAUUGUUUUAGAGAGCAUAUUUUGUUUUGAUUUUCUGUUUUUGCAAGAGAGUUGCAUGUGUGAGGAAGAGAGUUUACCAUGCCUUAUUGAGUCUUUGAUUUGCAUACUGUUUUUCAUAUGCUUAUUCUCAUCCUUAUCUUGCUCACAUGUUCAUGCAUUAUUUGUAAAGAUUCUUAGAGAGAUAUAUUGAUUACUAUUUUUUAUUAACUCACAUGUAUUUGAUGGCUUGAGUGAAUUGUGAGUGGGUUAGUCUUAAGGUCUUUUAAUUGUAAUAUUUCAAGCAUUAUUAUGCUUAUAAUACCUUGUUGUUGUCAUCUAUUUUUGUGUGUUUUGGAUUGAUCUCUUGAUGUCGUACCACCACAGAGAUUGGGAUUCUUCACUAAGACUAGGAGGUCUUGAUUUGAGAACAAGAAUCCUGGAUGGGCUAUUUCGCGAGAAAGGUUUUCUCAGGCGAUAGGUAGAGUUAAACCAAGGGUUAGGUGUUCUAGAUUUCAAGAAAGAGUCCUAUGUUUUGUAAAUUGAAUUUGUGUGUGUGAUCAUACAUAUAUUCAAUAUUGUGAAGAAGAAAAUCUCUCAAGAUCAUAAGGGGAGGCCUGGAUGUAGUUUGUAGUGGAUCGCAAAUGAAGCAGGAUAAAAAUCCAACUUUGCACGUUGUUCUCUCCUUAAAUCUACUUUACUUUUCUUGUUGUUUCCAUCCUUUACUAUUUAUUUAAUGAGUUAUUAUGUUCAGAUUUUUUAAACAAAUAGGAAAGGGUGGUUUUAAUCUUGUGUGUAAGGUUGUAUAGUAAGAGAUAAGGAGCUUUUGGAGGGAAAAUUUGCAUGAGCGUUGACAUGUGUCCCUAGCUAAUGUGGCAAGAGUAAACUUUGCAUGAGGUGUUGACAUGUGUUCCUAGCUGAUGUGACAAGAUAUUUUUUUGUUAGAUAGUAAAUAGAUUAUAUGAUCAAAUGUUAGAGAGGAGACUUUACUUUGAAAUUUUAAUAUUUUAUAUUUGUUGUCAAGGAAACUCAUUUCCUUAAGCAAGGUCUCAGGUUCGAGUCUUGGGGAUGAAAAAAAUAUCCGUUGGGAGAGUUAGUCUCACAUACCUGUGGAUGUUCUCAGUUCGGACAUGAUUGCCUCUAGUGCGAGGAAACUGUGGGAACCCAGAAAAAAAGGGAAACUCCUUUAUCAAUCCAAACAAAAUUGUCCAUCCUUAUCAAGCUGUCAUCUUCCAAUUUUUAUCUCUCCUAUUCAUGAUCCAAAUAAAAUCCACCAUGGAUAUAUCUUUAUUAAUCCCUCCAUUUUUUAUUUAACAGAUAUGGUAGAAGAAUACAGAUACCAAAUACCACACAUAUGCAUCAAGGAUUGUAUCUUGUACCUUAGGAGCAAUAAAUUAAUAUUCCUUUAUGUACAUUGUAUCUUUAUCCUUUGGUUAGUUUUUAGUACAAGGUUUUGAAGGACUAUAUGAUUCAUCCUACAAAAUGAUCAACGUUCACUAUCACACUAAAAAUAGACAUUGUUUUGUACUACCAAUGGUAUUUCCUCACACUUUUUGUGUAAGGAACUAAUCUCUUUUCGGAUAUAUGGCUGCCCCACCCAACAAGUAUCGCUUCCAGUUAUCGAACACUUGACAAUUUGCUUAUCUUAGGGAUCUAGUGGAACCUUACACUACUAGACCAACACAUUCUUGGUAAACUAGCCCUUUAAUGAUUAAAUUACUUGUGGGAGAAUAUAUUUUUAAGUAAACUAGUAAGUUACCCGUUCAUUUGCUUACGGCAAUAAUUUUUUGUCGCAUAAUUAAUAACAUAUAUCUUACUUGUAUAUUUCAUAUAAGAGUCAUAAAGAGAUUUGAUAUCAUGAUGUUAACAUACAUUGUAGAGAGAAAAAUUAAUGAUUAAAAACAUAAUUAAAGGGCCUAAACAUUUAGAAUACAUAAGAAUUUGAAGGUAAUAUUAGAUAAUUAAAACUCGAAAACUUCUUAAAUGACAUUUUAAAUAUUAAAUGACAUUUUAAAUGACUUUUUAGUAUUGAUAAAUAAUAUACACAUUACUUUGAAAACUUCUUAAAGGAUUGUGUAAAUUCUCAAUGCUUAAAAUGAAAAUAUUGAACGCAAUGAAAAUUAGCAUUAAAUGGAAAAUAAAAAAAAUUCUUAGUUGUGUACCUAGAUAGAAAAGUAAAUAAAAAAUGUUAUUACAUAUGCAACAAUUAAUUGAACAUAUAAUCAGCAAAGAGUCUUGAGUAAUAAUUUAAACAAAAAAUAAAAUCUUUAAAUUGGAACAAUAAUAAUUUAAAUCAAUAAUGAUUUAAUUCGAAAAUGAUAAUUAAAUAACUAAAUAUUUUAAUUUCUUACCAUUUGGAACUGGAAAAUUGGUAAAGAAAAAUAUUUUACAUAUGAAAAUAAUUAAUUAACGAAAUAUUAAUCACUUUAUAAUCUAUAUAUUUGGUUGACUAAUAGAUACAAUAAAAACUUAUGUUGUCCAUUGUCAAUAUUGUUUAGGGUAUGUUCUAUAUUGUUACUAUUUAAUAUUGAAAUAGUAACAUGUCAAUAUUAGAAUCAAAUCUAAAGUCUAAAAAAAUAUAUACAUAAUGAGCAUUACCUAAAUUAAGGAAUAAAAAAUAAUUCAAACAAAAUAUAAAUCAAAUAUGUGUUAUAAUACAUACAACUUUAUAUAUCUUAUUAUUUUUUUUCAUAUAAUAAAUGUAGAAGAAUCAAUUUCAUUAUCACAAUUAAAUCAAAUCAAUGAUAUGACUUUAUUUUAAUCAAAAAAUAUUGUUUUUUAAUAAGGGUCAAUGAUACAUUAUGAUUUUUUAGAGGUUUUAUUACAAAACAAAUUACAUUAAAACAUUGAAGUUUCAUUUCUUUAUUUGAAAGAAUAUUAUUCUCAAUGGAUACAAUAUUAUCAUCUUUAUCACAAUUCCAUUAUUCAUUAACUUUAAUAAAAAUAAUAAUAUUAGUAUCAUUAUUUUAGAUUGGGCUUAUUAUAUUUUGUACAAUUUAAUAUUUAUACUAUUAUGAAUUCAUAAAAUCAUAAAUAUGAAUAUUUANNNNNNNNNNNNNNNNNNNNNNNNNNNNNNNNNNNNNNNNNNNNNNNNNNNNNNNNNNNNNNNNNNNNNNNNNNNNNNNNNNNNNNNNNNNNNNNNNNNNUAUUAUUUUUUAUAAUAUAAAAUAUAACUUUUAUAGUAUAUAUAUUUGACUUAAUAUUUUCAUUGUUUGAAUUUAUUUUCUUCAUCCAUGUUAUUAUCGAAGUUCUAUUUCUCUUAUUUAGAAUAAAUAUAUGUUAUAGUUUAUACAUAUUUCUUACUAGUUAUUUUAGAAUUAAACAACAAAUGAUUAGACAUUUAUAUCUAUAAUGAGUCUGUCUAAAAUUUAGGAAUCAGAAAUAACUUUGAUCAAAAUUGUAUGAGUAUUUGAAUUAGCCAUUUUCCUAAGAUUAUUAUUCUAUUUUUGGUUGUUGAUUUUACCUGCAAGAUAGAGAUAGAAAAAGACUUUGUUAGACUCUAUAUUGUUUUGUAUGAAGAUGAAGGGCAUGACACCUUAUAAUGUAUUGAACAACACAUCAUUAUCAUAUUAAUUUAAAAAUCAUCAAUAAGUUUAUAUGUCAUUAUUAUUUGACUAUAAAAUAAGAUUAAUUUCAAAAAACGCAUUAUUAUUAUUUGACGAUAAAACAACUGCAAAAAAAUAAAAUUCAAAAAUUGUUACUAUUGUUACUACUCUUAAUAACUACUGACAAAUAAUAAUAAUAGAAAAUUAUUAAUAUUCUUUUUUUAUCAUAUUUCUUUUUGUUACUAUUUGAAUACUACAACAGUAACAUUGCAAUAUUAGAAUCAAAUCUAAACAAUAAACAUAAUAUAUUCAUAAUGAGUAUUAUCUAAAAUUAAGGAAUACAUAUUUGUUAUGACUUAUAACUACUUCAUAUUACCUAUUAUAUAAUUAAACAAUAAAUGAUUAUAAAUUUAUAUUUAUAACGAACAUGGUCUAAAAUUAAGGAAUCAGAAAUAACUUUGAUUGAAAUUGUACUAAUAUUUGAAUUACCCAUUUUCCUAAGAUUGCUAUUCUAUUUUAAUUUUAAAAUGUCAAAUCAUUUAUUAGUUAAAAAUAUAGCAGAUAUUUUCAGAACUAAUAGAGGAAAAUUUAAAAUCACAAACAUAUAUAUUAAAAUUUAUAAAUUUUGUUUGUUACAAUUCUAUAGUUACAAAUCCUUUUUUACAAUUUGAAUUUUAUGAAAAUAUAUUAUUACACUGUUAUAAUUUAAAUAUUAUAAUGAUUGUACUUUAAUAUUAUAUAACAUUAUGUAAUAAUUGUACUUUAAUCUAUACUAUAUAUCAAGCCAAAACUUGAAAUAACUACCACCAUGAUUCUAUUUUCCUAUUUUUCCCUUAGUAUGUUUUAUUUUUAAAGUAAAUUCAUAUAAUCAUAGAUAACUAUAAUUAAUACAUCUCAUUUUAAGUUGGAUAUUAUAAUAAAUACAAAAAUUAUAACAUAAAGUACAUCUAAUAAAAAACAUUCUAAUUCUCUAAAAUAAAAAAUACAAAUUUAAUACUUAAUAUCAAAAUAUAAGAAUGCAGGUCGGGAGACACGAAGUGUUUGUCGACACGCUAGUAUUAUAUAAUGUAACAACUGCAUAUUAAUGUUUCUUAAUGUAAUGGUUGCAUUGUAACUGUGUGUGUGGAAGAAGUUAAUUUGGUAAGCGUUUUAUUGAUUUUAUAUUUAAUACAUUUUAAAAUAACGCACAUGACCAAUAAAUGUUUCAUAACGUAGUGAAAAUAUUGAUUAUACAUUUAUAUAUAUAAUGAGGAGUGUCUAAAAUUAAGGAAUCGGAAAUAACUUUGAUUGGAAUUAUACUAAUAUUUGAAUAGUCAUUUUCGUAAUAUUUCUAUUCUAUUUAGGUGUAAAAUAUCUAAUCAUUUAUUAGCUAAAAAUAUAACUGGUACUUUCAGAACUAAUAGAGGAAAAUUUAAAAUCACAAACAUAUAUAUUAAAAUUUAUAAAUUUGGUGGUUACAAUUCUACAGUUACAAUUCCAUUUUUACAAUGUGAAUUUUAUGAAAAUAUAUUAUUACACUAUUACAAUUCAAAUAUUAUAAUGAUUGCACUUUAAUAUUAUAUAACAUUAUGUAAUGAUUGACCGAUAAAUGUUUCAUAAUAUAGUGAAAACAUUAAUUAAGCAAAUUUGCACACGGUAUAAAAUCUCUAUCCUCGAAUAAAUGCGAAUAAUAACAUACCUUAAAUUGCAUAAUUUUCCAUCUUAGAAUAUUAUAUUCGAUUACAGUUGUGAUCUUGAAUCAAUUUUCUAGUGGAUUAAAUUGAAAGUCUUAAGUGCAAUAGAAUAAAAAACUAAACUGUACAAUAAAAAAUAAAAUCUUAAAUCAAUAUACAAAUCUUCAUACAUCACACAAUGUCAUUAAACACAAUAAAAAUGAUAUUAUCACAAAAAAUGUAAACUUUAAAUUUAAAGUUAUAGGUUGAUUUUAUUUUGCUAAAAUAAUAUCAAAAUGAUUAUUAAAACACGUACAAUUUAUUGCUCUAGUUUAGGUAAGGUAACAUAUAAUAUAUUCUCUAGUGUUUACUUUUAAACAAUUAUUUCUUUACAAAUUGAAAUGAAAAUAAUCAAAAUAACAAAUUGUCACGGGCUAUUAUCUUUUCUCUUCCCCUGUAUCAUCCAUCAUUAUCGACGUCAUUUUCAACAAUUAUAUUACAACCUGGUAAAGACAAUCUAUAUGCUCUUUGUUAAAAUAAUGAUUAUUUUUAGUAGAAAAUUCUAUAAACAAAAUAUUAGAUGCACAAAUAUAUAGAAAACUAACCAACAAUAAUGCUUCAAGGGUGAACCAAUAAUAAGAUGCAUCAUAUUGAAUACAACUCUUGUAAUCGCCCACGUCAUUAGAGAUAAAUCACAACUCCAAUUAUCGUACAAUAAGCCCAUAUCUAUAAAACAAACAAAAAAUUAAUAAAGAAGACACUUUAAUACAAUAUCUUCAAUGGAAAAAAUAAAGAGCCACUCUAAAGUUAACUAUAAAACAUUCUUGCAAAAAAAAAAGAAUACUUUCAAAUGGUAACAUACAUCUCUAUAAAAUAAGCACAUAUAUAUAAAAUAAACAAAAAAAUUUAAUAAAGAAGACACUGUAAUACAAUGGAAAAAUCAAGAACCACUCUAAAGUUAACUAAAAAACAUUCUUGCAAAAAAAAACAGAAUAAUUUCGAAUGGUAACAUAUAUCUCUGGUCACUGACAAAAGAAUCUUUGAAAAUAACAAAUUGUCACGGGCUAUUAUCUUUUCUCUUCCCCUGUAUCAUCCAUCAUUAUCGACGUCAUUUUCAACAAUUAUAUUACAACCUGGUAAAGACAAUCUAUAUGCUCUUUGUUAAAAUAAUGAUUAUUUUUAGUAGAAAAUUCUAUAAACAAAAUAUUAGAUGCACAAAUAUAUAGAAAACUAACCAACAAUAAUGCUUCAAGGGUGAACCAAUAAUAAGAUGCAUCAUAUUGAAUACAACUCUUGUAAUCGCCCACGUCAUUAGAGAUAAAUCACAACUCCAAUUAUCGUACAAUAAGCCCAUAUCUAUAAAACAAACAAAAAAUUAAUAAAGAAGACACUUUAAUACAAUAUCUUCAAUGGAAAAAAUAAAGAGCCACUCUAAAGUUAACUAUAAACAUUCUUGCAAAAAAAAAGAAUACUUUCAAAUGGUAACAUACAUCUCUAUAAAAUAAGCACAUAUAUAUAAAAUAAACAAAAAAAUUUAAUAAAGAAGACACUGUAAUACAAUGGAAAAAUCAAGAACUACUCUAAAGUUAACUAUAAAACAUUCUUGCAAAAAAAAACAGAACAAUUUCGAAUGGUAACAUAUAUCUCUGGUCACUGACAAAAGAAUCUUUUGAAAUGAAAUGUCAAAAGAACAUGGACCAAGAAAGAAAAAAUUGGUGGAAAAUAAGAAAAGUGAUGAAAUGAGGGAGUGAAAAGUAGAGAGAAGAUUUUUUGCUUUAGAAUGAAAUGUGAGAGAAAGAUAUGGAAAUAGCCACUGACAACAGAAUCUUUUGAAAUGAAAUAGAAGAAGAAUACGAAUCAAGAAUAAAAAAAAUUGGUGGAAGAUAAGAAAAGUGAUGAAAUGAGGGAGUGAAGCUCUCUAAUGGUGUUGUGCUUACAACGAAUUUGUCGUUUCUUACCAUUAUAGAAGCGGUUCUUAAUUUUUGCAAUAGUCGCGAUACUAUCACAAUGGAUCAGCACAACUGAUAUAUGUUUUUCCCAUAGAGGAAUCUUUGCAAACAAGCUUCUCAACCAACUUGCUUCUUUACUAGUUGUUGCUAGUGUUAUAAUCUCAACAUCCAUAGUGGAUUGAGCUAAAGUAGUCUGUUUCUUGUUAGACUCUAGAUAUUCCAUCUCAUUAUUUAUGGCUUCUCGCCACAAAUCAACAUCCAAAGAAGUCAAAACUUCUUGGAGAGUUGAUAGAUUAUCCUCAAAUAUAUAGACCACAUAAUGAGGUUUAUACUCUCUAACAAUUAUUGCUCUCUUACUUCUUCUAGGUUCUGUUUCAAACCUUUCAUUUUCUAUAAUUAUCUCUAAUCACAAGUAUGUGACUAGUUGAUGUGCCCCCACUAUUCCUCAAGUUAAAAAGGAAUUUCUCUUCAUUGAAGUCAACAUCGUUAGACUCAAUGUUUACUUUUGCGUUAAGGUCGUAAAACUUGUACGCCUUGUUUUUUUACAGCAUACCCAAUGAAUACACAUUCAUGGGCUUUGUGAGUUUAACUCUCUAAGGGCAUAUCAUCAAAAAUGAUUUCACGAGCAAUUCUAUGUAUCUCAUAAGACUGAGACUCUACUGAUUUAUUAUCAGUCAUUUGAUACUUGAGGUAGUAGUAACAUCGUAUUUUUUUUAUCUUCCUCAUUAUCAUAUUUCUUUAUUUUUCAAGUGCAUACCAAAUUAAUUUGGCAGACAUAUAUGGGUUGUAGUAAUUAUAGAGAUCAUCUGACAAGUCAUUUAAAAUGAAAUUCAUAAAAGUAAUCAUUUUCAUUCGAGAGAGCUAUAUUAAUAGCUAGUUUAUCCUUUUUCUUUUUUUCAGCUUUCUCCAGCAACAUUAGGCCAUUAAUUUUCAAAAUGUGUGCAACUUUUCUUAUAGUGAAGAAAAAUUUCAUCUUAUGUUGCUAACGUUUAAAAUUUGUACCAUCAAACCGAAAUGGUUUGUUCAGUUCCUAGCUGUUCGGUCCACUAAUAUUAUCUACGAAUGUCGUUGCAGUAGAAACGUCUUAAAAAUUGUUGUUACCGUAGCUUGCAACAAUUAUAAAUGGCAUGAAAUAAUACUGGCUGAGUCACGACGAGGUCCCUCUCUUUAAGACGUUUCGUGACACUGCCAAAAAUAUGCAAGCAGACUAUCAACCACGCCGUCCUUAGGAUAAAUAGCCCAAAUCUCUGUUAUCGAAUACUUACUACACUAUAAGAACCAAUCUCGAAUACACCCACUAUAAUAUGACUACCAAUGCCAAUUCUCGAAAUUCCCACAAUAUCUCUAGCAGUCCAAUUCUCAAAAUACACACAAUAUGGCUACCCAUGCUAAUUCUCUUCCCACAAUACUGACUACUAGUAUAUGUUCUCAAAAUGGCCACAAUAUGGCUAUCUGUUCCAAUCUUUUCCCUCAAUACUGACUAUCAGUGUCAGUUCUCGAAAUUCCCACAAUAUAGCUACCUGUUCCAAUUCUUAGUACCACAGAAAGAAAAUGGGAGAUGUUUGCCGAAAAUGCAUCGGCAGAAAAUAUGAGGGAGAAAGAAAAAGUUGAAUGAAAACACAUUCAACUUGGGGCAAAAAGAUAUGAAGAUAAGAGACUUCUAUUUAUAAUAUGAAGAUAAGAGACUUUUAUUUAUAACAUACGUAUUACACUUGGUGGAGGUGCUAAUCUUAUACGGGGAUUGACCCCGCAUUUGCUAGAGAGUGAUGAUGCAUUCACAAGAUCUUAUUGGGUGGAAGAAGCAUCGGAUUUGAGGCAAUUGCAUGCGGUUUGUUUGUCAGCGGUGCUCUGAGCCAACGAGACGAGUCCCUUGACUCCAUUGCAGCAUGUUACAGGAAGUCAGGAACAGCUCCACCGGACUGCAGGUAAGUGAGGCAUGGAGCUAUGCCACUAACAACCUGUCCACAUGUUAUGGUAGCAUGUGCAAUGGGUGCACCCACCACAACCAUGCACAUCAAAACCAUACAUGUUACCUUAAUGCUUGCCAUUACUUCACAAACUAAUUUGCUGUGUAUUUGCUUUUGGAUAUUGCUUACUUGGUGAUAUACGGGAUGCAUGGUAUGCAGUUUAUAUAGAAAAUAAGAGAGAGAUUAUUACAUAAUGCUGCACUAAAAGAUGGAUUGUGGCCUAGGCCAAUCCUCAUUUGACACGUGGUGUACAUUGAAAGUAUUGUUUACAACUGUGAAAAUCAAGGUCUCAUGCAUUAUUCUAUCUCCUUUUAUAAUUUAUUACAAUUCUCAAUAAAAUAAGAAUAAUAUCCACUUUUUUCUCAUAAUGAUAAAGUCGUUCCUAUUCUUGUUUGGAUCCCACAAUAUUUACAUUUUUUUCCAACAACAUCUAUUUUUCUCCUCACUUUCCUUUUGGUUAAGAACAACCAAGAGUUGUUCUUAUUUAAGAACAAAAGUAAGGAAAUAAAAACAACAUAGUGGAGAACAAAGUAAGAAUGUUCUUAUUCCGUUAAGAAAAACCAUUAUGGUUGCUCUUAAAAUUGGGAACCUCUCCUAUGUUAGUGCAGUACAAGAAUGAGGAUGAUUUUAAAAUACAUUUUAAUACAAAAUAAACUUAAAUUUUAAGUCAUUAAAACUUUUUAAAUAACACACAUUAUUAUCUUAUUCAGUAUUGAAUUCUUCAUUACCAAAGUAAUCUACCAUGCAUUAAUAUUGAAUAUCCUUGAAAGUGAAUGCAAUCAUUCAUUUGAAAUUAAAAAAAACAAAGACAUUAUUAUAAUAAUUUGCUUCAUUUCACUAAAAAUAAGGAGAAAUUAUUCCAUUAUAAUUAUAUUAACUAUAUAUAAAAUUAUUUUGUAAAAUUUUAAUUUUAAUAAAAAACUUUAAGACAUUAUUCUAAUAUAAUUAUUAAUUGUAUAUAUAAGAUUAUUUGUUGUGAUUUUCAUUCUAAUAAAAAAUUGAGACAUUUUUUAAUAUAAUUAUACAUAAUUUUAAUUAUAUAGGAUAUAUACCAAAAAUAAUAAUAUUAAGCCGACAUAUAGAUUUAAUGCCUAACACAUAAUUUAUAAGAGUAUUAUGACAUUAAUCGGCUUAUUUAAUCAACUCUCCUUCAUGGAAAAAUAAAUUUUGUAGUUAUUUAUUAAUUAGGUAAGUUAUCCCAUCCAGAUCUACCAUCUUCCAAUUUGAUAUGGAUCUUCGGAUUGUUAUCAAGAUGCAUACGGCAACCAUGGGUUUGUUAGCAGUUGGGUCCCAUUAAAUGCUCAAUGGUAGAUCCUCUUGUCUUUGAGCAUGUAGCUAUCUAUUAAUAUUAGAUUCAUGAGAAAAAUAUGUAUAUAUUGAUAAUGUAUAAGUUUUAUAUAUUAUUAAUAUAUCAUUUAUUAUUCAUACUAAAGUAACUUAAAUAAAUGAUUGAUAAUGUAGUAUGUAUGUAUAAAUCUUUACACAAACAAUCUAUAUAUUUUACAUACUAGAUUUAUUGCUCUGCGUAUCAUCUCAUAUUUGAGCACCUGAGCGUUAUAUUAGACGUUAGAUUUAUGAGAAAAAUACAUAUAGACUGAUAAUAUAAGAAAAUUUUAUAUUGUCAUCACAUCAUCUAUUAUUUAUUUUAAUCUUCGUUAACUUUUAAAUAAAAGUAGUACAGGUGAAAGAUAGAUAAUAUAUUGACUAUGUAUAAAUUUUUAUACUGUAUAUUUUUUAUACUCUAGAUUUAUUGUGUGGACUGAAGUUCAAUCUCAUCUAUCCAUAUACAUCUACCCUAAUUUGUACAAUUGUAUAACUUCGUUAAUCGAAGAAGAAAUAUUCCUACAGGUUAUCUUUUUUUCCUCUCUUAUUUACCAAGAACAAAUGAUAAUUUAAUUGGAUGUCCAAUAUUUUCCAACAAUUAUUAAGAUCAAAAUUGGCAGGCGUUUCAAGGAAUGGUGGAUUUAUUUCUAGAGUUAAGUGCACUCACGUUCCCAGAGUUAAAUUAUAUAAAUCAUUUAUAUUUUUUUCAAUAUCUAUACAAAUUAUCCUAAUUUAUAUAUAUAUAUAUAUAUAUAUUUAUAUUAUUACAUUAUUGACUCUUGUAGAAGAAAUAAAUAUAUUUUGUAAGAAUAUAAUAUUUAUGCUCCACCUAUAUAAAGAUUUAUAUAUAGUCACUAAAUUGUCCGCUACUCUUUUAGAUUACUUUUUGAAGAGUCUAUGAUGAUUAAAUAUGAAGGUGGAUGAUACAGUGAUUGUGUAUAAAACUCACACACUCUCACUAAAUACAUAUUUUUCUCAUCUUUUAAACAAAAGACGGUAAGAAAUGUAAUUAAGUUAAACAAAACAUGGUAUAUUAUGGAAACAAAUCAAAAUAGUAUACGAGUCAAUACCUAUUGAGUAUUUUUGUCCUUACAAUAUAGUAUAAAAGUGAUUUAAAUAAUAUCUUCUUAGAAUUUUUUAUGCAUUUGUAACGAACUAAAAAUAAUGAAGAGAUCUUGACUCUUAUACUAUUUGCACUUUUUUAUAAGCAAAGAUUUGUAUUAAAGCAGCACAAGGGGUGCCAACCCGAAUACAGAAGGAACUACAAGACAAAAGAAGGCAUAAAGCACAUUAAAAAAACAACAUUUCGAAUUAGUACACGACUGAGCAAAAAUGAAUAGAUUUUGAUUAAUGCUCGAAGCAAACCAAGACCACGAUCUAACCUGAAUCAAGUCCAGAAUUUGCACAAAACUAAUCUCCUUAUCCGAAAAAUGGAGUCAUUCCACAUUAACCAAAUAGACCAAAUCAGGGUAAACCACAACAUUCUCCAUAAUUGUCUCCCUUUUGAAUUCUUGCAUAACGAUUCAUGAUAACUAAACAGCUUCCAACAAUACUCUACUACAAAACAAAUGGAAUCUGCAACAAAGCAUAAAAACCUCACCACACAAAGGAAACAAAAGAGCAAGACAAAAGCAGAUGAUCAAGAGAUUCAGAAUGAUUCAAACAUAAAACACAAUUUAACUCAGCACUAUGAAUAAUUCUUCUCUUAAACAAAUCCUCCUUAGUUGCAAUUCUACCACACAAAGUUUUCCAAACAAACAACACACCUUUGAAGAAGCACAAUUAAUCCAACUUUUAUUAAGAAUAAAACCAACCUCAUUUUGUUGGACAUUAAUUUGAGCAAAGUAAGCUUUUUUAACCACAUACCUUCCUGAGUUAUCUAAACUCCAUGUCCAAGUAUCUACACUAUCUCUUCUAUAGGAAUGAGAAGCAAUCAGGUGAUACAAAGAACUGACUGGAUUUUCCUCCCAAUCAAACAACCUUCUCCUCCAAAGAACAUUCCAAUUCCACUGGUUGUUGAUCCAGACCCCACAAUUUGAAACUAGCGCUUGUCUAUUCAAAGCAAGAGCAAACAACCUGGGAAAAGUCUCCUUCAAACAACACUGGCCAAACCAAACAUCAUUCUAAAAUAGGGUUUGAGAACCAUCUCCAACUUCCUUCCAAAGUUUAUUCUCCAACCAACGGUUCCCUGCCCCAUAUGAGCAACCAACUUUAGCCAAAUCCCUCCACCACUUUGAAGCCGAUAAAGGAGCCAGCAUAACGGCCUCCAAGCCAUACUUGGAAUUCACUACUUGAACGUCUCAGUAAUAUAUCUUAUUUUGUUUAACUUAAUUACAUUCAUCACUCAUUUUAUGUUUAAAAGAUAACAUUAAUUUCUUGUGCAGAUGUAAUUAAUAUAAUAUAUAUAUAAGGUUGGUCUGUGUGGAUACAUAAUUGAGAGGUAUCGGUUUAUAUAAUUUUAAUAAAACUCAAAGGAUAGAAAUAUUAUUUAUUUCAUGAUCAAUGUUGGCCUGUUAGGUCAUAAAUUGGUUUAUUAUUUAUUUCAUGAUAUUCACAUUAAUAUCAAAUUGGUUUAUUAUUUUCAUAACAUGGUAAUUAUUAUUUUGGAUACAUAAUCAAAAGUUAUAGUUACAUUACCAAUUAGUAGCUGGUUUAGAUAAUAUAUGUUUGUUUUCUUUUUAGUAAAGCCGGAGUUUAAGUCUGAUGAUUGGUUAUCUACCUUGCUGUUUUGAAAUUGUUAAAUUUGUUUUCUUUCACUAUUGUUGUUGAUGUCUACCACAGUCACGACACUGGCUUCCAAAUAAAAGAGUUGGGCACCUUCCCCCUUAGGCCCUUAUCUUGCAUGUUACAUUACAUCAUUUAAACAUUGGCAGAUUGACUUCCAUAGAUUGUUUGGUCCUACAAUUCAUUAGUUCCUAUAUUCCUAUAGGUGAUUUUAAAAGUUUCCAUUCUACCCAUAUUAAGAACUAUUAUUGAUCUAUAAUAACUAUUGUUGUUGAUGUCUACCACAGUCACGACACUGGCUUCCAAAUAAAAGAGUUGGGCACCUUCCCCCUUAGGCCCUUAUCUUGCAUGUUACAUUACAUCAUUUAAACAUUGGCAGAUUGACUUCCAUAGAUUGUUUGGUCCUACAAUUCAUUAGUUCCUAUAUUCCUAUAGGUGAUUUUAAAAGUUUCCAUUCUACCCAUAUUAAGAACUAUUAUUGAUCUAUAAUAAAUUGAAAAAAUCUAUUUAGAUUAAGAGUAAAUACUCAUUUUAGUUAUUAAUAUUUUUCAUUCUUACUAGUUUGAUCCCUCAAAAAUUGAAAAAACUAAAAUGGUUCCCAAUUUUUUUUAAUUAUGGGCUAAAUUAAUUGUUUUUAGGAACAAAUUAAUCCAUAUCAGGUUUGUAAAAUAUGCUAAAAUUAUCAAUUUGACUCGUAUUUAAAAGUUUUGGGACCAUUUUGAGUUUUUCAAAUUUUGAGGGACCAAACUAGUAAAAUCGAAAAACAUGAAAAAUUAAAAUGAGUAUUUACUCUUAAUUUAAUAGGUAAGUCUCUAAGUCAUCAUAAAAACCUAUUUAAUUAUAUUAUGUAUUAGUCUUACAUUGUUAGAAACAACUAAUUUAAAAGUUGAAUAUAAAAUAAAGUGUAUUGAUAAUGAUUGAGUUUGAAUUUCUAGAUCAUCAUUGCUUUCAAUAAAUAAAUAAAUAUAUAUAUAUUUUUUUUUUUUGCUUAUGACAAUAAUCACAAAUACUAAAUGGUCCAAGUGUUCAUGCAUAUUCAUUAUUUUUUAAAGUAAAUACUAAUUUCAGUCCCUCAUUUUUUUUGACCUUACCAGUUUGUUCCUUCAAAAUUGAAAACCCGAAAAUGGUCCACAAAAAUUUUAAAUGCGCGUAAAAUUAGUUAUUUUUAACGUAUUUUAUAACACAUGAUAGAGACUAAUUUGACCCACAUUUGAAAUUUUUGGACCCAUUUUGGGUUUUUCAAUUUUUGAGAGACCAAACUAGUAAGGUCAAAAAACAUGAGGGACUAAAAUGAUUAUUUAUCAUAUUUUUAUUAGAGUAAAUUUGAUAGACACUUCACGCACUUUAGCUUAAUUACCCCCACAGCUCAUUUUGUUUAAAAGAUUGCAUUCAUCUCUCUUAUAAUAUAUGUAUAUAAGUUGAUGAUAGUUUGUGUAGGUGCAAAAUGGGAGGAGUGUUUUGUUUUAGUGUGAUUUAUUCUAUAAAAAAAUAAAACAAAAAUGUAAGUUAAUUUUUUAUUGUUAGAUAGACAUUUAAAAACAGACCUGAUAGUUAUUUAAAAAGAGACUUCUUAGCUAUUUAAAGGAAGACUGUUAGCCUAUUUAAAUGUAGACUUGUUAGGCUAUUGAAAGGCCCUAAGCACAAUCAACUUUUUAAUAAACUCACAAGCUUGAGCAGGCUUUUAGAUAGAUUAGGACUUAAAGCUUUGAUUGUUUUUAAAAAUAGUAAAUUGGACAACUUUAGUCUACUAUAUAUUAUAUAGGUUGAGUUUGUUCUAGGUAAAGUCUUACACUUGUUUCGACCUUAUAUGUAGGCACACAUUUAAAACUUCGGCAAUAAUAAUCUUGUAACUAGUUACGUAGUGUUUAAUGUGUCACUCUUAGGCCAAUAUUUUUAUAGGACAGGCAAUGUAUAAGUGUGGAAAGUUUGAUAAUCCUUUAUUUUUCAGUUUAUGAGUCGAGAAUGCAGUUCAUUUUAUUUUAUUAUUACUAUGAUUAUGAUUGAAUUCACAUAUAAGUUCACCUAAAUUCCUUUAUUAUUUAGUUAAUUGAAUGGUACUAGCAUCCAUGGAGCAAAAGGAGCACAAGAAGGAAAAAUAUGUGAAAAUGGCAAAAAUAGAAGACUUUUGCCGCAAGGAAAGAUCAGACAUCACGGUUGUACUACCUUGAUAGCACGGUGAUGCAACUUAUAACUAGAAAAAAGUUUCUAUAAUAAUGACUGUGGCUAAACUAAUGCUUUAAGUUGCCUCUCCAAGUAUUGCUCAACACAACUGUGCUAACUAAUAUGUAAGGAUAUGCCAUCUCUAACGCCUAUAAAUUGAGAGCUCUAGGAAUUUCGGUAGAAAACACACUAUCAUAGCUAUAGUCGUCAAAGGGACUAGAAAUAUGAUUUAUAUGAAGUAGAGUAGUUUCAUCACAAUGAAGAGCUACAUGAGUAGUAAGUAUUUUCCAUGUGCAUUGCACUAUUGUGUCUUAGAAAAAACUUAGUAUUAUUGUGAUGGUAGUUUAUGUCAUGUUUCAAGGUGAAACAAUGAUAUAACAAUGUCACAUUUCCAUAUUUUUAUAGACUUUUAUUUUAUUUUUUGAGUUGUUUCAUUAUGCGUAUUUGAUUUAUCACAUUGGAAAAUCUUUGGGUUUCUCUUAUGACCACAAAUGGAUUUGGGAUUCAUAUAUCUUUGAAUUCUUUCAUAUCUUACUUGGAUUUCAAAAAUCCAGUUGGUUUCUUCGUUUCCUUCAAAACGUAUCUAGUGGCACCCAUGGCUUUUGGGUUUUUAUGGAUUUUUUUGCUCAGCAAAAGAAAUAAAGUUGCAUUAAGAUAGCGCAAGGGGUGCUAACCCAAAACAACAAAUCAACAUGUAUUAAUACAUGAAAACAGAUCCACACACCAAGAGACAAAAUUUAUAUUCUUAUUUUCUGCUGCAUCAAAAAACGACAAUCAAGACCUAAGUUUAAUCAACUCCAUAAUUUUUAAAAAAACUACUCUCAUUUCCAUUAAAAACCAAGUCAUUCCUCAUUAACCAUACUAACAACAUCACUGCACACUAUAACAUACACCAGAGAUGAGACCCAUUCUUCUUCUUCCGAACACUAUUAUGGAGUUGAAAUAACUCACAUUAAUUGUUUGGAAGAUUAACUUUAAACCCAACCCAAGAUUAAAACUCCCUCCAAACCACAAUAGAAAAAUCAAACAAUAAAAAUAGAUGGUCUAUUGAUUCCUCAUUCUUAUCACAAAAAAGGCAUCCAACAUCUACUUGAUUAGAGAUAAUAGAUCUUCUCAAAAACUUCAUCUUAGUUGCUAUUGCCCCCUCAAAAGCUUCUACACAAAACAUGAUAUUUUAGAAGGCAAACAAGAAAGUCAAAUAUUACAAAGCAUUAAGUCUUAUGCAAAAGCAACCACCUGCAACUGAGUCGUGUAAGCUGACUUUGUCUUGUACAUCCUUAUAGAAGGUAAGCUCCAAGAACAGUCAUCCAUCCUCCCAUGUCUGCAAGAAAAUAGAUGAAUCACCGCAUAUAGUUGCUCCUCUAACUCUUCUUCCCACACAAACAAUUUCUCCCUCCACUUCAACAACCAACACCACUUCCCAUCUCUCCAUUCCACAUAAUCACUAACAACACUAUUAACAUCUACAACCACCAAAGAUAACCCAUGUAAGGAAUCACAUAACCUACUCACACCACACCACACAUCCAACCAAAGUCUAGAAUGAGACCCAUCCCAUAAAAGUUGAAGAAAAGAAAAGUAGUAGAAAAUGAGAUGAUAAUUUUAUUGUUUGAUAUGAUUGAAAAUAGAAGAAAAGUGAGAGGAAAGAAAAUGCAUAUUUAAACAUAAUAUAUUUAAAAUGACAUAAGUGCCCUCAUUAUAUAACUAAAUUACAUAGCUAAAUAUUUAUUUAAAAUGACAAUACAUAUCUAAUUUUUAAAUACUACUUUUUAAUAUUGCAAAUUUCAUAAUUAAAUAAUUUAUUUUUAAUAAUAUUGAUUAAUAUUUUUAAGUUACUAAGUUUAAUAUAAUAAUUUAUGUUUAUAAAAAUUCUUCUCACCAAUGUAUCUAAGUAAAGUAUAACUAAUUUUUUAAAAUCACUUUUAUAUUUUUAACAAUCUCACUUCUAUAUAUUUUGCGUUUUGUCUUUCUAAUUUAUUUAUUAUUUGUCUAUUUGUUAGUAAUUAUGUUUAUUUUUUUCUUUUCAUUCCGGACAAAACACAAUUAUUAUUAAUUUUUGAGUUUAGAAGCAACGAAAAUAAAAUUAAGUUAACGAAUUUCACAUCAAAAUGAAUAUAAACAAAGAAUUUUACUAAAUUGUAUAUAUUUUCACAUAGAUUGUGGUUCUUUAAAUUCAUUCAUGGUGAUUGGAAUUUUUGAUGUUUUUCUCUCCUUUCUUAAUUUUCUUCACAAAAUAGGGAGGAAAACUUUUUGUGUGGGGCCCAUGCUUAUUUUUCCUUCCCCUCAUUUUUAGUGUUGAACCAAAUGGUAGAAAAUAAUAUUUUCCACCACUUUUCCUUCCUCCUCUUUUCUUUCCUCUUUUUUUUUACAUAGAACCAAACAUAGUGUAAAGGAAGAUUCUUAUGUUAUUUAGAUUUCAGUGAAAUUGUGCCUGUGAAGCAAGUCUCCAAUUUUUUCAAUAAAAUCAAGCCUCCUACACUCGAUUUCCAUUUUAAGUCUAGACAAACUGUCCCACAAUAAUAGACAUAAACAAUAAACACCAAGAAUAAUUGAGCAAAACGAGGUGGGUGAAGAUUAAGACGAAGUAAAAAAGAAUCUGUUGGAUAUGAAAUUGGAUUGCACUACAAUAUGAUCAACUUCAAUAUAUGCAGCAAGAAGUUGGGCACGUAUGGGACAAUACUGUAACUUGGAAAAAUAUGAAAUUAUAUUGGAUCUUCCACAUGUAUUGAACAAUAUUGGUAAUAAAAGGUGAGAAUCAUUUCUUGUACAAAAGUUUUAAAUCAUAAAAUUGAUUUUAGCGGAGAGGAAUCUCAAAUUUCAUUUCUCCAUUAUCAAAUUCAUUAAAUCCUCACUAUGUUAUGUAUUCCUAUUUGCAAUUCAUUAUUAAAACAUUUGACUUUUCCCUCCUUUUCAAUUUUAAAGAUUAUUAACUUUUCACUAGGGGUGGCAAUUGGAUGGAUUUGGAUGAAUUUGGAUUUGGAUCUUAAUGGAUGGAUAGAAAAUUAUCCAUCAAUCCAUAUAAAUCCAUUACAUCAUAUUUUUAACUUAUCAAAUCCAUCCAUGUCCAAUGGAUUCCAAUCCCUCCAUUCUAUCCAUGUAUCCACAAAACAUUUUUAAUAAAGCAAUUUGAAGAAAAAAAUAUUAAAUUAUUAUUUAAUACAUUUUUAAAUAUCAAUUUUAAAAAACAUUUUUAAAAAGUGAAUUUUUUUAAAAACACUUUCAAAAAAAUAAUUUUCUUAACAAAUACUUUUAAAAAGUGCUUUUUUGAUAAGCACUUUUAAAAAUAUGAAUUUGUGAAGUUUUUUUAUAAGAGCUUUUAAAAAUGUGAAUUUGUGAAGUUUUUUUAUAAUUACUCUUAUUGGCAAGAAUCUUUGGUGCCACAUAGUUUUGAUAGGAGUGUAAAAGUUCGGUUUCAUUUUCGAUGCAAUUUAGUGACUGAAUCGGACACAAAGAUAUUGUUCGGUUCUACUCGAUUAACCGCAAAUUUUAUUUAGGAACCGAACCGAACCGUUUAUUAAUGUUUCGGUUCGGUUCCACGGUUUUUCAACAUUUUUAAAGAAAAUCCUUUAAGAAAUAGUUGAACAAAAUUUGCAAAGUAUACAGUAAACUAAAUGAAUAUUAAAAAUAUCAAUUAUAAAGUAUUUAAUACUCUUUCUAGUACAACAAUAAUAAUUCAAGGUCUCAACGCACUAUAAACUUGAAAUUUUAGUCCACAAAAUCUUCGACAAUGUCAACCAAAAUUUAAGAAUGACAAACUUGGUAUCAAUUCUUUAGUCCAACAGUAAGUUCUAAUACUUCACAUCAUUAGUAAUAUCCUCAAGUUCUUUCUUUAUUUUCUUUUAGUUCCUUAAUUUCUUUAUUUAAUUAAUUUUAUCUCUAAAUAGUGAUAAAAUGUAUACUAGUUUUUUAGUUAUCAUUCUAUCUUCUCAAUGGAUAAUAAAUAUUUAGGUUUGUUUACUAAUUUAUUUUUUCUAUUGGCCUCUUAUUUAUAGCCUAUAUGUAUUAAUAAUCAUAAAUUUUUAAUCAUAUUUUAUCUCCUAACUUUAAAGCUUAACCAUCCAAAUAUAAAAUAAUUUUUUGAAUAUGCGAUUCGGUUCUUUUCUAACGAUUCCAAAAUUUACAAAAUCGUGAACCAACAUUUUUGGAUGGAUUGAGUAUCCAUCCAAAUGAAUAUACUCAUGAAUAUCCAUUGGAUAUAAUGGAUGAAUUUGAAUUAAUCCAUUAUCAACAUUAUUCAUUGAAUUAUAUCCAUUUAAAUCCAUUAAUUCUAACGGAUGGAUUUGGAUAAAUUUAAUUUGGAUGAAUUUGGAUGUAUUUUGGAUUAUGGAUAAUUUUGCCACCCCUACUUGUCACCCUUUUUGUCUUAGUUGUUAAAAUUUAAGUUCAUUUUUUCCAUAUUCAUUCACUUAUUUGAUAUAGCAUUAUUUCAUUUCUCACGUAAUUGUUGAAAUAUCAUGUGCUUGUUCAAACUGCAUAUUAUACACUAUUGGUUUACACUAUGAUGUGCUUCUAGUGGACAUGAGCAAAAUUCUUCUGGUUUUUCUAUGUUAGCUUCUUUACUUUCCUCUACCACAUAUCAUAGAAUAAUGGUCAUUUCAGUCACUCCAAACUACAUGAUAGUAGAAAUCUGUGCAACUUCAUUCUAUGCAUUAUUCAAUCUCUUCAAUGGUUUUUUUUACCCCAAUAUUAGUGAGUACCAUUGCCUAGUUCUUUAAGAUAAAACUCUAGUUUCUAGCUUUGUAAUUUCAUUUAUAUAUAUCAUUUUGUUUCAGAAUAUCCGUAUGUGCUAUGUGGUGGUCAUGAUAUUAUUAUAUAUGCCUAGUAGCAUAGACAAUACACUGAUUAACAAUCUCAUAUGUGGUGGGAAAUUGACUGUUCUACAAUAAAUGAAUGAGAUAUAAAAUAAAUUACUUGUGAUGAAGAAUUAAUAAGCUCAGUAUUAGAACUUAAUGAUUAAUUUUUGAGAUUAAAGCAUUUGUCAAUUGAAGGGUCAAAUUUGAAUUCGUCUGAACUUAAUUGAAUCCAUACAUAAUUGAGUUUCAUUAUAUCUUGUUUCGAGUUCAACAAAUUAGUCGAUUAACAUUCAGAGUCGGAUAAAAUACAUACUUUGUCCGGCCUAACCUAUCCAAAUCUCAUCCCUAAUAUUUCACAUUAAAAAAUCUUAUGUAUUUCAUCUUUACCUUAGUUUCUUCUUUGUCCACAUUAAAUAAUAUUAGUAAUACCCUAUUCAAAAAAAUAGUAGAAAAUAUUAUUUACAAUAGUGUUAUUUCAAUAAUUCAAAUUUAAUAACUUCACUUAAAAAAUUAAAUUAUCUCUCCUAUACUUUUUAUCUUUUAUUUGUAUACACAUACCCAAAAAUCAGUUGAAAACCAAAGAAAAAUUUACUAUCACAAUGGUUUUAUCAAAAUACAGUUUUUUCUAAUCACUGUCUGAUAAGGACUAAAAAUGUAAAGUCAAUUACAAAAAAAAUUAAAAUAUAUUAUUAAAAAUUAAAUAUAAAACUUUCAACAUUAACUUUAGAUUUUUUAGUUAUUUAGAGAAGAGCGAUGAUUAAAAAAAGAAAAAAAAGAAUUAUAAAAGAUAGAGAAAGGUGAUGAAUAGUGUAACUUGUUAGCUGAUUCGUAUUCUUUUCUAAGGUCAUAACUCAUCCUAGUUUGAAUAUUGGCAAAAAGAUGUUCCCCUUUUAAUUACCCUUCAAAUUUGGUUGUUGAACUUUCUUUUGUAACUUUGGUCCUUUAGAUAAGAUUUGUUGAGUGAAAGAUUGUGGUCCAAUGCAUGACUUGUUUUUUUUUGUAAACUAUUGAAGUUAGUAUUAUAUUCUAGCCAGAAAAAUGUGUGGGAUAUUUUAUUCUAAAAUAAAAUAAUAAACAAAGUAAUAAUUUUGAAUAGAGAAAAUAAUUAAAAAGUUUAAAAUUUAUUUUAUAGAAAUCAAUCAAUUUAUCAAUAAUAUUUUUAAUUUAAUUAUUAUCAAUCUUAAGGAUACAAUUGUCAUCAUCAUAAAAAUGUUUCAACUCCAUUAAUCAUAGACAUAAACUCAGUAAUAUUGAAUGUGAAAAAAAAUGGAAUAUAGUUACAGUUUUUUUGUUUAGGUAAUAUUACUUGUACCUAUUUUAUAACCCGAAAACAUGGCAGCCUUCACUUGCGAUAUUACCAUACUAUUCUGACAUUAAAAAAAGGGAAAGGAGUUAAUGGAUUGAUUCUAGGCAUUUUACAAAUUUUGUACCCACUUGUGAUUUUGAAAAUACUAUGUAUUCUAUAUUAGAUUUCAUAAAAUUCAUCAUUAUCAUUCAUUCAAUUAAUUCACCAAGCCAAAAGAAGCUACUUAUAUACACAGCAAUAACACUAGCCAAAAGAAGGAUAAGUAGUUAAAACAGUUGGGUAGUUUUUAGCCAACUGUCUAAAAGGGAAACUGCCAAAAGAAGAGUAAUUCUAACAACCCAAGUGCUAAAGGAAAAAAUACAUAAAUAAACCAAGACUAUAAUCAUCUAAAACCCUCCCUCAAGUUGGAGAGUAGAUAUUCAAAACUCCCAGCUUGGAAAGAAGAUAAGAAAAUGUUGAAGCAUCCAAAGCCUUGGUAAGCAAACUAGCAGGUUGUUCUUUACUAGGAAUGGGAAGCAAAUGGAAGAGACGAGCUUGAAGUCUUUCUCUAACAACAAGACAAUCAAUCUCAAUGUGUUUGGUGCGUUCAUGAAACAUAGAGUUAGCUGUAAUAUAGCGAGCUGAUUUGUUGUCACAAUAGAGAAGAGAAGGCUUGAUGAACGAAAUAGGAAAGUUGUCAAGUAAGAAAGUCAGCCAUUGAAGUUCACAAGCAAUAGAAGCAAGUGCCCUGUACUCAGCCUCAGAUGAAGACCUAGCCAACGUUGUUUGCUUCUUCGAUUUCCAUGAAAUUAAUGAGUUUCCAAGGAAGACACAAAACCCAGAAACAAAUAUAUGUGUGUCUAUGCAUGUGCCCUAGUCAGAAUCACUGAAAGCUUUUAGUUGGAGUGCAGAAUCAGAGGGAUAAAAGAGACCCUGACCAGGUGUUCCUUUGAUGUACCGAAGAAGUCGAGUAAGAGCUUGAUAGUGAGAAUUAGUGGGGUGGCUCACAUACUGACUCAAUUGCUAGACAGAGAAGCUGAGAUCAGGUCUUGUAUUAGUUAGAUAAAGAAGUCUUCCCACCAAUCUUCUGAAACCAGUGGGAUUGUUGUAAGCACCCAAUUACAAAAAAAUUAAAAUAUAUUAUUAAAAAUUAAAUAUAAAACUUUCAACAUUAACUUUAGAUUUUUUAGUUAUUUAGAGAAGAGCGAUGAUUAAAAAAAGAAAAAAAAAAAGAAUUAUAAAAGAUAGAGAAAGGUGAUGAAUAGUGUAACUUGUUAGCUGAUUCGUAUUCUUUUCUAAGGUCAUAACUCAUCCUAGUUUGAAUAUUGGCAAAAAGAUGUUCCCCUUUUAAUUACCCUUCAAAUUUGGUUGUUGAACUUUCUUUUGUAACUUUGGUCCUUUAGAUAAGAUUUGUUGAGUGAAAGAUUGUGGUCCAAUGCAUGACUUGUUUUUUUUUGUAAACUAUUGAAGUUAGUAUUAUAUUCUAGCCAGAAAAAUGUGUGGGAUAUUUUAUUCUAAAGUAAAAUAAUAAACAAAGUAAUAAUUUUGAAUAGAGAAAAUAAUUAAGAAGUUUAAAAUUUGUUUUAUAGAAAUCAAUCAAUUUAUCAAUAAUAUUUUUAAUUUAAUUAUUAUCAAUCUUAAGGAUACAAUUGUCAUCAUCAUAAAAAUGUUUCAACUCCAUUAAUCAUAGACAUAAACUCAGUAAUAUUGAAUGUGAAAAAAAAUGGAAUAUAGUUACAGUUUUUUUGUUUAGGUAAUAUUACUUGUACCUAUUUUAUAACCCGAAAACAUGGCAGCCUUCACUUGCGAUAUUACCAUACUAUUCUGACAUUAAAAAAAGGGAAAGGAGUUAAUGGAUUGAUUCUAGGCAUUUUACAAAUUUUGUACCCACUUGUGAUUUUGAAAAUACUAUGUAUGCCAUAUUGGAUUUGAUAGAAUUCAUCAUUAUCAUUCAUUCAAUUAAUUCACCAAGCCAAAAGAAGCUACUUAUAUACACAGCAAUAACACUAGCCAAAAGAAGGAUAAGUAGUUAAAACAGUUGGGUAGUUAUUAACCAACUGCCUAAAAGGGAAACUGCCAAAAGAAGAGUAAUUCUAACAACCCAAGUGCUAAAGGAAAAAAUACAUAAAUAAACCAAGACUAUAAUCAUCUAAUACCCUCCCUCAAGCUGGAGAGUAAAUAUUCAAAACUCCCAGCUUGGAAAGAAGAUAAGAAAAUGUUGAAGCAUCCAAAGCCUUGGUAAGCAAACUAGCAGGUUGUUCUUUACUAGGAAUGGGAAGCAAAUGGAAGAGACGAGCUUGAAGUCUUUCUCUAACAACAAGACAAUCAAUCUCAAUGUGUUUGGUGCGUUCAUGAAACAUAGAGUUAGCUGUAAUAUAGCGAGCUGAUUUGUUGUCACAAUAGAGAAGAGAAGGCUUGAUGAACGAAAUAGGAAAGUUGUCAAGUAAGAAAGUCAGCCAUUGAAGUUCACAAGCAAUAGAAGCAAGUGCCCUGUACUCAGCCUCAGAUGAAGACCUAGCCAGUGUUGUUUGCUUCUUCGACUUCCAUGAAAUUAAUGAGUUUCCAAGGAAGACACAAAACCCAGAAACAUAUAUCCUUGUGUCUAUGCAUGUGUCCUAGUCAGAAUCACUAAAAGCUUUUAGUUGGAGUGCAGAAUCAUAGGGAUAAAAGAGACCCUGACUAGGUGUUCCUUUGAUGUACCGAAGAAGUCGAGUAAGAGCUUGAUAGUGAGAAUUAGUGGGGUGGCUCACAUACUGACUCAAUUGCUAGACAGAGAAGCUGAGAUCAGGUCUUGUAUUAGUUAGAUAAAGAAGUCUUCCCACCAAUCUUCUGAAACCAGUGGGAUUGUUGUAAGCACCAGAAGAAUCUUGAGAUAAAAUAGUACCCUUAGCAAUGGGAGUGAUGGCAGGUUUAGAUGCCAAGAAACCUGUGUCUGCCAAGAUGUCUAAAGCAUAUUUUCGUUGGCUCAAAGUAAUCCAUUUACUUGUCCUUGCCACCUCAAGCCCAAGAAAAUAUUUUAAGUGACCAAGAUCUUUGAUUUUCAACAAAUCAUGCAGAUGUUGUUUGACAAAUGUGAUUUAUGUGACAUUAUUACCAGCCAAAAUGAGAUCAUCUACAUAAAUGAGAAGAACAGUGAAUGAAUUACCAUGUCUCUUGGUGAAUAAGGAGGGAUCAUGAGCAGAUUGAACAUAGCCUAUGUGGAUAAAAGUGUGAGAAAGCUUGCCAUACCACUGUCUACUUGCUUGCUUUAACCCAUAAAGAGAUUUAUGCAGCUUACACACUUGAUUAGGCUUUGAGCAUACUACACCUUGAGGAAUACGCAUGUAAACAUCUUCAGUUAAUUCCCCAUGAAAGAAUGCAUUGUUGACAUCUAACUGAUGCAUAAACUAUUUUUCAGAAGUAACGAGUUCUAACAUCAAUCUCACUAUUGUUAAUUUUAUCACAUGUUCAAAAGUGUCAAAAAAAUCAAUACCUUCUAUUUGAUCAUAACCCUUUGCAACCAAUAUGGCCUUGUACCUUUCAAUAUUCCCAUUUGAUCUAUACUUGAUCCUAUAUACCCAUUUAGAACCUAUAGGAACUUUAUCAUGUGGUAGAUCAACAAUGCUCCAUGUACUGUUUAAUUCCAAGGCUGCAAGUUCAUAUGUCAUGGCAGUGAUCCACUCAGGUGACUUUAUAGCUUGCAGGUAUGUUUUUGGCUUAAAAUGUGUAGCAACAGAAAGAAUAUGAGAUAGAUGAUGAGGAGCAAUAGAAGAGUAUGACAGAACAGGGGAUGAGGAAUGUGAGAGGUAGUAGUAGUAUUUUGUGUAAGAAGAUUGCAAUGAAACUCAGUAAGGUAUAAAGGUGGACCACGAAUUCUUGUAGACUUUCUAAUAGUUUGUGUUUUCUGAGGAGGAGAAGGAUUUUGUGUUGGUGGUUUUUGGGGGAGAAGAGUGAAUUAUGUUUGUGUUUGUGUGCUAGAGGAGAUUGGAUAAUGUAUUAACUAAGGAGUGGAAGAUUGUGGUAAUUUGUAAUUUGAGAAAAGAGUAUUGUCAUGAAGAAAGCCAAAAGAUGAAGUAGGAGCCAAAAUAUUAGAAGUUGUUGCUUUGUUAAUUGAGAUGUAAAGAAAUUCAUCUUCAUAGAAGUACACAUUCCUUGAAAUAAAAAUCUCUCUAGAGUGUAAAUAAAAAAACACAUAACCUUUAACACCUCUUUUGAAUCCUAAAAACAUACUCUUCUUUGCUCUAGUAUCUAAUUUGGUGCGAUGAUUUAGCAAUGUGGAUGCAAAACACAGACAACCAAAAACUUUCAGCUCAUUAAGGUUGGAUUUGCACUUAUGGAGCAUUUCAUAAGGGGAUUUCUAUUGAAGAGUGAUGCUAGGAAUCCUGUUUAUGAGAAAAGUGGCAUGUUGCACAGCAUAAGACCAAAAAAUGUGUGGAAGAUGAGCAUGAAAAAGCAUUAAUCUAGUGGCAUUAAGUAGAUGCUUGUGUUUCCUUUCAACAACAGAAUUUUGUUAUGGUGUUUCAACGCAUGAAGUUUGAUGAAUGAUUCCAAAUUUGUCAAAUAAAGAGGGCGUUUGAAAUUCCAUUCCAUUAUUUGUUCUAAUGGUUUUGAUAAUCUUAUGAUGCUAAGUUUGAAUGAGAACAACAAAAUUUUGCAUUAAACUCCUUGCCUUAGAUUUGUUUUUCAUACGAUAUAACCAUGUAUGCUUACUAUAAUCAUCAACCGCGGUAAGAAAGUAUUUGAAACCAUGAAUGGAGGAAACAAAUAAUGGACCCCAAAUAUCCAUGUGUAUGAGAUCAAAAGGUGCUAAACCUUUAUUCAUACUGAUAGGAAAUGCCAACUUUGUUUGUUUUGCCAAAUGACAGAAAUCACAAAUUCUCUUAGCAUCAAAAUGUAAAUAUGAAAAUUCCCUACAAAUGUGUUGUAAGACAACAAUAGAAGGGUGACCUAAUCUGUAAUGCCACAAGUCAAAAGAAGAAACACUACAAGCAGAAUUAUUAAAGCAAGUUUUAUGCAGACAUGGUCUUGAAGGUGUGUCUAGAAUGUAGAGAUUCUUGUGCAUUUUAGAAUGUCCAAUCAUCUUCAAGGUACUCAUAUCCUGGAUCAUGCAUUAAGAUUGAUCAAAAAAUACUCUACAAUUCAAUUCAAGUGCAAGUCUAUGUACUGAUAUGAGAUUGAAUUUGAAUUGUAGGACAAACAAUACAUUGCACAUGACCAAUUUUUCAAAGAGCAUAACCAUCCCUAAAUGCUUAGCUGAAACAACAGAUCCAUUUGGUAGUUUGAUAGCAACAUGUUUAAUAGAAUGGUAUGAUACAAAACUACAAAAAUAAGGACACACGUGGUCAGUUGUACCAGUGUCAAGAAUCCAUGGGUGGAUAUUGCCUGAGUUCUUAAUGAAUCUGUUUCUGCAAGAGGUGUGAUGCUGAGUUGAUUCCCUUUACUUCCACCAACACCAUUUAUACUAGCAUUGUUGAAUAGGGAUACAAGUUCAGCAUAUUGAGCAGGACUGAAACUCAGUAUUGGUUGUGUGUUAGUCUCUGUUUCCAACAAUUCAUUCCCACUGCCUGCAUUAAUCAAAAUGGUACUUCCAAUAGCAUUAUUAUUGCCAACAUUUGCGCUCUGUUUUCCAAAGUUAGGUGGAAACCAUGUUUGUAGUAACAAACAUCAACUGUAUGUCCUUCUUUGUCACAAUAUGUGCAAACUUUGGUAUUACUAGUCCUAUUCAAAUCGUAGCCUCUUCGAAAGCCUCUUCCUCUAAACUUUCCAAAGGUAUUACAACUUCCAAGAUACCUUUCCAUUGUCUUGCGCAUGUGGUCUAAAACUUUAAGAUUUGGAUAGGCAUAUUGAAACAGUCUUGAGUAUUAUUCUAAUUAAGGAUUGCAAACGUUAAGUUCAAUAAAUUGAGAAGAUUAUAUUUAGAAAUAAUCCAUAACAACAAAAUUGAAACUUUUAGAUAAGAUGAUAAAAACUUUAAGAAAAAAUAAUGUGGACCGACAAUAAUUUGACAUUAUAUAUCAAAGAGGAUUUCAAUUUAGUACAUAAUUUGCAUGGUGCAAACGAUAGAAUGAACAUUAAGAUAGAAUGAGUCUUAUAUUAGGUCUAACUAAUUUAGCCAAUUAAAUUAUUCAAUAAAAUUGAAUAUGACUUUAUAUAAAUUAAUGAUUUAUAUAUAAAAUUAAUGAUUAUGAAUAAAAUUAUCUCAAUAAAUGUUAGAGAGGACCCUUACUUUAAAAUUUCAAUAUUUUAUAUUUGUUAUGUCAACGGAAACUUCUUUAUCAAUCCAAACAAAACCAUCCAUCACAAGCAGUCAUCUUCCGAUUUUUAUCUCUCCUAUUCAAGAUCUGUAACACCGUGUUUUUUUCGAGCACUUUAAGUAGUUAAUUAUUAAUGAAUUACUUAUAGAAAUAAAUCAGUAAUUUUUUAGGCUAAACCUCGGUUGAGUUUUAGUCUUGUAUUAUAAUAUACUAGCUUGCCCUAUUUUUCAAGAUUUUUUGAGAAUAAAAGUUCCCGAGAUGAUUUCGGGUCGUUUUAUCGAGUUUUCGCCCAGUUUUUGAGUUUCGUAACUCGGAAUCGAAUUCCAAAUUUUCCGUUAGCUUCGAAAUAUUAUUGCUAGUCAAAAUAGACAUCAAGUUUGUCCGAAACUCAUCUCUAGUUAUUUUUCACCUCGAAAUUCAAGUUUCGACGUUUCGGGUAAAAACCUAAAUCGUUAGAUCAUAUAUUUUCGGACAAAGUGACCCGGUAAUACUCAGGCAUGACUUCAAUUUCGAAAUCACACCACAUCAAUCAAGUCGGAGUAUUAAUCACAUCAUGGGUCAAUGGCUUGUCAACCAAGCAAAGUCAAAGCUUCCAUAAUCCCCUAAAUCACUCACCAAAUCUCCUCACUCCACCACCAUUAGACACAUCACCUAAACUAGCCUAAAGCUAAAUUGCCUCUCAUUAAUUUUCAGAUUUGAGAGAGGGUGAUGCUCUCCUAUAAAUACGUCACCCCAUCAUCUCAUUUUUACAAUAAUUUUCCUAAAGAAAGUUAAGGUAUUCUUUUUCUUUUUCUCUUCUCCAUUUUUCUCCACAUACACCAUGAGAAAAUCAUGAUCUCUUAGUAUGUUAUUCACGGAGUUGAUUUUAUGUUUAUUUUCUUUAAAUAUUUUGUAAGUCAUGACUAAAUGGGAUGAUAAUGAAAUCAUGUGAACCUUUGUGUAGUUUUUGACUUAUGUAGAACUUAGAAUUUCUUCCUUGUUCUUAGAUGGAAAAACUAUAUCUUUAGAUAAGGUUAGAUGAGUUUAUUUGCUUUAUAAAUAUUAGAAAUUAUUGUUAGUAUUUGAAUGUGUUUAAAGGUGAUGAUUUGAACAUCAAAGGAACCUUUAUUGUGUUUAAGAAAAGUUUAUGUCUAUUCUUGAAAGUUCAAAAUAUUUAUGAGUUUAGUUGAAAAAAUUUCAUUUUAAAAAGGUAUUAUGUGUAAAAGGUUGUCUAGAAUAUGUUAUUCUUUGAUUACCAAGUUAAAGUAAUGAUUUGGGAUAAAAGAUGAUUUAUUAAAGUCUUGACUUCAUAAACUUAAAGUGUUAUGAAGUUUUGGAUAGUAAAGUAGUAACAAUGUUAACUUAUGAUUUAUAGUUCAUGACUAUGAAAUCAACGCCUAUUAACCCUUGAGGUUAUCCUAAAAUUUGGAGGUGUUGAGAUGGUCAUGAAAUUAGUUGUGUUUUCUUUAGUAACAUAUUUUAAAUGAGGAGAUUGACCUAAAAAUUCUUGACUUUAUAAACCUAAAGUGUUGUGAAGUAUUAGAUAGAAAAUGAUUUAAAAGUGUUGAUCUUGGUUAAGUUAGCUUACUUUAAAGUAGUAAGAUUGACUUAAAAAGUCAUGAUUUAAAAGUAUUGAAUUUGUUUAAGUUGGCUUACUUUAAAAUGGUAAGUCUAGCCUAAUAAUCUUACUUAAAAAUGUUAAUCUUAAUAAAAAUGUUUUACUAGCAAAAGAUAAGUUUUAUGAAUAGUUAUCAUUACCGGAAAAAUGUAAUGAAGUGGAAAUACAUGUCUAGAAAAGUUCUGUCUAAGGAAAGACUUCGUAUUUAAGUGUGUCUUUAUGACACACCUCUCUUUCCUGGGAAACUAACCUAGUGUAUAUCCAUAGAUUAUGACAUAAUUAUGUUAUAAGUUUUGUUGAAACUUUAUUUUAGAAAGUGUCAUUGUGUUGUAAGACUUUCAAUGAUAAAUGAUGAUUCAAGAAAUACCUAACCUAGAAUCGGAUAGAUGAAAGCGAUUAACUUCAUUUUAGAUCGGAAGUUUUAUUUUCGCGUAAAAUUUUAUUUCGUAAGAAUAGUAAUUAUCAAAGUGACCUAAUUAUGUUAUUUUGAUUUUGGCGUGAUGAAGAGUUCGAGAAGAGACCCGAUGAAUUAAGCUCACCUGGAAUCGAUGAAACAAUUUGCACGACACACUCAAGCGAGGGAGAAAACAUCGUGACACAGUGGUGUCCGAAUAUGCUUCAGGACCUCCAAACUCCCUCACAAGUUUGGAGUUGUCUUGGGUAUUAAGAAAGCUUGUACUUAAUCAAUUGUCUGUUUUGUUUGGAUUAAGUACAACAAUAUUUCUUAUGCCGAAUUAUGUUAGGUUAUGUUUAUGUAUGAAGAUGACAUGAUUGUUCUUGUUUAAUAUUGCUCAAAUAACUGUUCUAAGAAUUAUAUGUAUGAGAUAAUUGUUAAAUUCAAGGCUUAAAAACAUGUGUUAUAAAUGAGAAAACUUUUCAUUGAGAAAACAAAUUUAACUAAGUUUUAGGCUUUUCUCGCUUGAGCGAGAAGUGUUUAGAGAAAAGGGGUUCUCUCGCUUGGGCGAGACAGCUCUCGCUUGAUCUGAAAUAUGCACAAAGAAAACUAGCUAUUUUCUUACUUAAGCGAGACAACUCUCACUUGAGCCACAUGUGCCUUAUAAAAAUGGUGAUUCCCUCGCUUGAGCAAGACAGAUCUCGUUUGAGCGAAAGGGCUCCAUACAAACAAGACUUUUUAAGUCGUCUGAAUGAUAACUCUCACAUGUGCGAGAGUCUAAUAGCACUUUUGCCAUCAAGAGUUCAUUCACUUCCAAUCCUAUUCAAUAAAACCUAAAACACCUUUAUUGGAGAUAAUGUUCUUUCAAUAAGUAAAUGUUGUGAAGAUGAAUGAUUAUAUGAAAUUUUUGGAAACGAUACAAAGAAGAUUUGCCAUAUCUAAAGUGAUGUAUGUAAAGAAUUGCAUGGUUAAGGACGAGGCCCGCAAGUGUUAUAUUAUGCCUGCAAGAGGCUUGGCUUGAGAGUCGUCCAGGGUGAUUCAAAGAUGGUUCGUAGUGGUGAUGAGAAGUAUUAUAUGCCCAUGCAUCGAAAUCGUCUGACCUUAAGAGGCUUGGCUUGAGUGUCGUCGAGGGUGAUUCAACGAUGGUUCGUAGUGGUGCUGAGGUUUAUUCUCUAUGGUUUAAAUGUUAAGACCAGGUGCCACUAGAAGCAUUCCCGAUGGGAGAUGUCUUAGAAUGGGCAAAUCGUUAUAAAAGAUGGAUUAAAAUAUUUAAUUUGCUAACUUCGGUUAGUAUGCAUAUUCAUUGUGAAUAAUGAAGUAGCGGAGAGGAAAUUUACGGGAGACGAAUGAGCCCCGAGAUGUUGAGAGGGACGGCAAUGGUGGUGAUUCGUCAGCAAAGUCUUGAGGGAGAGUCUAGGUGAGACAAGUCCCGUGUAUUCCUGGAUGAUAUAUUAUGUUGGAUCGGACAGUGCUCACAGAACAAACUAGACGAUCUCUAACAACCUCUCUUUGCAAUCAGGAUCAAUAAGAGGGAUGCCUAGAAAGUGUUUGAUAUGACACCGUCCUGAAUGGACAGUUCUGUUGGAACAUAUAUAUAUCCUUGCGAGGAAUAAGUUUUGGUGCUAUCAAAUCGACUUGUUAUGAGACCUGUACUCUCGGUUAUUUCCUAAUACUUAUUGAGAAGAUAAUGGUGUAAGGAUGGUGGACAUAUGCAUAACAUUCAUAUAUGGUAUUUAUCGAUAUUGAUUAUAAAAUCAUAAGUUAUAUACUCCAUUCAUCAUUAAUACAUGCAUGUAUGAUCAUAUGAUAUAUCUGUAUUUGUUCUUUGUCUUGGUGUUAUAUUCUGUGUAAUUCCACAACGUCAAUGAUAAGUUUUUCAAUAGAUGUUUUACUCUCUCACUUUCUGGUGUACUCGUAUACAUCCAUGUUUAGAUGGACAGAUUGGCGAUGAUUAGUGGCUACUGCUUUACCAUGUCCCAGGAGGGGGCAUGGAGCGUUGAAGGAAAGAGAUACACCUAUACUGGUCCAUGCGACAUGGAAUUGGAUCUUGUAUGUGAUGGCUCUAUGUUACAUCUCCUGACACAUUACGCAGCUCGGGAAGCAUCGUUCGCCCUACUAGAGCGAAGGUUUGUACAUUCUAGUCCAUCCGCACCAGCUGAGGCAUGAGGCAGAUUGGAGGUUGUCAAGACCUGGCCCCAACUGAGAUUAUCAUCUACUGACUCAAUGCCAAGAGGGACGGAAGGAGCAUACAUGGCUACUUCGUCGGGGCCUAGGGGAUACACCCUUUAAUGGAUUGGAAAACAGAUGAGGUGGUGUAGGACGAGGACGAUGAUUGUGUAUAUUUAAUUUGCAUAGAGGAUUCGGUGGAGGUUAUAAAGAUCUCUUCAGACUCGGAGAUCGAGGAAGACCCGAGUGAGGUUUCUAGUGCACCACCGGUCUAGGAGCUCCUUUCUUUCUUUUGAUAGGGAACCUGUGUAGGAUACUUUUGUAAAGUCAACGCACUCAUCAUUAUUUUAUUUUUAUUUUUAUUUUUAGUCUUUGUUUCGGGCGAAGAAUAGACCCCACCUUGUAUUUUGUAAACCAUGAUAUACGUAUUACAAAUUCAAGAAUUGAUUAAUGAGAAGUAUUCAAAAAACAAUUGUGUUUCGUUAUGUUUAGAAUUUACAAGUUUUGUACUAAUGCAAUAUGUUAUUAUGAAAUUGUGUCUUUUGUUUGUGAUUUUUUGUUUUAAAAGACAUUUAUGAAUUGUUUGAAUUAUUUAUUUUUGUCUAAAAGCUUUAAUGUGUAUUUUGAAAGAAGAAAAAAACGGGCCAACCUGCUAGUCUUGCCAAAUAUGGGUCGGGCUGACAUUUUGAGCCCUUAUAACAAUAAGGGCCAGGUCGGGCCAGCCCAUAUUCUGACGGGUCAAAGGCGAGCCAGGCUGCCCCAGGCUGACCCGUAUUGUCACCCCUAUGCCUCAAGGCAUGUAUCUUGUACCUUGGGAAUGAUAAAUUAAUAUUCCCUUAUAUACCCUGUAUCUUUAUCAUUUGGUUAGUUUUUAGUACAAGAUUUUGAAGGACUUUAUGAUUCAUUCAUCCUACAAAAUGAUCAACUUUCACUAUCACGCUCAAACUAGCCCUUUAAUGAUUUAAAAAAAAAUUACUUGUGGGAAAAUAUAUUUUUAUGUAAAUUAUACAAAUCAAUAAAUAUAACUUAUAUUUAUUUAUCAUUCUUCAUUUAGUUACUUUUGGUUAAUACUUUUUUAUUUUUAAUUGAUAGUUUUAAAGAUAACAAUAUUUCAAAUACUAUUAAGUACUCAAGCAAUUGGAAAAUAUAUUAUAGUCUGAGUAAUUUUUAGUACUCAAAUAAUUGGAAAAUGCAUUAUAUUUUAGUUGAUAGUUUCGAAAACAAAAUAAUGUCUUAUUAAAUUACUAUCAUAUAAAAAUAAACAUUAAGCGAUUGUACUAAUGAUGGAAGAUAGUAUUAUGGUACCAUAUUCUAAUUAGAAAUCUUAAUUUACUAAAUGAAAUAUAUAUAUAUAUAUAUAUAGUACUUGUACUAAUGAAGGAAGAUAGUAUUAUGGAACCAAAUUCUAGAUAUGUGAAUUAUAUGACCUUUUUGAGUAGGUAUUUUUUGAAAGAAUUUUAUUUAACUUACCGCUGAUAAUAUUAUUAUGACUUACCAUUGCCCUGUUUAAUGAAAACAUUUCAAUGCAGAAAUAAUCUUGACUGCUCAACACAAAGUUUUAUAGACUAAGCAAUAGAAAUUUAUGAAAAUUUAAGGUAAAGUAGCAUGGAAUUACAAUCUAUGUAAUUAUUACAUGCCACAACUAAGUAAAACAUCAACUUUGUUCACAGACGAUAUAACUAGACCAAAGUGUUAUGAAAUGAAACUAUGGGACACCUUGACAAGAGAAGACUCGCAUAAGUGGAGCCCUUGUCGCCUUCCCUUUAUUAUCAUUAAUCAAUGCUACAGCAUUGUUAUAC